rnacentral:lncRNA from 1 species
UAUGAUCCUUCUCGAUUACCUUGAGACAACGGGUGUUAGGCACGGCAAACCUGCUUUUCUGAAGAAUUUCUUGGGCAGUUUAAAGAAAUUAGAAUUUGAUGGAGCGAUUAAAAGAGAGAUUGUAAUUCCAUCUCAUGUACUUCCUUACUUGAAGACCUUAGAAGAAUUGAAUGUACAUAGCUCCGAUGCAGCGCAGGUAAUAUUUGACAUAGAUGACACUGAUGCCAACACCAAGGGAAUGGUCCUUCCAUUGAAAAAUCUUACUUUAAAAGACUUGCCAAAUUUGAAAUGUGUAUGGAACAAAAACCCCCAAGGUCUCGGCUUUCCCAAUUUGCAACAAGUGUUUGUUACUAAAUGUAGAAGCCUGGCAACAUUGUUCCCUUUGUCCCUUGCCAAAAAUCUUGGGAAGCUUCAGACACUUACAGUACUGAGGUGUGACAAGUUGGUAGAAAUUGUUGGAAAGGAAGAUGCAAUGGAACUUGGAAGAACAGAAAUAUUUGAAUUCCCUUGUUUGUUGGAGUUGUGUCUUUAUAAGCUGUCACUGCUUAGUUGCUUUUAUCCUGGAAAACACCAUCUGGAAUGCCCCGUAUUAAAAUGCUUGGAUGUGUCCUACUGUCCUAUGUUGAAGCUAUUCACAUCAGAAUUUCAAAAUAGUCACAAAGAAGCAGUUAUAGAGCAACCUCUUUUCAUGGUUGAAAAGGUGACAAAUUAAAGCAUUAUCACUUUAACCUUUUUUGUUUUAUUUUCUUUUCAUUAUAUAUAUUUUCCUUCUUCUGAGUUCUAACUGCCACCAUGCAUUUUCUUUUGAAUAAUCGAAAGGUUGAUCCCAAACUGAAGGAAUUGACACUCAAUGAAGAAAACAUUAUCUUGUUGAGGGAUGCACAUUUGCCACAAGACUUCCUUUACAAAUUAAAUAUUCUUGAUCUGUCCUUUGAUGAUUAUGAGAAUAAGAAAGAUACUUUGCCUUUUGAUUUCCUUCACAAGGUACCCAGUGUAGAAUGUCUUCGAGUGCAAAGAUGCUAUGGUCUCAAGGAGAUAUUUCCCUCUCAAAAGCUCCAAGUUCAUCACGGAAUACUUGCGCGAUUGAAUCAAUUAGAGUUAAACAAACUAAAAGAGUUGGAGUCGAUAGGGUUGGAGCACCCAUGGGUAAAGCCAUACUCUGCAAAGCUUGAAAUAUUAAAUAUUCGCAAAUGCUCUCGGUUAGAAAAAGUAGUGUCUUGUGCAGUAUCUUUCAUUAGUCUCAAAGAGUUGUAUUUGAGUGACUGUGAAAGGAUGGAGUAUUUAUUCACAUCUUCAACGGCCAAAAGUUUGGUGCAACUUAAGAUCCUAUAUAUAGAAAAAUGUGAAUCAAUAAAAGAAAUAGUAAGAAAAGAAGAUGAAAGCGAUGCUUCUGAAGAGAUCAUAUUUGGACGGCUCACAAAAUUAUGGUUGGAAUCCUUAGGAAGGCUAGUAAGGUUUUAUUCAGGGGAUGACACCUUGCAAUUCUCAUGUUUGGAAGAAGCCACCAUAACUGAAUGCCCCAAUAUGAAUACUUUCUCUGAAGGAUUCGUAAAUGCGCCAAUGUUUGAGGGGAUUAAAACUUCAAGGGAGGAUUCUGAUUUAACAUUCCACCAUGAUCUCAACUCCACAAUCAAGAAGUUGUUUCACCAACAUGUAAGUAAUCCAUUAUCCAAAUUCAAUUGCUAUUUGCUUAUUAUAAGUAAAUUAGUAUUCUAACACGUGCACUAUAUAAUUAAAAUAAUAAUUUUUUACAUAUAAAAAUUAUAUUAUAAUUAAAAUUUAUUUAAAAAAUAUUUUAUACCUAAAAAUUAUAUUUUAAAUUUAUGAUAAAUAGUCUAUAUUAUAAUAUAUUUUCAUUAUUGAUUAUUGAUAAUUUUAAAAAAUAUAUUCAAAUAAAUUUAGAACUAAAGAUUUGGUCAAUUUCUUUUUGUUUGUCAUUACUUUUAGUUUCUAAAAAGAUUAAAAAUAAGAAAAAAGUUAAGGAACUAAAAUCAAUUAAAAAAAUUUAUAAAUUAAAAACAAAAACAUUAAAAAUUUUAGGAGACUAAAAGGAUAGUAAACUCUAUAUUUUAACAUAAGAAGAAUGAAAAUGUAAUACUCAUACAUCUCAAAGAAAAAAGUGUGCUUUAUUAUACAUUUUAGCAUAAGAAAGAUAAUGUACAACUAGCAUCUCUUUAAGAAAGAAGAAAUUUACUCUUUUUUUUUUUGUAAAAAAAGUGUAAUUUACUUUAAGAUUAUUAAGUUAAAUAAAUUAAAUUAUAUAUUUCAAUACAAGAGGAAAGGAUAGUGUAAUAUUCAUAUCUCUUUUGAAAUUUCAUCUUCUAUGAUCACAAAAUUGUUAAUUAUAGUGAGGAUCGUUAUGACAGAAAAAAUAAAAUCUUUCAAAAAGCUCAUUUAGAUUAAAAUGGACUCAACUACAAUAUAAAUAUUGUUCUUUUAAAAAAAGUAAUAUUUUCAAAUAAGAAGAAAAGAGACUGUAAUAUAGGCAUGAGACACCUCUCAUAAUAGCCAAAUAUAAGUCAACCAAAAAUUUUUAAGUUGUAAGGUGAAGACAUAUAAGUGAUUUUAUAUUACAUCUAUAUACAACCAGAACAUGUUGGCAUACUAUAAAUGGGUGCUCAGAAUGUUAAAAUAAAUUAAUUCUACACUUCAUUCUGUUCAACAACUUGCUUUCAAUAUUAAUUUUUAUUAAAAUGGAAAUAUUGGUUUUGUGUAAAAUGAAAAGAGAGUAGUAGAUUUUAAUAACUUCAUAGUUUAUAAUGCAUAUGCAUUCAUUUUAUCACAAUAUGUAAUGAGUGAAAUUUUUGUUUCAAAUAAGAAUAUUUCAAACCCUUUCAAAAAAUAAUUGUUUUGCACGUACAGGUGGAAAAGUCUGCAUGCAAUAUAGAGCAUUUGAAAUUUGGUGAUCACCAUCACCUAGAAUAGAUAUGGCUUGGUGUAGUUCCAAUCCCAAGUAAAAAUUGUUUCAACAGUUUGAAAUCUUUAACUGUGGUGGAAUGUGAAUCUUUAUCCAAUGUGAUUCAUUUUUAUUUACUGCGAUUUCUUUGUAACUUGAAAGAGAUCGAGGUAAGCAACUGCCAAUCUGUUAAGGCAAUAUUUGAUAUGAAAGGUACAAAGGCAGAUAUGAAGCCAGGUUCUCAGUUUUCUCUUCCUUUGAAGAAACUGAUUCUAAAUCAGUUGCCGAAUCUGGAGCAUAUCUGGAAUCCGAAUCCUGAUGAAAUUCUCAGCCUUCAAGAAGUGUGCAUUUCUAACUGUCAAAGCCUCAAAAGUUUGUUUCCAACAUCAGUGGCCAAUCAUCUUGCUAAGCUUGAUGUGAGAUCUUGUGCAACAUUGGAAGAAAUUUUUGUAGAAAAUGAAGCAGCCUUGAAGGGAGAAACUAAACUGUUCAAUUUCCAUUGUCUGACCUCAUUAACAUUAUGGGAAUUACCAGAGCUGAAGUAUUUCUACAAUGGAAAACACUCACUAGAAUGGCCAAUGCUAACACAACUAGAUGUAUAUCAUUGUGACAAGUUGAAAUUGUUUACAACUGAGCAUCAUAGUGGUGAAGUUGCAGAUAUAGAGUACCCACUUCGUACUUCAAUUGAUCAGCAAGCCGUUUUCUCAGUUGAAAAGGUACCAAAAAGAUUUCCUAUCUAGUUUUCAUAUUAUGCUUGCACGUCUCAAUAUGCAUAAAUUAUUAAAGAAAUUGCUAGUCACAAACUUUUUGGCAUCCCAUGCUGAUCUUAAAUAAUUCAGAUUCACUUUCAAUUAAUGGGACGAGCAUUAAAAAAAAUACAAAUAGUAAAAUAAUGUUAAAAAAUGCUUUAAGAGUGUAUUGUUCAUAUUCUUCAAAUAAAAAGAAAAAAUGAGAAUACAAAAAUAAGCUACUGAGCUUAUUAAAGUGAUCUCUCUUCAUCAUGCCAAAAAAUGGAGUGUUUAAAACAUAGGGUCAAAUAGUGUAUUUUGCUAUCAUUUUCAUAAUUAAUUGAAAUUGAAAGUGUGAAUUUAAUCAAAUAUUUUUCCUUUUUUAAUACAUUCAAAACUACCAUUUAUGGUAAAUUGAGUUAGAUCUCAUUACGAAUCCUAUAUUUUGUUUCGAACAAUUAAAUUCCUAGGUUUUCCCAAACUUGGUGCAACUAUCACUCAAAAAGGAAGAUGCCAUAGGAAUUUUGCAAGGACAGAUUCAGGCAAGGACAAUUUCUCAAAUUGUGCUUGUUUCAUAACUCCUAUUUUGCUUCUUUAUUUUUUUUCUGCUAUUUCUCUCUUAAUGACCUUUUUCUUGUAUUUUUCAUCUUGUACCCUUUCUUGCUUCUGAUUUUCUUAGGUCAUGCCUAGCUUGGAGCAUCAAGCAAUCGCUUGCAAAGACAAUAUGAUUGGGCAAGGACAAUUUGUUGCAAAUGCUGCACACCUCCUGCAAAAUUUAAGAGUUCUCAAAUUGAUGUGUUACCAUGAGGAUGAUGAGUCAAAUAUAUUCUCCAGUGGAUUGGAAGAGAUAUCCAGCAUUGAAAAUCUUGAAGUGUUCUGUAGUUCCUUCAAUGAAAUAUUCUCCUCUCAGAUACCUAGCACCAAUUGUACCAAAGUCCUUUCAAAGCUGAAAAAAUUACAUUUGAAGAGUCUCCAACAGCUGAAUUCCAUAGGAUUAGAACACUCAUGGGUGGAACCCUUACUUAAAACACUAGAAACAUUGGAAGUGUUUUCUUGCCCUAGCAUCAAAAACUUGGUGCCGUCAACCGUGUCUUUUGCAAAUCUUACCUCUUUGAAUGUUGAAGAAUGCCAUGGAUUGGUAUAUUUGUUCACAUCCUCAACAGCCAAAAGUCUAGGUCAACUGAAGCAUAUUCCAUACGGGAUUGCCAAGCAAUACAAGAAAUAGUGUCCAAAGAGGGAGAUCACGAAUCCAAUGAUGAAGAGAUAACAUUUGAGCAGCUGAGCGUUUUGUCUCUUGAUUCUUUACCAAGCAUAGUAGGAAUCUACUCAGGGACUUUCAAGUUGAAAUUCCCUUCCUUGGAUCAAGUGACUUUAACAGAAUGCCCUAAAAUGAAAUAUUCUUAUGUACCUGAUUUGCAUCAAUUCAAGCCUCUUGAGCAAAUUUAAUUGGAAGAGCAGGAGUUUUAGGUAGGUAUUAACUUUGCAAGUUAAUACUCAUGGUUAGGGAAUACAUAUGCACUUAUUUGGCUAACCAACAUCUCCAUCUUUUACCAUGUUUUUGCUAAAUUUCCAUGGAGUUAUAUACUCUGUUUUUACCUUCCCCUUAGUCCUUGUCAUCAUAUUGCAUAUGUUGUCUGCCAAAGGCAUGCCUUAAGAGCAUAAAGAUUAGUUGUAUUCUGAUACACUUCCUUCAAUAGUUCGCUUUUAGAAAAUGUUUUCAACUCACUAUUAUUUAAACCUUGUUUUGGUGAAUACGAUAGUAGUGAUAACAUGGAUUAUACCUUUUACUCUCUUGGCUCUAUUGUUAUUUUGUUGAACAGUCCUUUAUAAUAUGUGAUUGCACAUUCUACAAUUUCGUAAUUAAUUUCAAAACUAAUGAAUGUUAGAGAUGCCUAAGAAGAUAAUGUAGUAAUGAUUGCAUAUGGACUUUAAAGAUGCAUAAUAAUUAAUUCCUAUUUCUUCCAACUAAAGAAAUUUAUCGUGAUAGUCGUGUGCAUUUCUCUGAAUUGCAUAUUUAAAAGAAGUAUUUAUAUUCUAACUGAAUCUUUUAUCAACUCACAUUUUUUUGUUUGUUCAGGGAAUCCAUCAGGCAGCACUCAUUAUACAAUCAUAUAGACAAUAAAAAACAUUGGGAAUUCUUCUUAGCAUCAUAUGGUAAGUUACAAUAUAUGCAUUAUUCCUUUCAUGCAUACUAUAAUUUUCACAAAUCACCGCAUAAUAUUUAUCAUAAAAAUUAAUAUAUUUAUCAUACAUACAUAAUAAUUUAUGAUCUUAAAUAAUACUCUAAAACUAUUUUACAGUAUAUAAGUGCAUAACCUUAUCAUUAAAUAAUAUCGUAAUUUCAGUUUUUCUGAACUUUUUUUUCUCAUUUGUUUCAGGAAUUCAUUGUCCAGUACUCAUGAACUGUUCACUGUUGGUAAGUUAUUACUAGAUACCUGUUCCUGAAAAACUGCAUUUCUUAGGGCUUCCCUAUCAUUGAAAAAUAUUAAUAGUGUUUGAAGCACUGCUUGAAAUUGAAGUUAAAAACGAUGCUUAAAUAUAAUGGAAAAAAAAUGAAAAGUUAAUUCCAAUAAUGCACAAAGUUCAAAGCUAACAAUGUAAUAUGUUCUUUUGAAAUAAGCUUAAAUAUAUUUUUGAUCCCUAACAAAUAUUUGAUUUUUCAUUUACUCCCUACUAAAUUUUGAGUCUCUAAUAAAACAAUAAUUAUUUUUGAUCUUUGACACUUAUGUUUAAUCCCUAAUAAAUUUGUAUUCACUCCAUGAUAAAUAUUUUUUAUUAGUUAUUAAUACAAACUAAAACAAAAUUUGUUAAUUUAUUAGAAAGUAAACAUAAAAUUUUAUAAAUUAUCAGGGACUAAAACAAAAUAUGAAAGAUAAAAAAGUUUUAUUUUAUUAAGGAUUCAACAUAAAACAAAAAUUUAUUAUAUAUUUAUUAAAAAUUAAAAACAUAUUUAAGGCUUUAAAAUAUAUUGAAAAGAUACUUAUGUAUUUUGCAUAUCAAAAAGGAGGAAAUGCCUCCCCAAUCGUGAAACUCUGUCAUCUUUCACUUUUCCGGUUUAGAAAAGUUUUCUUAUUUAAAAAAAAAAAGCCUUAAUAUAUAUUACUAGAAGCACUAUAUGUGGCAGCAGUCAUUUUUCUAUAUGGAUUAAUGUCCUUGUAUUUAUCGUAACAAAACAAAAUACUCAAAGUUAUAUAAUUAUUCUUUGAUAUUGUUUUUAGGUUGAAUGGAACUUCAACAUCGAAAUAAUUGAUGGAGGAAACAAUCAUGGCAAUAUUAUGAAAUAAAGGUUUAUGCUAGUCUUAUUUUUUAAGUGGUGUUGUGGAGUAAUCUUGACCUACAUUGUGAUGUAUAUUUUCUCUUUUAUUUGGCAUGACUUUGAGUCAGUUACAGAUCCUCUGUAGUUUUAGUUUUAUAAAAAUACUUUCUCUGUCUUUUUUUUAUAAGCCAAAUAAUUCAUUAAAGAUAAAGGAAAUCAUUUCUUAUGCACAAGGAAUGUCCAAGCUUAACACCAAAACAUGAGAAAAUUUCGAUACAAGUCCUGUAUCCUGAAAACAGAACCAACCUUCUGCACUUAUCAUACAGUCCAAGACACCCUGAAGCUAAAACAUCAACCUCAAGCAGGACAAUACGUGAUACACAUUUCGUGUACAAAUUAACAAUAGUUAACCCAUCAAGGAGCUAAACAACUUGUGUGCAGCUGUAUGCUAGACUUCUUCCACUUGAUCCAUAAGAUAAAUCACUGAAGUUAUAUAAUGGUAUUGACACCAACAAGACAAAAUUCGUGCUGAGUCAUGCUAGACUUCUAGAUAUCAAGAAUGAUAUCCCACCAUAAAGUGAAUAGAAAACGUCUGAAGAAUGAACAGAGGCGAGUGAAGAAGAGAAUAUAUAGAAAAUAAGGGUGUCGUGUCCACCUUUCCCCUUCACACCUUAAUAUGGAUCCUCAUAAAUAUUGGAUUAAUAUGAAAGUUUAAACCCAUAUGGUUAUGAAGGACACUAUAUAGCACCUUUGGAGGAAAGUUUCAUGCUCGAAUUCUUAUCAUAAUUUCUUUUUAAACAAUUACCCAAUUCCGAACCCAUCCCUAUCCACUCCUUCAUAGUCGACACCAAGCUUCUUCAUCACCCUGUCACUGCUAUAGAUUUUAGUCUAAUUAAAAAAUCAUAAUUUUAUUUAAUUACAGAUAUCAAGAAUUUCGAUCAACGACUAUAAUAGAAUAACUUCAAAUCCCCUGACUACAAGAAACAAAAAACAAAAAAACUCGAACUCUCCUUACCUAGCUAUAUAGAUGUAUACAUUUUUCAGACAGGAUGUGCUGAUCAUAUCACUAAGAGAUGAAUACUAAAGAUCUUUCGGAGGUCAAUUUCUCAGAGCCGAAUAGCAGUUGUAGAGUUGUGGACCAACAUUCUAAUCACUUCAUAGAACAAAAGAAUUAAAUACAGCUACAUAACCAUCCAAUUCCCUUAAACAUUACAAUUUCACACACCAAAAUAUGGCAGGAUUGCUCUACACUGCCCCUAAUCAGUUAUUAACACCCAUAAAGUUUAGGCUUUAUUUUCUUCCUUUGGCUUGUUCAGGCAGUUAACAUCUACCUAUUUUCUUUUCCAUCACCUUUCUACUUCAUUGUCUUGUCUUUCCUUUGUUUCUUUCCCAUCAUAUUAUUAUUAUAUCUCUUCCUCACUUUCUUUAUCUUCCAUUUCUUUUUUCUUUCUGUGACUUAUUUUCAUCCUUCCCAGUAACCCCCAACAUGGAAUGCAUCUAUGGCAUUUCCAAUUCCACAAUAAGUGGGAUAGGCUCCUUGUGAAAGCAGCUUUGUUGGAUGUCAAAGAAGCCAUCAAUAUCUUUAGUGCCUGACCAAAAUAGACAUAAUGAACGUCACCUCUAAAUUGACAAAAUUAAGACAAAUAUUGUUAAAUAAAACCAUUGAUAUGAAUCAAAAUUUCUUAAUCCAAUAUUGUGGCAGUGCAAAAGAACAAGUCGUCGGGAGUACUGAAUUGUGAAUAUUACCUGUGACUUCCUGAUUUUCACCAAAUGUUCCUCCAAAUCAUCCAACAACCGGUCAUUCUCCAUAAAUGGACAUGGAAUGCUUGAAGAAGUCGUCAUUGCUUUCACUUCCAGAUUAUCGCUAACAACAAAAAGACAUGGCCUCUUCAUAAAUCCCACAUCAGAUUUUCUUGCUCUAGAGGAUCUUGGGUCCAAAAGUUUGAUAUCUUUUGGAUCUUUUAGCAUAUCUUUGUUCUUUGAAAUCAUAUUCUUUUCAUAGAUGAUACGUCCCCUAUUAUCCUUCACUAUGCCAGUUCCAUACCAAUACUUGGCAGUGUCUUCUUCUGAAGCAUUUAGUGGAUUGCUCCCACAACCAAAAUGAGGAGCAACCUUUGGAUUCAGUAAGGAUUUGUUUGACGACGCUAUGAACCAUGAUGGAUCAAGAUUCUUCACACUUGUGUACAACUUAUCAAUGCUUCCCAAUGAUAAUUUGCCAUUCACAAGGUACAUAAUAGAUCCAAGUGGCAUUGUAAGGAAACUGACUAGAAAAUCAACAAAAUCUCCAUCUGCUUCGACAAACAGAAUCUUGUUCUGUGAUUUGCUCACUAUUACCUUGAUUUUUAUGUAAUCUUUCCGUUGACUUGGGCCAAUAUCUGGUAAGAAAGAGGACGAUGGCUCAGAUUUUCCGUUUUCCAAUGUGACACUUAGAGCAGAUUUGGAGGUUAAUGCUUGCUUUAGUAUGCUAAAUGCCUGAGAAAAAGAAAACAUAAAACAAUUCAAAUUGUGAAGUUAUAAUUCAUUAAACCUGGAAAGGUCCUGCGCAUCUACGAUUUUACAAGCUAAGGAACUCGAGGACGGUUAUCAGUUGCAUACAUAAGUAGCAAGUGCAAGUCGGAAAAAUGUCUUGAAUUCAAUGUAUCUGAAUUUUCUAGCACAAAACAAUCAUUAUAAUCCCCUGAUUUUUUUUGUAUUGGCAUAAACUUAUGACUCUUAUAACUAUUUGUUUCACAAUAGAUAUUCAUGCUGAAGUCUAACAUACUAUUUCGUAAAAAUCUUUAUUUGAAGAGAAAAAAUAAGGCAAAAUCUCUGUUCCCUAACUUCUGUCGGCCCAACUAAAACAAUAUCGGGAGGAUAAGUUUAUUUUUUCCAUUUCCAUCCUUCUAACCAAAAAACUCAUGCAAGUAAAUGAAUAAAAAGAAAUAUUACCUUAUUUGUGUCAACAUCUAGAGACUUUUCUUCCACCUUUCUGAAUUCUUUGUGUCCAAGUUGGAGUGGUGGUUUAAAGGAGACACUGGGAGAGCUACGGAGCACUGUCAAGUCAUCAAAGAUCAAGAACAUGGCAUCCCCUUUAACAAAAACACCAUUGCCACCAGCAGGCUCUACCAGCAUAUCUAGUUGUCUUUUCAUCAAGUUCCCACAGUGGCACUUUACCUCAUCAAAAGUACUCAGCGAGAAAUCACUGCCCUUUGAACAGAUGUGACACACGAAAUACUUUGUGGGCUGCGUAUCAUCCACCUUCAGUUUUAGUCUCUGGUAAGAGAAUUCUAACGGGUUGCGCGGAGAAAGCAGCAUUCGCUUGCAGAUGUCGUUCCAGAAAACAUCUGGGUUCAGAGCUUCCACACUCUUGAAUAGAUUGUUAAUGCAACCAAUCUCUAUUGGUUGCCCCAAUGUGUUCCCAAGCCGGAUGAUAGUUCCCAAUGGAAGGGUUAGGAAACUAAAGAGAACAUCUACAAAGUGUCCACUUGCUUCCGCCAUAACUACACGCUUUCGUUCAUUGUCCACCCAAUAUCUGCAAGGCACUGUUACUUCUUGGUUGGAAGCCAUAACUGAAACCUAAAACUAAAGAACUCUUAAUAUUAAUGAAGCAAAAUAACAUGCACGGGUUUUUGUGAAAUUUCUGACAUAUCAACCUCGAUUGUUGCUCGGGAUAAGGCACUUCCUAACUUUAUAUUUACAGAAUUACUUGCGCGUCUAUUUUUAAGGGAUAGGCUAACAUGCAUGCUCAGAGAGGGUUGUGCAAGUCCAUGGAAUUAAAGAAGCUGUAAAAAGAAAGGCAUGGCUUGAUUUUUUAAAAGAUUUAAACCAAAACUAAUCUUAAUACUCGAUUGAUUACUUAAAAAUAACAUUUUUUGGAAGAUCAGUUUGGAAUUUUUACAAAUUAAUUCUAAAUUGAUUUUGAAUUACAAAAUAGUUUAGGGUGUGUUGCGAGAGAUUUUUAGUUCUUUUAACUUAGUUUUCAAGAUAACUCUGAAAGUCUCCUAUCCUAUUAAAUUAGGUUGUAUUUAUGUGGUGACAGUGGUGAUUAAGACGUGAUAAUGGUAAUGUAGGUAUUGGUAGUGUUUGUUGUGUCUCUCAUAGGUGGUAGAUGCGGUGGUGCUGAUAAAUAAUAGUAGCAUGCUGUUAAUAAUAUUAUUGAUUAUAACGGUGAUAAUAAUAAUAACAACAAUAAUAAUAUUGCUGAUAAUGGGGAUAGAAGUAACGACAAUAAUUAUUCUUAAAUUCAUACAACGUGUGUUUCAUAAGACUAAAAUUGUAAUUUGCAAAAAAAAAUUCUUGAUUUUAAAAACGAACAUAAAAGUGUUUUGAAAUUAACUUAAAAAUUAUUUCAACUUCAUUCUACUCAAACACAUUAAUUUUUAAUAAUUACAUUUUAAAAAUCAAAAGGUUGCAACUACUCCAAACUGGCCUUAUGGAUUGGUUUUGAAUUUCAAAAUAUGUUUCAAAACAAAAUUAUCUCCUAAAACAUGUUUAAAACAAUUAUACAUACAUUUUUAAUUAGAAAUGUAGUUGCAUAUAUUUAACAAAAAAAAUCACAAAUUCUUACAAAUUUUAUAAAUUAUUUCAAAAUUUUGGAAUAUUUCUUAGGACCCACUAGAACACUUAGAUUAGGAGGAAAAAGAUAUUAUUUUAUGAUAGUAGAUGAUUACCCUGGAUACACCUUGUUUCUCAGGCAAUGAAAAACUGAUCUACAGAAUACAUGCAUGGUAGCCUAUAAUCUUUUAGGACAAAAUGAAAUCUUUCUUGUUUUAUCAAUUUAUCAUGUAUGGGCAGGAUUAUUAUUAUUUUUUAAUUCUUAUAACACUUCUCAUUUUCCAGCGGAAGAUUCUCUAGAUGAUAGAGGUGGGGCAGGAUGAAGAAGACAAGGACAAAGUUGUCAUUUUCCCAUGGGUUUGAAUUUUUCACUAACAAUUAAAACAUGACGUUGCAAUAAAAAAACAUAAAAACAAAGUCGAAGACUAACUCUAGCGGCAACCAAUCACUCUAUUUACAAUGAGGUCUUUUUUUUAAUGAGAACCACAAUUUGUCUUAGUAUAGGAAAGAAUAUUAUUUACGAAUUCUACAAAGAAAUAACACUUGUAGUUUUUUAAAAUGUGCAACAAUUAAUUAAUCCUAUUUGACGGAAAUAAGGGUGGUUAUGUACUAUACAAAAUGACCAAUCAAAAUAAUUAAAAUUUUUAUUAUUAUUGUUUCUGGUCAAGUUUAGAAUUUCCUUUUUUUUUUUAAAAAAAAGACUCUCACCCACUCCCACUAAAAAACAACACGGAUCACGUUGCGCACACCAAUUUUUUUUUUCAGGGGGUCCUUUUCUCCAUCUUAGAAUAUCAAAACGCAAAUUCAUUUUGGGCUAUUUGGCUUAAAUAUAUUUUUAGUUAAUCUAAGUUAUUAUUUUUUAUUUUUUAUAAGUUUUUUUUUUAAUUUUAAUUUAGGUGAGUUAUCGUUUUUUUAAUUUUGGUUUUAACGAGUUUUUUUUUUCAUUUUUUUUAGUCUUCACAAGUUCAUAAUUUUUAAUUUUAAUCUCUUUAAGAUUUUAAUUUUUUCAUUUAUAAUUCUCCUAAAUUUUCACUUACAGAGACGAAAAUUAGAAAAACUUAAAUUCAUAAGAACUAAAAAAAAAAAAAAAUACAAACUUACAAAUACUAUUGAAAAAUAAACUUACACAAACUAAAAAUGAAAAGAUAUUUACUUAUAGAGGGAAAAACAUGUGUUUUUUAAAACUAAAAUUCUAAUUUGCAAAAAAAAAAUCAAUUUGAAAAUCAACAUAAAAGGGUUAAUUUUGAAAUUAACUAAAAUUACUUGAACUCCAUUUUACCAAACACAUUAUGUUUUAAUAAUUACAUUUUAAAAACCAAAAGGUUGCAACCACUCCAACUGGCCUUGGGGUUUGUUUUUGAAUAUCAAAAUAUGUUUCGAAAGCAAAUUAUAUCCUAAAACUUGUUUUAAAAAAUUAUAUAUACAUUUUUAAUUAGAAAUGUAGUUGCAUUAAUUUAACAAAAAAAAUCAGAAAUUCUUACAAAUUUUAGUAAUUAUAUUAAAAUUUUGGAAUAUUUCUUUGGACCCACUAGAACACUUAGUUUAGGAGAAAAAAAUAUGUGACUUUAUGAUAGUAGAUGAUUACUCUAUAUACACUUUGUUUCUCAGGCAAUGAAAAACUGAUCUACAGGAUACAUGCAUGUUAGCAUAUCUUUUAGGACAAAAUGGAAUCUUUCUUGUUUUAUAAAUUUAUCAUUUAUGGCAGGAUUAUUAUUAUUUUUUAAUUCUUAUAACACUUCUCAUUUUCCCGCGGAAGAUUCUCUAGAUGAUAGAGGUGGGGCAGGAUGAAGAAGACAAGGACAAAGUCAUCAAUUAUUUAAUUUUAAUUUGAACAAUUAAAAUAUUUUAAUAAUAAUCUUUGAGCUAAUAAAGGUGGUUCACACAUGGAUUCUUCGAUGUACUUCUUUACUCAAUUUGCUAAAAUAAUAAAGGUACAAGUACAAAGACAAAUAUUUUAGGAUUAUAAAAUGGUGGGUUUGAAUUUUCACUAACAAUUACAACAUGACGUUGCAAUAAAAAAACACAAAACAAAGUCAAAGACUAACUCUAGCGGCAACCAAUCACUCUAUUUACAAUGAUGUCUUUUUUUUUUUUUUUAAUGAGAACUGCAAUUUGUCAUAGUAUAUGAAAGAAUAUUAUGUACGAAUUCUACAAAGAAAUAACACUUGUAUUCUUUUUAAAAUGUGCAACAAUUAAUUGUUCGUAUUUGACGGAAAUCAAGGGUGGUUAUGUGCUAUACAAAAUGACCAAUCAAAAUAAUUAAACUUUUGAUUAUUAUUGUUUCUGGUCAAGUUUAGAAUUUCCUUUUUUUUUUAAAUAAGACUCUCACCCACUCCCACUAAAAGACAACACGGAUCACGUUGCCCACCAAUUUUAUUUCAUGGGGUCCUUUUCAAUGUUAAUCUAAGUUACUAUUUUUUAUUUUUUACAAGUUUAUCUUCUUAAUUUUAGUUCACCUAAGUUAAUCUUUUUUUUUUAAUUUUUUUUCUAGUAAGUUCUUUUUUUAUUUUAUUUUUAGUAUUCAUAAGUUCAUAUAUAUAUAAUUUUAAUCUCUUUAAAAUUUUAAUUUUUUUAUUUAUAAUUCUCAUGAGUUUAUACUUAUACAAUAAAUUUAUACUUGUAAAGACCAAAAUUUUAAAAAACAACAUAAACUUAUAAAACUAAAAAUAAACAAAAUAUCGCAUAAGAAUCACAAUAGAAAAAACACACAUACACUGCAAUUUAAAAAAUAAACUUACCAAACUAAAAAUGAAAAGACAUUUACUUAUAGAGGAAAUAAAAAAACAUAUUUAAAUGUAGGCAUCACACCCCUAGAUCCAUCGUCCUUAAUUAUCCUUUAACAUAAGAAUACUCACACAUAUACCAUCACGUACUAUCCUCCCUCCCUCAGUUUUGCUCUCAGAUUUGACCUCAAUGCACCACACUGCACGUACGUACUCACUACCUUUGGCUCUUCUUAAUUAUGGUUGAACCUGCAGGCAGCAAACCCUAGCUUGCAUCCCCUCACUCUUCAUUUCACCCGCAAGCCACCAUUCUAUAAUUCAUCUCUUAUAGUUUUACUUCAUCUCCAUUCAUAGCAUAUAUAUUAUUAUGCGUAGGUGAACCAACCACACUGACCUCCUGGAUCAUCUCUGACAAACCCUACUGAAUUAGAAACCACCAGCAGCAGCAGCAGCAGCAGCCUAACCAGUCAGGUAAAUUAUUUUUUUAUUAUUAUUACAAGUGCAAAAAAGACACUCUUACUUAAAAGUUACCUGUAUACGUAGUCGGGUGUAAUUUGUUUUGAAAUAUGUAAUUGCUGUUGGAAGUUAAAAUAAAAUGUUUGUAGCGGUUAUAAUAGUUGAUGGUAAAUACGUUAGAAAAAUGAGCAGUUAAAAGCACUUGAAGGUGUGUGGUAAUCGCUGUUGCACGUGUUUGUGAUCUUUUGUUUAAUUAAGCCAGUGUUUGGAAACAGGUGGAUCAGGAUGUUGAAAAAACUGUGGUGGUCUUCUUAAAACUACUCUCUCUGAAGUAGUACUGAAUAAACAUGUAAGUCGACCGAUCUUUCCCUAUUCCAAAUAUAUCGGACAUGUUGCAGUUUUUUUUAUAUGGCACCUUAGACCAAUAGAACAUCACGAGGGAACUUUGAGCCCCUGAGUUUCUUGUUAUUUUUCAUUUUAUUUUUAAUACCAUUUGAUGUGUUCGUUUCUUUUUUUUAGAUUCCCGCGAAAAGGCUUAAGCUUUGUGAUCUUUUUUUUUAUGACAUGAUUUAUUAGGGAAAAACAAUAAUUAUAUUGGUUGUAUGUGUUUUUUUUUUUAAUUUUAUUUAAGUUGUAUGGGAUUUUUUGUGUUUUUUUUUAUUAAUUUUAGACAAAUUUUAUUAUUGUUCUUGAUUCUGGUUUUCUUAGUUUAAAUUAUGAUUAAUAUUAAAAUAAAAUUGUUUUGUGAACAUCUUUCUAAUUUAAAAAUAAAUAUAUCAAAGAAUAUAUAGGAAGACCUUUUAAUUCAAAUUAAAAGAUUAUUAUUUUUUGUGCUCUCUUUUUUUUGUGAUGUAUAUGACACUCUCUAUCUCAUACAUAUAUGUACUAUAAAAAGAAAAGAAAUCAUAAUUAAUCAAAAGUGUUUAAAACACAUUUAUAAAAAAAAAUCAUUUCAAAGGAUAAAAGACUCACAUUCAUUUUCUUUUACAUCAUAUUUAAACUUGUCCAAAAUAGAUAAUAAAUUCAUCUCGGCUCAAACAAGGUCAUCUAAGACUUCAUAUAAUCAAUAUAAAAGCUUAUAUCCUAAUGUCAUAUACUAUUAGAACAUUGUGUCCCGACGUUCUUCAUCACAAGGUUCCUUAAAACAAUUCACCUAGUCAUCUGUUCCUCCGAACACAAAGUUCAAUAUCAUCACAAGACCCAAAUACAAACAACAUACAAGGAGUGAAUUAUCACAUUCCUAACUAAUAGAGAGAAAUAAGAUAAUAUGUAGGUAUAAACAUUAUAUAAACAAAAUACAGCUUACUUAAGCAUCACUCACAUUAUUUCACAACUUUGUCACACAAAAUCACAUCACAAUACCACACAUCUCAUUUGUUUUCACAGCAUUCACGUACUCAAUGGUCAAACACAAUAUCACUAAAUCAAUCAAUAUCGAAUAAUACACAAGCGUUAUGCAACAGAUAUACUAAGACUCAAUCAUAUAUGCAAUGUGGUAUCAUGUCAGUGAAAAACCUCGUCGGUGCCUAAGAGUACAUUACAAGACAAACCACACACUAGUAAGUCAGAUCACUCUCACUAGGUAAAAUCAUAGGGAAAGCAGUCAGGGUCACGUUGCUUUGUGAGAAUGCUCCAACCAUAUGGGGUCAACAUAGGCUUAAAGGAACACUCAAACUGGGUGUAUUUACCCUUAAGGCUUACACUCUGAAGGGUUUGUCAAGGUCUCUCCCUCCUGAUUCAGGUCCAACCUAGAAAACAUUUUAGCACACAGACUUUAUCUAUGAACUGUACAAAACACACAACUCCUCAAUUAUUCUCAAAAUAGUUUUAACUCGUCCCCCUUAAAGAGUCCUAGCAUUAACUUGUCGCCUUUAAAGGGUCUUAACAUUAACUCGUCGCCCUUAAAGGGUCUUAUAGUCGUGCGAUUGUAUAAUUCAUAGUUCAUAACUCAAUGCACACAACAUUUCAAUGCACACAUCUCAAUCACAUACAUACUUAAUUUAUCACAUAUACUCGAUCUCAAUUACAAUGGUAUAAUUUCAAUUUAACACGUUAUCACACCCCAUGAAUCAUAUACACUUUACCUAUGAACUAUGCGAUACACACAACUACUCAAUUGUUUUCAAAAUCAUUUUGACUCGUCGGGUUCCCACAGUGGAUCACAUCACCAUACUCGUCGCCCUUAAAGGGUCUUACAAUUGUGUGAUUGCACAGUUCAUAGCUCACAACUCAAUACACAUGUAUUUUACCUUUAAUCACAGGUUCAAUUUAUCACAUACUCACGAUUUGAAUCACAAUUUCAUACUCUCAAUAUAAAAAUUUAUACAAAAGGUUUAGCACAACAUAGGGAGUAAAACCCCUCAAAUAAUUUCACACAAUUAUAUCAAAAUCAUAGGUAUGAAAAAAAUGAAAACAUCAAGAGCACUCUAUUUUAUCAACCAAUUUACACCAGGACAUCAAUAUUGUAUUUAUAAUCAUAAAGAAAAAAUUUCAUUUAAUGAACAUCCCAAAAUAAACCAAAUUUAAUCCUUUAAGGAUCACUACAUAUGUUCAUUGUAAUCCCAAUUGCGAUAAACUCAUCCCCUACCUCUAAGCGGGCUCACGUAUGUUCCGGCAAUGAUAUCGGCAUCUCUGGAAAUUUCUUGAUAUUACUCAAGAUUUUCCUCUAAUUGCUCUAAUAGGGUUCUCAAUGUUAGAGAGAAGGAAAAGGGAUUGAAGCCUCCAUUUGUACUAUUUUCGUAUGAUUCCUUUUUAUCUCUUCAUAAAUAUUAUCCCGCGAAUCCCAAUGGUGUAGGUGUGAAGAAUUGAAUCAAAAACCGCAUAUCAAAAUUUCAGGACAAUCCAAUGGUUAACGAGAUCGGGAUCAUAGUUCUACCGAGACAGUUUUGGGUUUCUGUGGAAAAGGAAAAAGUUACAAUGCGAAGGAUAUUUCUCUCGGCUCCAUCAUGAUCUCGUACUUCCCAAUGGUGAGAAUGCUUGAAAUUGAGUUGAGCACCUGGUGCUUAAAAUUCACGAUAAUCCAACGGUAAAUCCAUUUGAGAUCGUCUUUUUUCUAGGAUAAGUUAGGUGGUAUGCGGGAAAAGAGAGUGUUUUGGGAAGAGAAGAGGGAAAAAUGAAAUUGAGAGGAAGAACAGUCGUAAAAGCUAUCGUCAGUCUGAAAACUGACAUAACAUAUCACUAUUUAUACUUAGGGUACUUACAACUUAUUAUCUACUUUAUUUAUUUAUUUUAAUUAUUUUAUAAAAAGGAACUCUAUUUUAUUUCCUAUCAAAUGAAUAAAUCAAAUAUAUAUAUAUAUAUAUAUAUAUAUAUAUAUAUAUAUAUAUAUAUAUAUAUAUAUAUAAUCCUCAAACCAUUAUUUUAUUAUAACUAUUUUUCUUUAUUUAUUUAAUUAUAAAAACCUCACCGCUCUCUAAAACUUUAUUUAUUUAUUUAUUUUUACUAAAAAGUCUUUUUUAUUUUAUUUACAAAAAAUGGGAUGUUACAAUUUCACUCCCCUUAAAAGAAGUUUUCGUCCCCGAACUUUACUGAAGGAUUGAGAAAAAUAUAUUACGCAUAUGGUUCUCAAUAUUGAGUUGUGUUCCCAUUUGAAACUCUUUUUUGUGACUUCGAUCAUAAGACUCAUAUGCACUUAGCAACUAAAUCCGGCUAUCCUUGUUUACUUAAUGAUAGUAUUUCAUAAGUUAAGUCUUCUCACGAGAGUGACAUCUCAACAAUAAUAGAAUGUGAAUGACAUACUAUUUGGAGUAGGGUAAUAUCAUGGGAGACACGAAUGACAAUUUGAAACGAACAAACAUACACAAGAAAAUGCGACUAACCACAUGGUCGACUCUUUUUUGAACAUGAGACGUUAAAAAAAAGAGUUUUGAGACUCUCACACUCUACCAAUUCUAGUCCAAAAAUGACCAUCGAGAAUACAUUAUUUGCCUACCCUCAGGCCUAAGCCUCUUCCUUCAAUGCGAUCUUUCUCACUUUGGUAUACUUGACUCAUAAAUCUCACUUAGGUUCAAGAAUUGUAACGGUUCCACUCUAGGAUUUCCUACCUGAUAUUAACUGGGUGCUAAUUGAAUAAGCAGAACAAAUCACUACUAGAAAAUAUUCUUUUAACAUCGGUUAUUUAGGACUUUCUACAUCGAUUUUUAACCGAUGUUGAAAGUAUUAUGGUUAACAUCGGUUUUCAAAAACCGAUGUUAACGUAAAAUUUACAACAUCGGUUAUCUAAAUAAUCGAUGUUAUAUAAUAAGAAUUACACCAAAAUAAAUGUAUGAAUAUUGACAGUUGACAUCGGGUUUUAUACAAAACCGAUGUUAACUUAUAGAUCAACAUUGGUUUUCUACAAAAACCGAUGUUAAGUUCUAAACGUUAAUAUCGGUUUUUGUAUCGAUAAGUUAACAUCGGUUUUGUUUAAACCCGAUGUUAUAUGUUUUUAGGUUAACCUCGGUUUUUAAACAAAAAUUUAUGUUAAUUUAUAUGUUAACAUUGAUUUUUUUUUACAGAAACUGAUGUUAACGUUUUGGAUAUUAACAUUGGUUUUUACAGAAAUCGAUGUUAACAUAUACCAACAACAUCAGUUUUUUGAAGAACCGAUGUUAAGUUAUAUGUUAACAUCGAUUUUUUCAAAAACCAAUGUUGUUUGCGUAUAUUAACAUCAAUUUUUGUAAAUAACUGAUGUUGUUUUUAUGUUUUUUUUUAAAUAUAGAUUCUGUUAUUACAAAAAACACAAAAUUUAACCUGUAAAAUUGAAAUCAGACCACAGAUCGCAGUAUAUAUCAUUUGUUUUCUGCUUUCAAAUAGUUUUUAAUAGAAAGUUGUAUAGUAAACUAUCAAUUGAUAACUAUAUAUGAAUAAAUGAUUUAUUAAUAACUAUCAAUAAAGAAUAUUCAUUGUUCAAAUGACAUAGCAAUUGGCAAAAAUGUAAAGCAAGGUAUUAUAUCCUAAAAUGAAAUAGUUUCCUAACAUCCUAAGUUCCCUAACAUCCUAACUUUGAUUUCUAACUUUGAGAUAAAAUUGUGCCCACUGGAUGUGAAGGGCCUUCAAUCUCUCUGCCUCCAAUGGUCCAACAUCGUUAAAAUACUCCAUGAUGAAAUAAAACAUAAGCUAAUAAUGUAAUACCAAUGACAAGAAAAUAAACCUUGUUUGAAAUAAACAAUUAACAUUUCUCAGUUAUUCCUGAAAGUUCCUAAGAUUAUGGUGGACAUCCAGUGCAUGACAUAAUAAUCACACUCAGUGCUUCCUUUUUGUCUAUUACACUAAAUACAUAAUGAAAUUUGGAUAUUCAUUAAACGUUAACUACAAUUAGUGUACAGACACAUAAGCAAUAUAUAUAAGUAGAAUUUUUAUUUAAAUCACGUACCUUAACAACAAUCCACCUAGCACCAGCCUUGGAUUUAGGCUAUGGAGUAUCAUUAAGUCUUUUCAAAGCACUAUUGAAUACGGGAAACAUUAAAAUAUAGAUGUUGUUCAGUUAUGCUAAUGCAAAUGUAUUGAAAACAACACUGACUUGUUAAUUAUUCCCUUAAGGUAGUUGUCUGACCUGUUAUGCAAGGAACAAAACUAGACAACAAGGUUUUCCUUAGGCAGAAUGACGACUAUUUGCCAGUGUCCGCUGCAGUGGAGACGAAUAUGGGUUAUUGUAGUAGUAUACAUGAUUAGAAUUAAGUUGUUGUGUUUGACUUACCCAUUCAGGUAGGCUCCAAGGUAGACAUCACAUUUUGAACUUUGCAUCCAACUCUUGAUGUAAGUUUCUGAUUCAAAUUGCAAUUGCCCAGCUCUCUGAAUGGACUGUGGCUCGAGGAAUCCAUAGACAUCGAAAUUCCUUGCUCGCAUACUUGUCUCAGUCAGAUGCCUGUUGUUGUUAAGAAAAAGUAAAUUAUGUAGGAAUUUAAGACAAUAACUUAGGAAACUAAUAGUAAUCUAAAUUAACUUACAGAAUCCAUAACUGUAGAACAGAUAUACUGAGAUGACAUUGACCACCAUGUGCAAUUUCAGAGAGAUCUUCGUGCUUUAUGUACAAGGGGAAGUUUUGAUUAAACACCCCAAACACGGUAGCAUCCCAUAUAACCUGGAGAGGCUUCAAAAACAACUUUGGGAUGGUCAAUGUCAUCAGAUACAGGGGAUCAUCCACCUCAAGAUCCGACCUUCUAGAGGUUUUGGUGGAGACACAACUGCCUGUUGAUCAAACAUAGUUAAUUAACAAGUUUUGAUUACAGUGAAAAAAUCAAAUGAAAAAAAAGCAUAUAAUCAGAGUAAAAUACAUGUUCUGAUAAACGCUUCAUGAGAUGUGUCAGCCAAGCAAGGAAGGUGUUAAGUGCUUGCCCCACUAAGGUAACCUCGUCAAUGGGUACGGGAGCCUCUGCAUCUUUAACCUCCUCAACACAAACCUUCACUUGGCUAGGCAACAAAGGGAUGUUGUGAACCGUUGUGGAUCCCUCAUAAACUCUUCCUAGGGCAACCAGGCGGGAAGAAUUUUCUUCAAGGUACAACCCGCACUUGUCUGAGUCACCCGUCUCUGGAUCGUUCCCUGAGUGAUCAACACAACUCUCCUUUGUGCUAACACGAGGCCUUGAGGGACCAACCUCAGGCUCCGGAGGUAGUGCAAGUCCCUAUGAUUGCAUGUGCGAUUGAAACUGGGACUGCAUCUAGCUGAAGGAUGCCAUCAGCUACCGAGUCACUUUUUCUAUGAUCGACUCCUCCAGUUGGUCCCUGAUUUGUUGGGUCAGCUGUUGUAGGUCUUCAGGAGGGAGGGAGGAAGAACUACGGGAGGUUCGUGGAGCCGAUCCGAAGUAUUGCUUUAUGGUGACACCGACUCCAACAGCAUGGACAUGGUCAGGGUGUUCUGGUCGCCUAAUGGCAGCAGUCAGGACAUCCUGACGUCCAUGGGGGACGAACGAUCCCGGUGAUGUCAACUCCUCCAAAGAAUCUUGUACAAAACACAUAUAUUUGUCCAAGGCAUUCACAGAAUAAACAAAGAUAAUUACAAUUGUUAAUUGAAAAUGACUUACAAUCUUUUCAGCAAUUUCCUUUGUUGCCUCAGACAUCAUCUGCCUCGUUUUCUUGGUGUGAGCCAUCUUCAACUUCACGUGGCGUCUGAUGGGAGAUGGAGGGUCAAUGACAUCGUCAGUGCUUCCAGACUAGGCACCCAAAUUGGUGUUUCAUAUGAUAAAUAAAUAGCUUCCUAUUUGAUUUCCUAUUCUAUUCUUUCUUAUUCCUUUCCAACAUCGCAAAAUAUCUUUCAUUAACAUGUGCUAUAAUCAAAUGCACUAAUGCAGAGUUGAAGUGGCAAAACCUUUGCACAGUUACUUUUGUUAUCUUGUUUCUUAAAAUUAAAAAUAAAACAUAUAAUAUCAUACAUUCUUUCCUUCAUCUCCAUCACAAAUCAGGAUAAGGCCUUUUCCUUAUGAGUGAGGUCAGAUUGCUUCCUAUGGGCAUAAGGUUUUUAAAAUAUGGUGAGACUAUGUUUGUAGCAAAAAAAAAAAUGUUUAUAGCAAUAAUUAAAAGAAUUUUGAAGUAUUUUCUGUAAUUGCAACCACAUUAGUCACAUUUGUCUACGAAUUCAAACUUUAAAAAAAAUAUGGUUUGCAAUUUGCACUUCAUUCAAUAAGAUAUUGCAUAUACUUUUUUCCUUAGUAUAACAUGUAUACUUUCCCUAUUAUCAAGAGUUGGUGGUUGAUCUUGAGCUAAUUCCCAUAAUAAAGCAACCACCUUGGGUAGUGCACAUUCAUGUCAACAUCACAAAUAACACACAAGAUUUCUGAACAAACUAGAAAAAACCUCCCAAAAUUAUGUUUCAACCUACAAACCCAUGUCUCUAAAAAAUUACAAUGAAUGAUAAACACUCCCUCACAACAAUAGUCCCUCUCGAAAGAACCGAAAAUGUGAAACGGGCAAAGCAAAAGAACAAACAGGUCAAACUACUUCUGAUCAACAAGGUAACAGAGACCCCUACCCCAACCAAAAAACAAAGUCCAAUGACCAUAAUGUGGGUCUCUACAACAAUGUCCUUACAAAAAGCAAAGAAAACAGAGUCUAAAUGCAACAAAAACGAAUGAAGACAUGAAGCUUACGUCGAGUGGCAGUGACGAUAGGGUUUCAGCGCGCAGAGUGGGACUAAGAAAGAAGAGUCACGAGGUGAUGUGGUUGCAGUUACAAUAGGGUUUCAGCGAAAGUCAUAGAUUCAGCGACAAUCGUAGCUUCAGGCGAUGUGGUUGCAGUGAUGUAGUUUGCGGCAGUCGGUGCUCAGGCGGAAGCAGAAAGGAGAAAUGAUAGGGUUUUAGCGCGCGGGUGAUGAAAUCAGGUUUUUAAUUUAUCAACAGAACAACAUCGGUUUUUUAAAAAUACCUGAUGUUGACCUCUAUUAGUUAACAUCAGUUUUAUGACUAACUCUACUUAUUUACAAAAAUGCCACCGUAGUUUUCUUAACAUCGGUUUUUUGAAUAACCGAUGUUAAUCGUGCGAUGAUAAAUUUAUAAAUUGUAGUAGUGGAUCACUUCUUACUUUUGUAAACUUGUUCAAACUUAAGGUUUACUCCCUACAGGAAUUUCAUCAGAAUGCUUAAACUUACUCGAGUCAUCUCUAACAAGGGUUAAGGUUAAUUCAAGGAAUCCUAGAAUAACUUUCUGGUUCUACUACUAAUUAAAGGUGUCUUAUCUUAAUCUUAGGUUUUCUCUCAUCUCAAAAAAACUUGUGUUUGAGAAGGAUUUAUAGUUAUUUCUCACUUAGACGUAGCAUACUCUAAGGGUCAUCCUCAUCUAACUAAAAUACAUAGAAACAUGCUUAACAUGAGAGGUGAUUCUCAAAGGUCUAUAACAACUUUAAGAUAGUUCACAUACUCUAACCAAACUCGAAACACACGAAAGCUCCAAUCACUAAAAUCACCAUGAACAUAUAGGGACAUCGAUCUUGUCUAGGCAUGACCAGGUACACGUAGAGGUCACAACAUGUACUAAGGUAGUCAUCAGAGCAUCCUCAAACUUUUCCCAUAUUAAGGUAAAGAAAACUAAGAUUUAUCUUGCUAAUCAUGCAACUAUCAUCAAUAAUCCUUUAGGUCACCUACCUUACGCAAGAGCACUCAUUCUCGAACCCUUCCAUGCUAGGUCAUUAACGUCUUACUAACUAUCUUACACUCUUCUUAAGGUUUCACACUAAACAUCUUAAUUAUUCUUCACAACUUCUCCAACUACUCUAUGUUCUUAAACAAUUGUAUAUCAAAUAUUACCCUAGAACUACAGUUACAAGUUUCUAUAGGUACUACACCUACAAGAUUUUCAAUCUCACACUUAGGUGAUAACUAAGCACAUCCUCAAGGAACACAUGUACAUGACUUACUAAGUUUGACUUUUGUCUACAAGUAACAAGGAUCAUACUCACUCAAAUAUUUUCCUUUCGAAACACCUUAACGUGAUUGGCAAGGGCGAAAUCUUUCACUAUUUGUAACAGAACUAACAACAUGACAGAUUACCAAGCAGUUUAAUAAGACGUGAUUGGAAGAUAAGCAUCCCAUAACAAGAUGAACACUCAAUUGAUUAAGAGACGAUAAUUUUAAAUCGAGGAUGAUCACUUAUUCAUAAUCAACAACAAUAUUCCAAAUGAAUUCUAGAAACAAAAACAUGACCACAAUGUAAACCCAUAUGGAGACGUUAACAAUCGCUUGAUUAUGACAAAAACAUCAGUAACCCAAUUUAAUUGAUGUAGGCUCAUAACACAAAGAAUGAGUUAUAUUAUGGUUUGCAAGUAUAAUCGAGUUACUUGACUUCAGCAGCACACAACACAAGAAAAUGGGUGGCACUAGAACUGGAAGGAUAAUCAAAAUAGUAUUCCUUUUGAAAUAUAUCCCAAUAUGGGUCAUCAAACUAUAAGGUAUUAGCAUCGCUAAAACAAGAAAUCACAAACAACCAUAUUAUCUAUACAAUUAAGGCAAAACACCAUACUACAAGCACACAUAGAAUUAUGAGGUUUAUAUAACAAGUAUAUAGCAUGCAUAUAAGAAGUAAGAAUUAAACAGUCACUAGGAUGUAUGUAUUUAACGAAUCACAAGUUUCAACAAUCACGUUUAUGAUCACCCAUUAAGAAAAGAAGGGAUUAGUCCACACAUGUUAACACAUCGAUUAAACACACUCAUUCACAACACACUUGUAAGUUCAAGGUUCUUGAUGACAUUAAUACACACAUCAAGUUUUCAAGACAACUUGUAUCACUUAAUGGGUUGCCAUGACAUCCUACCGCACUUCACGAAUUAUAGAGAUGACCAGUCUCAUAACUCAUGACUCAACAGUGGAUUUAUGGUAUAACAAACAUUAAGGAUGCAACGCACAUUACAAGCAUCAUUCAAUCUCAUUUAAUCAUGCUAAUGAAAAUACAAUUAAUAAUUCAAGCAUGUUCAACAAAACUACUCAUAAGUAACCACACAGAGUGCACACCAGAAUAUGAUAAGCACAUAACACACUGGUCGAAAGGUUCGACCUGCUCUGAUACCACUAAAUGUGACACUCUCUACCUCAUACAUAUAUGUACUAUAAAAGGAAAAGAAAUCAUAAUUAAUUAAAAGUUUUUAAAACACAUUUAAGCACACAGAAAACAUUUUAGCACCUGGUUACAAUGCGAAGGAUAUUUCUCUCAACUUCGACAUGAUUUUGCAAUUUCCAACGGCGAGAAUGCUUGGAAUUGAGUUGCAAAUCUGGUGCUUAAAUUUCACGAUGAUCCAACGAUAAAUCAUUUCGAGAUCAUCAUUUUUCUAGGACAGGUUUGACGGUAUGCGGAAAAAGAGAGUGUUUUUGGAAGAGAAGAGGGAAAAACGAAAUUGAGAGGAAAAGUGAUCGUAAAACCUAUCGUUCAGUCUGAAAACUAACCUAACAUAUCACUAUUUAUACCUAGGGUACUUAUAACUUAUUAUUUACUUUAUUUAUUUUAUAAAAGAAGCUCUAUUUUAUUUCCUAUCAAAUGAAUAAAUUAUAUAUAUAUAUAUAUAUAUAUAUAUAUAUAUAUAUUCCUCAAACCAUUAUUUUAUUACAACUAUAUUUUUUUAUUUAAUUAUAAAAAUCUCAUCAUUCUCUAAAGCUUUAUUUAUUUAUUUAUUUUUACCAAAACUUUUUUUUAAUUUAUUUAUGAAAAAUAGGAUGUUACAAUGUACACCUGAUUAUAUCCUGACUAUUGCUUUGCAUCACAAAUGAACACAAUUUAUUAUGAUAUAACAAAAAAAUAAAUAUUUAUGAUACAAAAAGAAAAAUUCAUUAAUUUAUCAUAGACUAAAAAUAAAUUAAUUUUAAUCUUUUUAAUAUUAUAUAAAAUAAACUAAGUACUACACUAAGUAAGAUAAAAUUGUAAAUAAAAUAAGUUAGGUGAAAUUUUCAAACUUUAGAUGCGAGACGUAGAGUUGCCAUGAUAGUAUGGACGUUUUCUAUUAUUAAGUCACGUUAGAAUGGAUAUUGCUUAUUAUAUAUUAAGCCACACCAUUCAUUUUAAGCUAUCUGUACGUUUAUAUUGUGAGAUGUUUUUCACAAUUGUUAUAGAUACUUGACAUUAUUAUUAAUUAUAAUUACUUUAAAAACUACUCCUAAUUGACAUUAUUACUACACAUUCUAGGUUUUCUCAGCUUGAAUACAUCAGUAGCGACUAUUUGGAUGAUAACUUAGCUUGGACUCCUUAUAGCUAUAAGGAUAUAUAGUAUUUCUAGAGAAGCUUCUGGGACAACCUAUAUAGUCUGCUGGCUGCUGCUAAACGUUUUUGUUGUGUGGCUGACACCUUAACCUGCCAUCCAUAGCAUAUAUGAAUAGGACUUGUCCGCCAUGAACCGCCAUAGAUGCGUGCACCAACUGCAGUGACAUCCUCUCUAACGAACCCUUGUGAUCUAUAGCAACCAAGUGCAGCAGCGAAUCAGCGAGGUAAAAUGUGUUUUGCUCUCUUUAUUUUAUUUUACUUUUUUGUUAUUAUUAUAAACUUUUGUGCCGAAAUCUCAUUCAUUUGUUCUUGUCAUUUUAUUUUAUAAAAAAAGGAAAGAAAUGAAAGAUAGAUGAAAAGCAGUUUGAGGAUUCAUUUAUCAAAGUAUUACAAAGUUGAUUUAUUUAUACAAAGACAAAAAAUAACUAACUUGAGUAAUUACCAACUAACUUACUCAAAUAACUUCUAGUAACUAACUAAUUAAUUGUCAUAACCAACUAACUACUCAAAUAACUUCUAAUAACUAAUGAAUUGCCAUAACCAAAUAACUUCUAGUAACUAACUACAACGGCUUAAUCGUGAUACCCCUCAAGUUGGCGAAUAGAUGUUAAUCAUUCCCAACUUGACAAUGAAUUUAGUAAAAAUCGGGCCUAAAAGUGUUUUUGUAAAAACAUCUGCAACUUGGUGUUGGCUCUUGACAUGGACUGAAUAUAUUCUCGGAUGAAAUGAUGAUCGAUGUCAAUGUGCUUGGAUCGUUCAUGAUGAGCAGGGUUUGAAGCAAGACAUAUAGCAAAUUUAUUAUCACAAAAUAGCAUCACAGAGGACACAUCAACUUCAAAGUGAAGAAGUAACUUGCUUAACCAAACAACUUCACUAGUAACAGAAGACAAGGCAUGAUAUUCAGCUUCAGUGGAUGAUUUUGAAACAAUGGGUUGUUUCUUAGAACGCCAAGACAGAAGGCUGUUUCCCAGAAAGACACAAAAGCCAGAAGUGGAUCUUCUGGAAUGAACACAGCUGGCCCAAUCAGCAUCAACAAAGGCAGUGAGGUUGAGAGAGUUCUGAGUAAGGAAAAAUAAACCUUGUCCAGGAGCAGAUUUGAUAUACUGCAGAAGAUAAUGAACAACAUGUAGGUGAGGAACUCUAGGUGCUUUCAUAUACUGACUUAAUCGAUUCAUAACAAAGGUGGUAUCAGGUCGUGAGAUGGUCAAAUAAAGCAAUCUACCAAUUGAUCUUUUGUACAUUGAUGGAUGAGGGAGUAAGUCUCCAUCAUGAAGAUUGAAUUUCAGAUUGGGAUCCAUUGGUAUAUUGGAAGGUUUGCAGGCCAAGAAACCUGUAUCUUCCAAAAGAAAUAGAGCAUACUUUCGCUAGAAUAGUGAGAUACCUCUGUUGGAUUUGGCUAUUUCUAAACCAAGAAAAUAUUUCAAAGGGCCAAGGAUCUUCAAUUGAAACAAAGACUGUAAUUUGGUCUGAACAGCUUGUACAGAGGCAACAUUGGGUCCUGACAGGAUGAUGUCAUCUACAUAUACUAAUAAAAUGAUUAAGGAAUUUCCUGAGCCAAUGGUGAAAAGGGAGUAAUCAUGCUUAGAUUGAUGGAAUCCAUGACUAAGAAAAGUAGUGGUGAACUUAUAGAACCAUUGUCUAGAGGCUUGUUUUAGGCCAUAUAAUGAUUUAUUCAAUUUGCAUACCAAUGAAGGAUUGGCUGACUUGUAUCCCUUGGGAAGUUCCAUAUAAACUUCUUCAAACAAAUCUCCAUUCAAAAAAACAUUCUUAACAUCCAACUGGAGGAGGCUCCAAUUUCUAGCAGCAACAACACAAAGCAGAACUCUCACAAUGGUAAGUUUGGCUACUGGAGAGAAUGUAUAAGAGAAAUCGAUCCCAACUUGUUGAGUAUAACCUUUGCCAACCAAUCGAGCUUUUUAUCUAUCUACAGAGCCAUCCAUUUUGUAUUUAACUUUAUACACCCAUCUACAUCUUAUACAUUGCUUAUCAGGUGGUAAUGGAACAAGUGUCCAAGUGGAAUUUGUUUCAAGAGCUUAGAUUUCCUCAUGCAUUGCUCGACGCCAUUCAGGAUAAGGAACAACUUGAUGAUACAACUGAGGUUCAUAGACAGCUGAGAUGUGAUUAAUGAAAGCUCUGUAAGAGGGGCUAAGAGGAAACAGGGAACAAUGAUGUUGGAUGGGAUAUAUAGCUUGAGAUUGUGAGAUUACAUAAUCAAACAAGUAUAAGAGAUGCUUAGAGUGGCAUGUACUCCUUCUUAAGGUGACAGAGGGCAAAGUGUUAGGAUAAUCUGAGCCAGGGAUUGAGGGUGAAUCAGUUGGGUCAUGGUUAAAACUCUUAGUUGGCUGUGGUGAUUGGCUACUAGUUUGGUCAGGGUUAGGUAAGGUAUUAGUGAUGGGAAUGGGGAUAACCAAAACUUCUUAAGGCAUGAUAGUUAGGUUCCUUUUUUAACAGAAUAUUGUAGGGUGAGCAGUGUUGCAGUAAUGGUGAAUGGGUUCUGUUGAUGAAAAAAGCUACAAUGGUAACACAAUCACCCCAAAAUGAGAUAAGAACUUUAGACUGAAAAAACAAAGCUCUUGCUACAUUGAACAAAUGUUGAUGCUUCCUUUAAACUACUGAAUUCUGUUCUGGCCUUUCAACACAGUAAAAUUGAUGAAGAGUUCCCAUGGACGCCAAAAACUGAGUGAGGGCAAGUUCCUUAGCAUUAUCAUACCUAAGGAAUUUGAUAGAUACACCAAACUGAGUCUGAACCAUGGUGAAAAAUUGUUGCACAUAGAUUGAUGCUGCAGAUUUGUGCUUAAGCAGAAAUAGCCAAAUGAAUCUUAAGCAGUCAUCAACCAAUGUAAGGAAAAAUCUCUUUCCCUCAUAGGUAGGGUGAGCAUAGGGACCCUAUAUACAACAGUGAAUUAAGUCAAAUGGUAACUCAGAUAAAUGGUUAGAGUUAGGAAAAAGAUAAUCUUCUAAAUAUAGCAAGAGGACAAACAGAACAAUUAGAAGAAGAGAAAUUGGGAGAAAUGUCCAGACCGAUUUUAUUAUUCAAAUGUUUAAAAACUUUGUCUGAGAUAUGACCAAAUCUAGAAUGCCAAAUAUGAGCAUUUUUACGAGGAAUAUAAUUUGUAUGUGAAUUGAUAAUAGAAAAAGUAAAUUUUCAAUCAAGAGUGUCCUUGAGGUCUAAGACAUAAAGGCCUUGGAUGAGAUCCCCUCUACCAAUCCUCUUGCAAGCUUGCUUUUCUUGAAUAUCAAAUUCAUUUUGGGAAAAAGAAAUGGACAAAUUAGGAUUGGUUAGAAGGGCACUAACUAAAAUUAAAUUGAAUUUGAAUUAAGGAAUGUAGGCAACAUUAUGCAAGAUUAAGGUAUUGGUUAAGAAAACCAAACCAAUGGCAAGGAUAGGUAUAACAUCAUACAUGGGCCAGUUUUUUUGGGCCUUUUUGGAUUAUUUCUCGCGUGGGCCAGGUUGUUUAUCACCUUUAGUUACCAAAAAUUUCCUGCAUCCACCUCGUUUUCCACUAUUCCCUCUUACGGGCCCACCAUGACCCACUACCUUCCUCCUCGGAUGCAUGGCCCCUGCAAGUUAUUGACCACAAACCAGUGAUUUGCUCACUAUCCUUCCUAGACUCCAAGAUCGAUCAUUCUAUGACCCCACCAACUCGUUUAGUUCUGACACAGUGGAUGGGCCAACCCCCGGAAGACACUUCUUGGGAACCUUGGCAUGAGCUCUGUGACACUUACCACAUUAAGGACAAGGUGGUGUUUGAGGACAAGGGUAUUGUUAGCAACAGUUCAGAACAAGAACCCAACACAAUAGGUAUUGUUAGCAAUAAUCCAUAACCCAACGCAGGUAGGCCUAGAAGAAGGAACAUAAGCCCAAAUUACCUACAGGACUACGAUGACUGAAAGCAUCAUCAAGAGUGAACCAACAGAACCAACACUCAGCAGCAAAAGGAAGCACCAAUGGAAAUAGAAAGCAGUUGCAACCAUUAGCAAUAACAAUAAUUAGCAAAUUAUAAGUUGUUAUAAAUUUGUUAGGAAGUUUGUUACAAAGCAAUUACUGAGCUUGUAUAUAAAGAAGGUUGCAGAAAUGAAAUUCAAAGAGAGAAGUUUAUUUCAAAAUUUCUUAUCUUAGGAGGAACCUUGUCCUCGAAACAAGGUGAUAGUACCUAUUUGCUAGGUUUCCGCGAUGCUAAUCAGCAAAUGUACUGAGUCGCACAAGUAAUAUAAAAUGGUAAGAAUCGAGUAUCAAAUUCACGUGGAACUUGUUUCAUUUAGAAAAUAUAUGUUCAAUGAGAAAACAUUUGUAUAAAGCAAGUAAAUAUUAAAUGAGGGGUUUUUGUCUAAAAUUCUAAUUAACUAUAGAUUAAAAUAUCUAAAAGUUGAGAAGUAAAAACAGUCAAGAAAAAAUGUUGGGUCAUUCUACUGAACUCACUUUGAUGUUGCUAAAUAUUUUUCUCUAUUUAACGCUAUUUUAGUGUUCUUAUGCUGAAAAACUACCCAAACCAAGAUCCCUCGAGUGAAUGGGCCUAACUCUAUUUAAACUUUGUCUUUGAUCCCUCAACAAUCUUGGUCUAAACGAGUUGCAAUAAGAUUACAACAUAAUAGAAACUAAAUCACUGCACUCUGUCCCCAGACAUACAGUUCUCUAGCCUGCUCUAUCAAGUUCUAAGGCUUUAAAGCACUUUCUAAUGCUAAAGAAAUAAGCACAAAUAGAAGCAAUGAACACAUAAAGAUAACUUAAAAUAGAUAGUAAGAAAGUAUUACAUCAAAGGUUCAGUAGAACUCCCCAACAAGAGAUUUAGUCUUUCAUUACAAGUUAGCAACUUUCAGCACAAAGGAUAGAUUUUGAGGAAAGAUAAAUGCCACAAAUGGUUGAGGAUGUCUCCUCCAACCUCCAGAUGCUCUGAUGUUCUAGCUUCUUCUUUUGCUCUACUUUUUGUCUCUCCCUUUAUUUUACGCCAACUUUAGUAUUUUAAAGGCUCCUUGACGUUUUAGAUUCUGAAGGCUCGUUUAGCGUGAUUUGCUCGCUAAGCACGAGUUAAUGAAUUCUGACUUAGUGAGCUGGGUGCGCUGAGCGCGAGAAGGGACAAAUAACUCGCUGGGUGAGCUGACGGAACGCUGAGUGCGUAUCUUUCUGACUGAUCCUCUUCUAGGGUUUCCCAACACGCUAAGAGAGUUGUGUGUCUCGCUUAGCGAAUGUCACUUUCUAAGCGCAUAUGCCUCGCUUAGCGAAUGUCACUCGCUAAGCGCAUAUGCCUCACUUAGUGAGACACUAGUUGCUUCACCUUUUUCUUCUUUUAGCCUGAAACUGAAGUUGAUUCAACAUAAUUCACAAAAUUGGGAGUAUCUACUGAGGAAAAUCAAACUAAACAUGAAAAUAUGUACAAUUCCUACAAAAAAGAACCAUAAAUUGGAGGAAAGAUGCGAAUUUCAUGUGACUAUUAAAUACAAAAGUUAGUCAUAAAUAACGACUAACAAACUCCCCCAAAUUUACAGUUUUGUUUGUCCUCAAGCAAAGAAAUAACAGUUUACUUGUUCUCAAGUGACAAAAAUCAUAGUGGUUACUAAAAAAUGUGUUUGUUCCAAAACAUUCAAUCACAUAAACAUAAGUGGCAAUCAAUAUUUCAACCAAUAGCUCUUCAUAAAGAUAUGUAGAAUUUCAAAGAUAUGAACAUAGUCAUUAAGAAACAUAAGUGAAAUAAGCUAGCAAGCAAGAUAGAUAUCAAGGAAGGUUCAUCAAGCCUAAUCCUCACGGUCACUGUUUCACUCAUAAGCACAAGUGUUUAAGGCAAUUCUUCAAUUCAACAACCAACACAAGUCUCAACUUUUGCAUUUCUUCUCAUGUCAUACAAUCACAAAUACACAAAUUGAAUCUAAAGGACUUUCUUGGCUUGUAAUGAGGCUGGGCUGCAAACAAUUCAUGGUUUUUCUAGGAUGCAAACAAAAAUUAGGUUCUAAGAGAGUAUUCAUCCUUAGAUCAACUCUUUUCCUUUUAUUCCCAACUUUUAUUGAGAUGACAACAACAUUUAAGGCACUUAGCUUAAGUAACAACACACACAUACUUUUAUUCUUGAAAUAUUUUUUUAGUAGUUGUUUUACUUGCCGCUUCUUGACACAAUUUCUGUGUGGUUGUUAUUUGUCUUACCACAAUUAUCAUCACCCAAUACCUUCCCCCAAAUUUGGAACAAAUUUGCCUUGAACCAUGAUGCUCUCCUAUAACCUAAAGAAAGGUAGAUGGAGAUUAUAAUUUAACAGGCUCAGGGUUUAACUCAAUCAAUCAUAUAUAGGCUCAACAUGGGUGCAAGAGAUUCAUCAUUCAUGAACAAGGUAAGCUAUUUUGCUAAGUGGCUAAUUCAAUCAAUCGCGGCCUUCAUCAUUUCCAAAAUCAUGCAUUAAUUCAAUAUUCAGAGAUUCAUGCAAAAAUCGAUACUCAAUGCUAGUCGUUCUCUCACAAUUAAGGUUCACACACUUACUGGGUUAUGGCUAAAGACUACCUUCACAACUUACCUGUCAAACAAACUAACAUUUUCACUCAUGUUCCUAAUUCAUGUUUUUUCUCUUCUAAUUACCACAUAUUUAUUCAAAGCACAUGAUCUAACAUCGCAAUUGUUAACUCGUUGGAAAGUGUACCAAAUUGUCACAAGUAGUAAAGUACUCGGAAGUCCGAGUGUCGAAUCCAAAGGGACUCUGUUUGUACUUAGAUUAAUGAAAACCCAAUCUAAAAGCAAUGGAUAAAGAACUUAAAAUAAAGAUAAGAAAAUAUAGUAGAUAAGAUAAAGAUUUAAAGAUCAAAAUAGAAGAAAAUAAAUAAAUAAAUAAAAGAUUUAGAUUAAAAGAUUAUAAAGAUAGAAGAAAAUAAAAGUAAAAAAAUAAAAUAAAAGAUUAAGAUAAAAAAUAAGAAAAGAUAAGAUAAAAAAAAUAAAAGAUAAAAAUAGAUGAUAAAAGAAAUAAAAUCAAGAACGUGAUAAUGUUGGGACCUAGCUUGCCUUGUUUGACUAGGAUGUAUGAGUUUAUGAUUUUUCUUUAUCAAUUUAGGUGAUUCUAUUCUACCCACAUUUGUUCAAUUACUUGGCCCUGAUUCCUCACGAUGACAGACCUAUUUUAUUUAUCUAUCUUCCAAAUUCCUUUGCAAAGACUCAACAAAUAAAAUGCAUGAAGUAUGAAUUCUAGAUGUUUGCAAGAAUGCAUAGGCAUAAAAUAAACAUUAUAUGUCUAGCAAUGACUUUCCUAUGAAAUCCUUUCUUUUUGUUCUAUUAGAAGUUACCCUCUUCCGAGCGUCUAACCCCUAAAACCAAUGCAUGCAUACCUUUUUUAAAUCUUAUUUAGAAGUUACCCUCAGAAAAGAUAAUAGAAUAAAAACACCUUUGCAUUGAUAAAUAGUGAGUACAUCAUACAUCGCUUGGCUUUUAGGCCUGCCAGACCCUAACUAGGGGUUUAGCCACUCAUGGCUAUUGUGGGCUUUACAAUGGAUGGGGUAUAAGAACUGAUGAGAUGAGAUGGGUGAAAGAAAGAUAGUAAAUGAAACCCCUACUAGAGGGGGUUCUGUGGUGUUUCCCUAAGGGAUGGACCCAAUGUGUGGGUUGUCUGUUGUGUCCUUCUUGGCUUGGCUCCUUUCUUAUAGUUGUUGGAGUGGACUUGGGCCUGAUGCUAAUGAAAAUCUUUCUUAUCCAUAUUUUUGAUAUUUUCUCGAUCUUUUUUUCUUUUAAUUCAUCCUUUUCAUAUCUGCAAGCCAUAAAUAACAAAAGUAUCAAUUCUUAUCAUUUAAGCCAAAGAUAACUGCUAAAUAAAUAUUUUUAAAGAUAUUUUCAAUAUAAUUUUAUUAUCAAAAUAACUCAUAUUUAGCAGUUAUCAGCAAUUCACUCAAGUCAUGUAAUCGAUCAAUUUCAAAAUCAUUCACAAACAUAGAAUUUCAACCAAACAACUCACUGCAUAUAUAAAUGUAAAGUGUUUUAAAAACUGUAAAAUUUGCUCAAUAAGUAAAUAAACUAAACUAAAACUAAAAUUAAAAACUGUAUCUAAAAAUUGGAAUAUAAAAAAAGUUCUGUCAUCAAUCAUCUUGCGCUUGUGUGGGCUCAUCGUGAGGUGAGGCUGGAGCAUCCUAGGCUUGUUGAGGUAUAUCUUGUACUGUAGUGGGCCAGGGGUCCCAGUUGCUCUGCGCCGCCGCCAUGUCAGCUGCAUAAUCUGUGUCUCCAGCGCCAUCCUCAUCCUCGGUAAUCUCCACGAGUGGUGUGACAGUAGGUGUGACCUUUGGUGUGUUCUCUGGCUCAGACUGCACCUCUGGCUACGGCUCCUGGGCUGUAGAAGCCUUACCUCCCCCCACAGAAGAAGGUUAGACUCCUAGCCAGGCCACCUGGGCCAUAAAUGCCUCCAUGCUCAUGAUGGGCCAAUGUUGAGCCAAGUUAUGAAUGCUCUGCAUCACUAGGCAUAAGCCAUGGUGAAAGCUCUAUAGCAUCAACACUAGAAUCUCUAUGCUCUAAGCGAAGGUGUCGGAGGGUGCUAAAGGUGCAGGAGUGGAAGCUGGAGCAGCUGGAGCAGAGCAGGAAAGAGCAGAAGUGUUAGGUCCUUUAGCCCAAGUCUUGUGGGUCCCCAGAAAGGUGAUCAUGGGAUCAUCCAGGUUCUAGCUGUUCUUUCUUAUAUAAGCCAAAUUAAUGACGGGGCUAAGGGACUCGAAGGUCAACAAGUCUAGGACCACUCCUCUGGCGAUACAUAAGGCACUGAUCAAGGCUGGGAAGCCGAGCCUAGAGGAGUUGGACUGGGUCAUCUGAGAAAUCUGACCUGAGAUGAAUGAGCUCACGUCCAUGUUCAUCUUGGUCACUAGACCGUACACUAACCUCGCCCUAUCCAUAUUCAAAUCGGAUGUGUGAGAGGUGGGGGCGAGGUUAGAAUAUGAUAAGAUGCUCCAGGUUUGCGCAAGUGUAGUCAAAUCCUUCCUUGGGAGCUUCCAGGGUGCUCCUUCAGCAUUCCAAACAAAAUUGUGCCCUAGAAUACAGAGCUUGGAAGCAAGCUCUUGAGGGUCUGGAUAUGAACUACAAAACCUGGUGUAGGCAGUGUAUCUCUCCCCUGACUCCAAAACCACUGGGGUCUCCAGGAAGGUGUUCAGUGUCUCCCCAUCAAACUUUAAGCUUUCCCUGCACUCGAACCUGCCUGCGGGAUUUAUCUUCAGGAUCAUACAAAUUUGCAUAAAACUCUUUGACCAGGGCCAUAUCUGUGUGACCAUCGGGUUGCCUUGUCAAGGCUUUAUGUUAUCUUCGCCUCUUGAGCUCUUGGUGGAACUUGUACUUUGUGACAAAAAGAUUAGCGUUCCUCUCCAUAAGGAUGUUCCAGGAGUGAACGUUCUACUCAUAUCUCUCCCAGGCGCCCUCGAAAAUGAAUCUGGUCGUGUCAUAGGGCUCUUGGGGUCUGGAGGCAGUUGCCCUUCUCUUCCUAGAAGCCAUUUGCAUCAAAAGAAUCACAUGAAUUGAAAUUAGACAGGUUUUAUUCAAAAACUAAAAACAGAAAAAUAAAAUAGAAAAAUAGAUUCGACGCUUAGUGAGACUAACUCGCUCAACGAGAUUGACUCGCUUAGCGUGCCUUCAAAAAAUAAUAAGAUACGCUAAGUGCACAAGGCACGCUUAGCGCGACAACAUAAAAAUAAAGACUUUGGCUAAGUGAGACACACUCGCUUAGCUUACACAGCACAAUGGCUAAGCGAGCAGGGCUCACUAAGCCUUAUUCUCUAACAAAAAGCUAAUUGCGCUUAGCGAGACAGGCUCGCUUAGCGCGACACACUACACAGGCUUAGCGCCAACAGGCGCUUAGCCCAACUUGACCACUAGAACAUAAUUGGCUUAGCGAGUAGGCUCGCUAAGACUUAUUCCAAAACAAAGAAGAAAUUGUGCUUAGCGGGACAGGCUCGCUUAGCCCAAUUCAAAAAUUAGAAAACAUGAGAGGGAUUUAGGCUUAGCACACAGUUGCGGGCUUAGCGAGUUUUGCAGCCUUGAUUGGUCUGCAACUUUCGCUUAGCGGGACAUGACCGACUUAGCGAAUUAAAUGCCUCCAGAUGCAGUAGGGGGGUCACGCUUAGCGAGAUGGUCUCGCUUAGUAAGGAUUAAUUUCGCUCCAAAUGUUGUAAUGGCCACCCUUCAUGAUCUUUCCAAGCUUGUGCAAAGAGGUCAUGGUCAAGCCAUAUUAUAACCAUUGGUAUAUGGUAGUUGCAAAUGCCAUGUUGAUACCCAUGCAUAUUGCCUUAUGUAGGCUCUAUUGGAAUUGUCUACUGACUUUGUCAGGGUAAACCAGUGGAGUCUACUAAAUGAGCUGAGAAAAGAAUUAUUCUACAUUAGAUAAGAAUAUAUACCCUCAAAUAAAAAAAUAGCAAUGUUUGUUAUGUUGGAAUGAAAUUUUACUAAUGAAGGAAAUAUUUGAGAGUGAGAGAGAUUAGAAAAUUUGGAAGAAGGUUACUUGUACAAAAUGAACACUUCUUGAUUUAUGCCUUGAUUUGACUUCAUACAAAUUUUAAUACAAUACCCCUAUUUAUAUUGGUUCCUCCCAAACUAAUGGUUAGAAUUUUAUCAACACACUUAAUCUAGAAUAUUCUAUAAGCUACUCUAAAACUUUCUUCAUACAUAUAAAGUUACUUACACAUUCUAAAAUAUUUUAUAAAUUACUCUAAAAUUAUGUUUUACAAAAGAUUUUUCUAGAAUAUUCUUCUAGAAUUUUAGCUUAACAUGUUUUCUAGAACUUGGGAUUUUUCAUAAGGCCCAAAAUCAAGUUCGUAUUUCAACAUGUUAUUCUGUAAAAUUGAUUUUUCUUAAUUAAUGUUUUAUUUAAAAAAAAUACACAAGUGAGAAAAAAGGAAAAGAAAAAAUAUGUAAAACUUGGUAAACUAGGGGACACAAUAGUUUUUGAUAACCUACAUAAACAGGUGACAAGAAGCAAGUGGGAGAGGUUAAGAUAUUUUUUAGAACAUGAGAAAAAGGACAAAGAGGAAAAAUAAAACUUAGUAAAAUAACUACGGGACACAAGUGUGUUUGAAAACCUGCAUAAAUAUGUGAUAGCUAGGAAGCAUACAUCACAUAUUGAUGAUUGGAAAUGUAUGGAAAAAAAGGUGAUGGGAGGGGUUAAUUAAGAUCCUAUUCAAGAUGAUAAAUAAUUAGGGAAGACACGUCUGGGGGAUGUAUCGACAAAAAUAUAAUCAACUCUCCCACUAACAUCAGUCAAAUUCUAAUUUGUUUUGAUUGUUGUAUGUUUUCUGAAUGUAUCCUUUUGUUUAAUAAUUUUUUAUAUUUUGCAUAUGUAACAUUCAGGAAAAAGUGGUAGUCAUAGCAGGAACCAAAGAAACAAGAAGAACGUGCCAAUUGCCAAGGGAGAAUGGACCCAAUUACUUCUGCCACUGCCCAAAGUGCACUGCAAAUUGCAGAACAUGUGGUCAAACGACAAUUGGGUUACAUAUUUAAUUACAAAGACAAAUUUAAAGAGGUGGAACAAUACAUUGAGAGGAUGGAUGAUAAUAGGAAGAGGGUUCAAAAUAAAGUUGAUGAUGCAGAGAAGAACGGAGAAGAAAUUGAAGAUGAUGUUCAACAUUGGUUAAAACAGGUUGAUGAGAAGAUAAAAAAAUAUGAGUGUUUUAUCAAUGAUGAACGCCAUGCACAGACAAGGUGUUCCAUUAGAGUGAUCUUUCCAAAUAACUUGUGGUUGAGGUAUCGGUUAGGCAGAAAUGCUACAAAGAUGGUAGAGGAAAUCAAAGCGGAUGGACAUUCAAAUAAAGAGUUUGAUAAAGUUUCAUAUCGGUUGGGCCCAUCCUUCGAUGCUGCUUUGUUAAACACUGGUUAUGUGAGCUUUGGGUCGAGAAAUGAAACUAUGGAGAAGAUUAUGAAAGCGCUGGAAGACUCGACAGUUAAUAUUGUUGGAGUUUAUGGGGCUGGUGGUGUGGGUAAGACUACUUUAGUCAAAGAAGUUGCUGACAAAGCUCGAGAAAAGAAGUUGUUCAAUAUGGUGGUCAUGGCAAAUGUAACAAGAAUUCCUGACAUAGAACGAAUUCAAGGACAAAUUGCUGAGAUGUUGGGAAUGAGAUUGGAAGAGGAAAGUGAAAUUGUAAGAGCAGAUCGCAUUCGAAAGAGGUUAAUGAAAGAAAAGGAGAACACCCUUAUAAUCCUAGAUGAUCUCUGGGAUGGAUUGAACUUGAAUAUACUGGGGAUUCCACGUAGUGAGGAUGACGAUGGGAGCCAACAAGAUGUCAAUGAUUUAUCUGAUUUUGGUUACAAUAAGAUGGAAAAAGAAGUGUUUUCUGCCGAUUUCAAUACAAUGAAAAAAGACAAGUUAGCUGUCGAUUUCAGUAUGACGAAAAAAGGCAAGUUAUCUGUUGAUUCCAAUAUGAUAAAAAAAGAAAAGUUAUCAGGUGAUCACAAGGGAUGCAAAAUUCUUCUAACAUCCAGAAGUAAAGAAGUAAUAUGUAAUAAAAUGGAUGUGCAGGAGAGAUCAACUUUCUCGGUAGGAGUCCUUGAUGAAAACGAGGCAAAGACUUUGCUUAAGAAAUUGGCGGGAAUACGUGCCCAAAGUUCAGAGUUUGAUGAGAAAGUCAUUGAAAUUGCCAAAAUGUGCGAUGGAUUGCCUAUGGCAUUAGUUUCCAUAGGAAGGGCACUAAAGAAUAAAAGCUCCUUUGUAUGGCAGGAUGUCUGUCAACAAAUUAAAAGACAAAGUUUUACAGAAGGGCACGAAUCUAUGGAGUUCACUGUAAAGUUGAGCUAUGAUCAUCUAAAAAAUGAGCAGCUGAAACAUAUUUUUUUACUGUGUGCUAGAAUGGGAAAUGAUGCUUUGAUUAUGAACUUAGUGAUGCUCUGUAUUGGGUUGGGUUUGCUUCAAGGGGUCCACACAAUUAGAGAAGCGAGAAACAAAGUAAAUAUACUGAUAGAGGAGUUAAAAGAAUCAACUUUGUUGGGGGAAAGUUACUCUCGUGACCGCUUCAACAUGCAUGACAUUGUGCGGGAUGUUGCUCUUUCAAUAUCAUCCAAAGAAAAACAUGUAUUUUUUAUGAAAAAUGGCAUACUAGAUGAGUGGCCUCACAAAGAUGAACUUGAAAGGUACACUGCUAUAUGUUUACACUUUUGUGAUAUCAAUGAUGGGCUUCCCGAGAGUAUACACUGUCCUAGACUUGAAGUCUUACAUAUUGACAGUAAAGAUGAUUUUUUGAAAAUACCAGAUGACUUUUUUAAAGAUAUGAUUGAACUCAGAGUCUUGAUAUUGACUGGUGUUAAUCUUUCAUGCUUACCUUCUUCUAUUAAAUGCCUAAAAAAACUGAGAAUGCUUAGUUUGGAGAGAUGCACUCUAGGAGAGAACUUAUCAAUUGUUGGAGAGUUAAAGAAAUUACGAAUUCUUACUCUUUCAGGAUCUAACAUUGAAAGUUUGCCUCUUGAAUUUGGGCAAUUGGAUAAGCUGCAACUUUUUGACUUAAGCAAUUGCUCAAAACUAAGAGUAAUACCUUCCAAUAUCAUAUCAAAGAUGAACAGUUUGGAAGAGUUUUACUUGAGAGACAGUUUGAUUCUGUGGGAGGCUGAGGAGAAUAUCCAAAGUCAAAAUGCUAGUCUUUCUGAGUUGAGGCACUUGAAUCAGUUGCAAAAUCUAGACGUACACAUUCAGAGUGUUUCCCAUUUUCCGCAGAACUUGUUUUUGGACAUGCUGGAUAGUUACAAGAUUGUCAUUGGUGAAUUCAACAUGCUUACAGAGGGAGAAUUCAAAAUCCCUGACAUGUAUGACAAAGCGAAAUUCUUGGCAUUGAACCUAAAAGAAGAUAUUGACAUUCAUUCUGAAACAUGGGUUAAAAUGUUGUUCAAGAGUGUUGAAUAUUUGCUGCUAGGAGAACUCAAUGAUGUUUAUGAUGUUUUAUAUGAAUUAAAUGUUGAAGGAUUUCCAUAUUUGAAACAUUUAUCCAUUGUGAACAACUUUUGUAUUCAAUAUAUUAUUAACUCAGUGGAGCGGUUUCACCCUUUACUGGCUUUUCCGAAAUUGGAGUCCAUGUGUCUUUACAAACUGGAUAAUUUGGAGAAAAUAUGUGGCAAUAAUCAUCUUGAAGAGGCCUCCUUUUGCAGAUUAAAAGUCAUCAAGAUUAAAACAUGUGAUAAAUUGGAAUACAUUUUCCCAUUUUUCAUGGUCGGACUUCUCACCAUGCUUGAAACGAUUGAAGUGUGUGACUGUGAUUCUCUGAAGGAGAUAGUUUCUAUUGAAAGACAAACGCAUACUAUCAAUGAUGACAAGAUUGAGUUCCCUAAAUUACGAGUUUUAACAUUGAAAUCUUUACCAGCAUUUGCUUGUUUAUAUACCAACGACAAGAUGCCUUGUAGUGCACAAUCAUUGGAAGUCCAAGUGCAAAACAGAAACAAAGAUAUUAUCACUGAAGUUGAGCAAGGUGCCACUAGUUCUUGCAUAUCACUCUUCAAUGAAAAGGUAUGAAAAAACAUUAUCAUAAAUAUGUGUCCUUUAUAAUCUCUAAUGUUUAAUUUGUAUGUUAUUCAUCUAAAAGAAGUAAAAAGUUGUGAUCGUUUAAGUUUUAAUUUGUCAUUUCUCUUGGGUGUAUCAAUUUUUAAAAUCAAAAUCUUAUAGUUGAGACAUUAAUUAUAUAUGUUCUUACAGGUUUCAAUUCCCAAAUUAGAAUGGUUGGAGUUAUCCUCAAUCAACAUCCAGAAGAUAUGGAGUGACCAAUCUCAGCAUUGUUUUCAAAAUUUGCUUACAUUGAAUGUGACAGAUUGUGGUGAUUUAAAAUAUUUACUGUCAUUCUCCAUGGCUGGAAGUUUGAUGAAUCUACAAAGCCUUUUUGUAAGUGCAUGUGAAAUGAUGGAGGAUAUAUUUUGUCCAGAACAUGCAGAGGUGUGUGGAGUCAUUUAAUAUUGACUUUGAUUAUUACUAUCAUUUGUUGUUUAAUUGCAUUAAUUGUUGAGGUCAUAUAUCUGCUCACCUAACAUUCACUUUUUUCUGCAGCAGAAUAUUGAUGUUUUUCCUAAGUUGAAGAAAAUGGAGAUCAUCUGCAUGGAGAAACUUAAUACCAUUUGGCAACCCCAUAUUGGUCUUCAUUCGUUUCACAGUUUGGACUCUUUGAUAAUAGGAGAGUGCCACAAACUUGUUACGAUUUUUCCUAGUUAUAUGGGGCAAAGAUUUCAGAGCCUUCAAAGCUUGACAAUUACAAAUUGCCAGUUAGUGGAAAACAUAUUUGACUUUGAAAAUAUUCCACAAACUGGUGUUAGGAAUGAAACAAACUUGCAAAAUGUAUUUCUGAAGGCCUUGCCAAAUUUGGUGCACAUAUGGAAGGAGGACAGCAGUGAAAUACUUAAAUAUAAUAAUCUGAAAAGCAUAAGCAUUAAUGAGAGUCCAAAUUUAAAACAUCUCUUUCCACUUUCUGUUGCCACUGACUUAGAAAAACUAGAAAUCCUUGAUGUAUACAAUUGCAGGGCAAUGAAGGAGAUUGUUGCUUGGGGCAAUGGUUCAAAUGAAAAUGCUAUCACGUUUAAGUUUCCUCAGCUAAACACUGUAUCAUUACAAAAUUCAGUUGAACUUGUGAGUUUCUACAGAGGAACUCACGCUUUAGAGUGGCCAUCGUUGAAGAAAUUGUCCAUACUCAAUUGUUUCAAGCUGGAAGGGCUCACUAAAGACAUCACAAACUCACAAGGGAAGCCAAUUGUGUCGGCUACAGAAAAGGUACAUAACAAAAAGAAUGAAUUAAGACUCUCUCACUGAAUGAUGUGAGAAUAUGCCAUUUAUUUCUUAUAAAAAAAAUAACACAUUAUAAAUAUCUUGUUGAGUGGUUCCAAGUAUGCUUCAAUAUUGAUAAGUCUUUUUUAUUUAUAUAUUUUAGGUGAUAUACAACUUAGAAUCUAUGGAAAUCAGCUUGAAGGAAGCAGAGUGGUUGCAGAAAUACAUUGUUAGUGUUCACAGAAUGCACAAACUACAAAGACUUGUCUUGAAUGGAUUGGAGAAUACUGAAAUUCCCUUUUGGUUUCUUCAUAGACUUCCCAAUUUGAAAAGCUUAACAUUGGGGAGUUGUCAAUUGAAAAGUAUUUGGGCUCCUGCAAGCCUCAUUUCACGUGAUAAAAUAGGUGUUGUUAUGCAACUUAAGGAGUUGGAAUUAAAGAGUUUGUUGUCUUUAGAAGAGAUAGGAUUGGAGCAUGACCCACUUCUUCAGAGGAUAGAGCGCUUAGUCAUUAGUCGAUGUAUGAAAUUGACAAAUUUAGCAUCAUCCAUAGCAUCUUACAAUUACAUAACACAUUUGGAAGUGAGAAAUUGUAGAUCGCUGAGGAAUUUAAUGACAUCCUCAACUGCUAAAAGCUUGGUUCAACUCACAACCAUGAAGGUAUUCUUAUGUGAAAUGAUUGUGGAAAUCGUUGCAGAAAAUGGAGAGGAAAAAGUACAAGAGAUUGAGUUUAGACAAUUAAAAUCUUUAGAAUUGGUGUCUCUAAAAAAUCUCACAAGUUUUAGCAGUUCCGAGAAGUGUGACUUCAAAUUCCCAUUACUGGAAAGUUUAGUAGUGAGUGAAUGCCCUCAAAUGAAAAAAUUCUCUAAAGUCCAAAGUGCUCCAAACCUUAAAAAAGUACAUGUUGUAGCUGGAGAAAAAGACAAAUGGUAUUGGGAAGGUGAUUUGAAUGACACUCUACAAAAGCAUUUCACACAUCAGGUACGUAUUAGAUAGAGUAUUUAAUUUGUUAACCAUCACAAAAUUUCAUCUACCUACACAUAUAAAUUAUUUUUCAUUUCAUUGAAAAUUUUCCUAAGUCAAUAUUCUACAAUUGGAUAAUUAUGUCACCAUGAUAAAACAUAUAUAAUUGUAGCUUAAAUAUAUUUUUGUUCAAUUUAAGUUUAUGUUUUUUUUUAAUUUUGGUCCCUUUAAGAUAUCCUGCUCAAUUUUUUUUGUUUCAGUAAGUUUGCAUUUUUUUUUCAAUCUUGAUCCUUGUAAGCGUAAACUUAUGGGGACUAUAAAUAAAUAAAAAAUCAAACCUUAAAGGAACUAAAAUUAAAAAAUACAAACAUAUAAGAAUUAAAAAUAAAAAUAAAAACUUACACAAACCAAAAUUGAAAAGAACAUCAACUUACAGAAAUUAAAAUUAAGAAAAAAUGAACUUCCAAAAAUCAAAAAUAAAAAAGCGUUGAGGCCAAAGAACAUAUUUAGACCUAUAAUUGUAUGUUGUCCCAUAUGUAAAAUAUGAAGCAAGCUUAUUAUGUACUUUUGUAAUUUGUACAGACUCAAUUAGAUUUAUUUAUUGGUCAAGGUUUCCUUAUUUGUAGUAAUCAAGUCUGAUUUUAUUUCCAAAAUUCUUGCAUAGUUUUAUCAAGAAAGCUGCACAAAUCAACUACUGAUCUUUAUUAUACUCUUUGAAUUAUGAGAAAAUAAUAUUCACUUUUCAUAUUCCUAAUUUGUAUUAUAACUAAUUUACUGAAGUGGGAGUACAGUAUAAGAAUUUAAAUAGAAGAAUGCACUCACAAUUAACGUAAUUUUUUAGAUUGUUAUCCAAUUAUUGAUUGUCAUGAAAUAAUUAUAUUAAAAUUUAAUUAGAAUGUGUUAAAUGUAUAAAAUAUUUUUUAUUACACUGUUAUCAAGAGUUUAUCAACUUAUCAUCUUAUUUGUACUAAAAAAAAAAGCUUAUAAUCUUACCUAUAGCUUAAAAGUCAUAUCCCAAAUGAUUUUUAUUUGAUUGAUAAUAUAAAAUUAUUUUUUUAUAUCAAGAAAAAAAAGGUAUACAACAAUUGAUGUAUCAUGUUCAAUUAAUUGAGCUAUUUAAAAUUGUUCACUUUAAUUAUAUAUAUCAAAAUAGAAGUCAGAACAUGAAUGGAAAAUAAAAAAGAAAAUUGAAUUUUAAUGUGAUGGCUGGAGAUAUCUCAGCAGAGAGGCACAUAUAUAGUUUUCUACAUCAAUAGUAAACCUAAGUCGUACAUAAGCAACAAUUUUUUUUUUUUACAAUAGAAUUUUUUAAGUUUAUAUACUCUACAAUCAAGACAUUUAACUUGGUUAAAAUUUGAAAAUGAUAGUAUAAUUACAACAAUAAUAUUUUAAAGAAAAUAGAACUGGUUAGAACUUAUAAUGAAAUAGGAUUUUAUUUGAAUAUGAAGAUAAUAGCAUAUCCACAGUAACAAUAAUUAAUACAAUUAACUUAAAUAUAAAAAAAUAAUAUUCAUAUUUUAAAAUAAAAUAUUAUUUAAAGCGUAGUUUCCAGAGUUUCCAUACAUACACUCCUAACGUUGAGUUUCAAUGCUUUGAAGGUUUCUUUCGAAUAUUCAAAGCAUAAGAGACUUGUUGAUUAUCCUGAGACCAAGGCUUUUCGGCACGGCAAACCUGCUUUUCCGGAGAACUUCUUUGGCUGUUUGAAGAAAUUGGAAUUUGAUGGAGAAAGUAUAAGACAGAUUGUUAUUCCAUCUCAUGUACUUCCUUACUUGAAGACCUUAGAAGAAUUGUAUGUACAUAACUCCGAUGCAGUGCAGAUAAUAUUUGACAUGGAUCACAGUGAGGCAAAGACCAAGGGUAUAGUCUCUCGUUUGAAAAAACUUACUCUAGAAGACUUGUCAAAUUUGGAAUGUGUAUGGAACAAAAACCCACGAGGAACUCUCAGCUUUCCCCAUCUGCAAGAAGUGGUCGUUUUUAAAUGUAGAACCUUGGCAAGACUGUUCCCUUUGUCCCUUGCCCGAAAUCUUGGGAAACUUAAGACCCUUGAAAUACAGAUCUGUGACAAGUUGGUAGAAAUUGUUGGAAAGGAAGAUGUGACGGAACAUGGAACAACUGAAAUGUUUGAAUUCCCUUGUUUGUGGAAGUUGAUUCUUUAUAAGCUGUCACUGCUUAGUUGCUUUUAUCCUGGGAAACACCAUCUGGAAUGCCCCUUAUUAGAAAGGUUGGAUGUGUCCUAUUGUCCUAAGUUGAAGCUAUUCACAUCAGAAUUUGGAGAUAGUCCCAAACAAGCAGUUAUAGAGGCUCCAAUUAGCCAACUACAACAACAACCUCUGUUCUCGAUUGAAAAGGUGACAAAACAUUAUCAGUUAAGCUUCUUUUUUUUUUUUAAUUUCAUAUUAUAUUUUCCUCCUUCUAACUACCACCGUGCAUUUUCUUUUGAAUUUGUUUGGCCUUGCUAGAUUGUUCCCAAUCUGGAGGAAUUGACACUCAAUGAGGAAGACAUUAUGCUGUUGAGCGAUGCACAUUUGCCACAAGACUUCCUUUUCAAAUUAACUGAUCUUGAUCUAUCCUUUGAGAAUGAUGACAAUAAGAAAGAGACUUUGCCUUUUGAUUUCCUUCAGAAGGUACCCAGCUUAGAUUAUCUUCGAGUGGAAAGGUGCUAUGGUCUGAAGGAGAUAUUUCCCUCUCAGAAAUUCCAAGUUCAUGACCGUUCACUUCCCGGAUUGAAACAAUUAAGACUGUAUGAUCUUGGAGAGCUGGAGUCGAUAGGGUUAGAGCACCCAUGGGUUAAGCCAUACUCUCAAAAGCUUCAAUUAUUAAAGCUUUGGGGGUGCCCUCAGUUAGAAGAAUUAGUGAGCUGUGCAGUGUCUUUCAUCAAUCUAAAAGAGUUGGAAGUGACGAACUGUAAUAGGAUGGAGUAUUUAUUGAAAUGCUCAACUGCCAAAAGUUUGUUGCAACUUGAGAGCCUAUCUAUAAGUGAAUGUGAAUCAAUGAAGGAAAUAGUAAAAAAAGAAGAAGAAGAUGCUUCUGAUGAGAUCACAUUUGGAAGCCUCAGAAGAAUAAUGUUGGAUUCAUUACCAAGGCUAGUAAGGUUUUAUUCAGGGAAUGCCACUUUGCAUUUCAAGUGUUUGGAAGAAGCCACGAUUGCAGAAUGCCAGAAUAUGAAAACAUUCUCAGAAGGAAUAAUAGAUGCGCCAUUAUUAGAGGGGAUUAAAACUUCAACAGAGGAUACUGAUCACUUAACCUCCCACCAUGAUCUCAACACCACAAUCGAGACCUUGUUUCACCAACAGGUAAGGAAUUCAUUAUCCAAACUCAAUUCUUAUUUAUUUAUAACCAAGUACUGGAUCAUGAUAAUUAAUCAAUGUCUCAACAACAUUGAUUAAAAAAAUUGAAGUUAAAAUAUAUUUGUCAUUUUUAAUAAAUAUUUGAAUUUUAUAUUUAUUUUCUAAUCAUUUUUUUUUAUUUUUUUCUCUUACAAAACAAAAAUUUGUUCUCUUAUAAAAAAAAUUGAAUCGUUAUUUUUACCUUUGAAAAAACAGUAAUAACAAAUACAAAUAAUUUUUUGGGAGCAAACAAUUUUUUUAAAUUUAUAAGAGAUUAAAAAAGUGUCAAUAUGACAAAAAUAAAAAAAAAUUCUAUUAGAGACUAAUUUAAAAAAAAAUUAUGAAAGAACAAAAAAAAUCAUAUAUUUAUUAGAGAUUAAAAAUAUAUUUUAUCCAAAAUUUUAAAAUAAUUUUUUUAAAAAAAUUACUUUGAAAAUGAUUUGGAAAUUAGAAUAGGGAUGUACCCACUCUGUUAUAUAAAAUAAUAGUAUUUUAAGAAACAUUUAAUUAAUAUAAAUUUAGACAAAAUACCCUUAGUCUUCCAACCACUUUUGCCAUAAGUUAUCCUACUAGCAAUCCAAUUUAUUUUUAUGGUUGAUAUCUUCUUUUAAUGCAACUGAACUUAUUGUUGUGGUUGACGUCUCUUUUUAAGGCAAGUAUAAAUUUAACCUCCUAAUUAUAUAUAAGAGUCUUGUUGAAAAACAAUUUAAAAAGCUAAAGGACUAUUAUUUUGAAGAAGAAAAAAGCUAACAAGAUCUUUUAUUGUAACAAAUGGAAUAUUAAUAAUACUUAUUAAUUAAUUAAAAAAAAUUCUAUUUUAAAUUCUUUAACGGGUGUCCUUAGGACAUUUAUUAACAUUCGCCAUAAAUUUAAUUUUCAAGACACAAAUUGAUUCUAGAGUAGUAGUUCUCUUUCCUUAUAUUUUAAGACAAUGUUAAAUAAUAUUCUUAGGGUAGUGAUUAAAAAAGUAAAAGAUAAAAAUUUAUUGGAAUGCUUUAAAAUGCUCUCACCUAUGAUUUUAAAAUGUGUUUUCAUAUGAUUUUUAACAAAAUAUUUUUCCUUUUGGUUCUUUAAAUAAUGUCUUAAAGACACUAGUUAAUUAGACCUUUAUUUUGGAAUAUGUACUUCCCCCUCUGUUGAGUUUCACUUUAAGUAAUUUUCAAUGUAGACAAUAUCUUAAUAGUUGUGAAUAAAUAUAAAUUAAUGUGUCCCUGAGUGUUAUAUUAUCUUUUGCUAUAACUCUUCAUGUCACCACCAACUUAUUUUGAUAAUCUUAUAAAUUGUUUAUCAUAGAUUUUUAUAUCCACUUAGUUAUUAUAAAGACUCCACUUAGUUUAUAUCCAUUCAUUCACCAACAAAGUUAUCAUCACCUCUUUGUACUCUCCAACACUUCAUUUUGUAGUAAUUUAUAGGAUUAAUCCAGUAAAAAAUUAGUCUUCAAGUAUAUAAAGCACCGAUAUCAUAAGUGAAUAAAUAUAACAUAAAUGAAAGAUUUAUAAUAAAAUGAAGUAUAAAAUAUGUUUUAGAUUUGCUGAUAAAUUAACAAAUUUUGUAUUUGUUUCCUAAUAAAUUUUUUCUUUGUAUUGAAUCACCUAUAAAAUAAUAAUUUUAUUUUUUAUUCUUGACAUCAUUUUUUAUUCACUAAUAAAUUAGCGAUUUUUUUUGUACCCUAGUCAUUUUUUUUCAAGUGUUAUUAGUCUUUUUAAGGAACUUAUAACAAAUGAAAAAAAAAAAUUAUUACAAAGAAAACACAAAAUUCACAAUUUAUGAGGGACUGAAAAAGGAAUCAUGGAUAAAAAAAAUAUUUUAUUAGGGACUCAAUACAAAAAAAAAAGUUUGUUAGAGAACAAAUAUAAAAUUUAAGUAUUUAUUAGAAAUCGAAAACAUAUUUUAACCUAAAAUAAAUAUAAAAAAAAGAGCUACUUAUAAAAAGAAAUGGCAAAAUUGGUUCCCCACUUUAUCUCCAAUUUUAAAUUUGGUCCCCCUAUAAUUUAAUUCACAAAUUUGGUCUCUCAGUUUUCUAAAUCCUUGCAAAAUUUGUCCUAGAAGCCCAAUUUGGACGUUGACCAUUAACCUCAGACGUUCACAAUCACGUGUCAAUGCCACGUGUCAACGUCUGAGUGGUUCCCUGUAAAAGCUUCAUUUUUUGGAGGUAAAAUUGCACUUUUGGUCCCAAAAUUUUACUCCAAUUUCGAUUUUGGUCCCCUAUAAUUUAAUUUAUACAUUGGGUCCCCCAGUUUUAUAAAUCCAUUUAUAAAUUGUUCCUGCGAAAUUAGUCUUUUGAAUGGUUUAGCCAUUGGUGUUAGAGACAUGGUAGGUCUUGAUAAAUCUCGCACUUCUUUUUCAUUGCAAGUUUUUCACUCACUUGGAACCCAAAGAAAAAUCACUAUUUGUCUCUCUCCCACUUCUGGGGUUGUUCAACUUGAAAAAAAAGGGAAGUGUGUGUUUGGGAGGGUAGUUUAGAGAAAAAAAAAUAGAGGAAAACCAAGAAAAUAUUGUACUAGUAAUAAAGGCGAGUAGAAAUAACAGUUUUCUUAUUUUUUUUAUAAGAAGACUAAUGUGAGUCCAAAACAUUCUAUCAGACUUCUUUUCUCUUCUCUUCUGUCUACUUUUAGUUUUUUUUUUUUUUUUUGGGCAUGCAUGGGCCGAAAAGGUCUUUCAUCUUUUUCUCCUUAUAUUUUUAUUUCAUUAUCAUUUUUUUAUUUAUAUUUUUUGCAUUCUUUAGACACCUGGAUCAAAGACCUUAGCCACUAUUUUAUUCCUAUUUUGCUCUUACUACAAUUUAGACCAUUGGAAUCCACUCUAAAAAAUAAUAAAUAAAAUUGUGAAUAAAAUAAUAUUUAAAUUGUGGGCUUCUGACCGAAUAACUCUUCUAUAUUUGCACCGUUAUUGGAUAUGCUCUUAUUUUACCUGACUUGAAUAACUGAUUUCUACUUGACAAUGUAAAAAUGAUACAAAAAUAAUAUAUAUCAAAAUAAAGCUCUUGAUUUAAUUAGAAAAGCAAGAAUGAGAAUCGAAAUUUAACACGAGUUAAUCGCAGAUUUCAAUUAAUGAGGCACAUGUAUAUAUAGUUUUCUACAAUCAAAUGUAAAUCCAAGAGGUACACAUGAGACUUGUCAAGUAUCUGAUGUUUAGUUUCUCUCGCUUUUAAGGUUUUCUUCGAAUACUCAAAGCAUAUGAUCCUUGUCGAUUACCUUGAGACAGCGGGUGUUACGCACGGCAAACCUGCUUUUCUGAAGAAUUUCUUUGGCAGUUUAAAGAAAUUAGAAUUUGAUGGAGCCAUUAAAAGAGAGAUUGUAAUUCCAUCUGAUGUACUUCCUUACUUGAAUACCUUAGAAGAAUUGAAUGUACAUAGCUCCGAUGCAGUGCAGAUAAUAUUUGACAUGGAUGACACUGAUGCCAACACCAAGGGAAUAGUCCUUCCAUUGAAAAAGCUUACUCUAGAGGACUUGUCAAAUUUGAAAUGUUUAUGGAACAAAAACCCACCAGGAACUCUCAGCUUUCCCAAUCUGCAACAAGUGUCCGUUUUUAGUUGUAGAAGCUUGGCAACACUGUUCCCUUUGUCCCUUGCCCGAAAUCUUGGGAAGCUUCAGACCCUUAAAAUACAGAUCUGUCACAAGUUGGUAGAAAUUGUUGGAAAGGAAGAUGAAAUGGAACAUGGAACAACUGAAAUGUUUGAAUUCCCUUAUUUGAGGAAUUUGCUUCUUUAUGAGCUGUCACUGCUUAGUUGCUUUUAUCCUGGGAAACACCAUCUGGAAUGCCCCUUAUUAGAAAGGUUGGAUGUGUCCUAUUGUCCUAAGUUGAAGCUAUUCACAUCAGAAUUUGGAGAUAGUCCCAAACAAGCAGUUAUAGAGGCUCCAAUUAGCCAACUACAACAACAACCUCUGUUCUCGAUUGAAAAGGUGACAAAACAUUAUCAGUUAAGCUUCUUUUUUUUUUUUAAUUUCAUAUUAUAUUUUCCUCCUUCUAACUACCACCGUGCAUUUUCUUUUGAAUUUGUUUGGCCUUGCUAGAUUGUUCCCAAUCUGAAGGGAUUAACACUCAAUGAGGAAGACAUUAUGCUGUUGAGCGAUGCACAUUUGCCACAAGACUUCCUUUUCAAAUUAACUGAUCUUGAUCUAUCCUUUGAGAAUGAUGACAAUAAGAAAGAGACUUUGCCUUUUGAUUUCCUUCAGAAGGUACCCAGCUUAGAUUAUCUUCGAGUGGAAAGGUGCUAUGGUCUGAAGGAGAUAUUUCCCUCUCAGAAAUUCCAAGUUCAUGACCGUUCACUUCCCGGAUUGAAACAAUUAAGACUGUAUGAUCUUGGAGAGCUGGAGUCGAUAGGGUUAGAGCACCCAUGGGUUAAGCCAUACUCUCAAAAGCUUCAAUUAUUAAAGCUUUGGGGGUGCCCUCAGUUAGAAGAAUUAGUGAGCUGUGCAGUGUCUUUCAUCAAUCUAAAAGAGUUGGAAGUGACGAACUGUAAUAGGAUGGAGUAUUUAUUGAAAUGCUCAACUGCCAAAAGUUUGUUGCAACUUGAGAGCCUAUCUAUAAGUGAAUGUGAAUCAAUGAAGGAAAUAGUAAAAAAAGAAGAAGAAGAUGCUUCUGAUGAGAUCACAUUUGGAAGCCUCAGAAGAAUAAUGUUGGAUUCAUUACCAAGGCUAGUAAGGUUUUAUUCAGGGAAUGCCACUUUGCAUUUCAAGUGUUUGGAAGAAGCCACGAUUGCUGAAUGCCAGAAUAUGAAAACAUUCUCAGAAGGAAUAAUAGAUGCGCCAUUAUUAGAGGGGAUUAAAACUUCAACAGAGGAUACUGAUCACUUAACCUCCCACCAUGAUCUCAACACCACAAUCGAGACCUUGUUUCACCAACAGGUAAGGAAUUCAUUAUCCAAAUUCAAUUGUUAUUUGUUUAUAUAUCUAAACAUAGGGGGCAUGCUAAUUAACCAAUGUCUCAACAACAUUGAUUAAAAAUUUCAAGUUAAAAUAUUAUUGUAACUUUAAAUAAAUAUCUAAAAUUUGUGUUUGGUUCUUAAUAAUAUUUUCUUUUUUUGUGUGUCAUAAGUUUUUUUUUUGUUAUUAUUGGUCCUUCAUAUUUUUUAUAAUUCUUAAUAAAUUAAUAAAUUUUAUAUUUAUUUGUUUAUUAUUUUUUAUUUUAAUAUUUUUUUUUAAAAUGACUAAUAAGAAAUACAAUUAAUUUAUUUGGGAGCAAACAAAAAUAAAUUUCUUAAUUUAUAAGACACUAAAAAAGUAUCAUUGACCAAAAAUAAGAUUGUUAUUUUAUUAAAAAUUCAAUAUAAUUUUAUUUUCCUUUUAAUUCCUUAAAUAAUAUCCUAAAAACACUAGUUAACCAAACCUUUAUUUUAAAAUGUACACUCUCCUUCUUUCCCUUGCACUUUAGGUAAUUUUUAAUGUAUAUAAUAUCUUAAUAGUUGUGAAUAAAUAUGAAUUAGUGUGUCUCCCAAUUAUAUAUUAUCUUUUUCUACCACUUUUAAUGUGACCACCAACUAAUUUUUAAAAACCUAUAUAUUGUUGAUCAUAAUUUUUUUAUAAAGUAGAAUGAAGCUUUAAAUAUCUUUAUUAUCACCAAUGAAUUAGGGUCUAAUAAAAGAGGUUAAUCGAUGUAAUAAAUUAAUUAUAUAUGUUUCAAAUUAUUGAUAAAAUAGAUGUUCACAUUUAUUAUCUGACUUAGUUUUAAAUAGAAUUGUCUCUAAAUUAAAAACUAAAAAAUAUCUCUUUAAUUGCUUAUGAAAUUUCAUCUUCUAAUCAAAGUCACAAAAUUCAUAUCAGUUCGAAAUUUGUAAAUCAUGGUGAGGAUCACUGCAAGAGAAUUAUUAUUUAGAAAAAAACUCAUUUACAUGAUAUAGACUGAAUUAUAAUACUUAUUUAUCUUUCAAGGAAGAAGAGUGUAUAUUUUAAAAUAAGAGUGAAAGUGAAUAUAAUUUAAGCUUCUCUAGGAUAGCAGAAGGAGAUUUACUCUAAAAUAUUUCUUACGGCAUACAUUACUUAUUACAUUAAAAACUUGUCAUGAUAUCUUUGUUUGCUUUUACCAACACUUGUUUGAUCUUUUACCAAUAGGUUGUGUCAUAAAUCAAUAUCUCAAAAGUUUAUUUGUUUUGGACAAAGACAUACAUAUGGUUUUAUAUAUUAUAUCUCUAAUUUGUCUUUGAAUCCCUUUGAUUAGCUUGAAAUGUGGAUAAUACAAUCCAUCUACCUUUAGACUCUAAUACGUACUUACAAUAUAUAUCAUGAACCAAUAAUUAAUGUCACAAGAUUAAGCUGUUACGUAAAGGCACAUGAAUGAUUUUAAUUAAUAAUAUAUCUCAUAUAUUAAAUUUCAAAUACAUUUUCAUUAUUACAAUGGCUAUUGUGAGAACAACAUAUUUAUAAUGUUCUUAUUAAGUUUUAUUUGACUUAUUAUAAUUGAUAAAUUUUGUGUUUGUUAUUUUAUAAUAAUUUUUUUUCAUUGGCUCUCCUAUAAAAUAAUUUUAUUUCUAUUCUUGGUAUCGUUUUUUAAUCACUAAUAAAUUAGUGAACUUUUUUUUGUAACCUGAUAUUUUUUCAUGUUAUUAAACAAAAAAUUCAUAAUUUAUUAUCAACUAAAAAAAGUGUCAUAAACCAAAAAUAAAACUUUUAUUUUAUUAGGAAUUCAAUACAAAAGAAAAAUAUUUAUUAAAAAAUAAAUACAAAAUUUAAAUAUUUAUUAAGGAUCUUAAACAUAUUUUACCCUAAUAUAAAUGUGAGAAGAAAGGAAAAGAGAGCUACCUUAUAGAAAGAAAUUAAGUAUCUAAUGGACCAAAAAGAUACAGCAGUCAAAUUUGUUGUAUUUAACCCGUGUAACAAGACAAAAGAUAAGGUUCAUAAUCUCCACUAUGGAUAACACAUGUUUUGAGACUUCAAACACAUUUUUUGGAAGCUUCAAACAAAAGAAUACAUUUUCAUCCUACUUAAAUUGUAAAGAAAAAAUGAAAACCUAAAUUAGAGUAAGAUCAACUUCUAUGAAUAUUCAUUUUUAUCCUCUAACUUUUUAUCUUUAUCUAUAUUUUAAUUUUUUAAUCCAUGUUUUUUUGUUAUUGCUAAUACCUUGAAGAUAGUUUAGACCAUGUCUAUUAGGACAAAACUCAUUCUUUUUACUCUUUUUUUUUUUUUUAUCGUAGGCUAGUUGAGUUCAAUUUCAAUUUUAUUUUGUUUCCUCUUCACCUUCCAUUAUUUUAUUUAUAACUCAACACAAUUUUUCUUGCCUUUUUCUUUUUAUUUAUAUAUUAUUUUAUUUUUGUCUUCUUAAACCAAAAUUUAACCACAAUUGUUAUUUUCACUCAUCUUUACACUAUGACACUUCCUUUCUUAUUUUAUACCAAAAUUACCUUGCUAAACACAAUAUCAUCCACUUUCUCUUCUCUUUCUUCCGAAAAGAAAAGAAAAGAAAAAGAAAAAUGACACUCCCGCUCCACAACUCUAGUAACACAUUUGACAAAUGUGAAUGAUCUUAUUAUAAUUUGCUUAUUUUUUUUAAAACAAAAUACUUAUGAGAGUAGUACAAAAUAAAGAAAUAAAUUUUGAAGCAAAUUUGUUCAUGCGCGUGCAUGUGGAUAACAAAACAACUCUAACUCAACCAUUUUUGGAUGUCUUGAAUUUUUAUAUAUAGAAUAUUUCACUAAAGCAUGGAUGUAUUCAACCUUAUUUUUGCGUGGAUGUUUAAUGCUUAAUCUUGUUAUAUGAUAUUAUUAAGAGAAAACAAAAGGACACCAUAAGGAAUGUCCCUUCUAGAACAUACAAUGCAUGUACACAACCCACGAUAACAUACACUUACAAAAAGAUGCUAAUUAAAAUAAGUUGCACUAAAAGAACACAAUUUUACAAAUAAAAAAAUGCUACAUAAAUGAAAAAAUUGAUAUACUAUUUAUAACAAAAAAUACCGAUAAUUUUUGGUAUUUUAGAAAUCUACCGGAGGUCCCAAACAACUCCCUUAAUUUUACUCAACCUUUUCAUACUAAUUGGGCAUAUUAACCCAAAAUAUUAUGUUAAAGUAUAAUUGGAUAUCUAAAGCCUUAUGUUUUUUUAUUUUUUAUAAGAGGAGCACAAAACAUUCUAUCAACCUUCUUUUCCUUUCUCUUCUCUUCUAUUUUUUUUUUAAUAUUUUGGGCGGGCAUGAGCUGUUAUAUUUUGGGCUUGCAUGAGCUGAAAAGCUCUGUCAUCUUUUCUCCUUAUCUUUUCGUUUCAUUACAAUUUUCUUACCAUGUGGGUCAUAGACCUUUAGUCACUAUUUUAUUCCCAUUUUGCUCUUUCUACAUUUUAGACCAUUGGAAUCCAUUCUAAAAAUAAUAAAGAAAAUUAUGAAUUAUAAUAAUAAUUUUUUUUGGGAUUCUAACCAAAAAUGACUUAAAUAACUCCUCUAUCCCAAAUAUUAAAAGAUGCUCUUACUUUAAAUUACACGUAUAAACUUAUUUCUUUUAGACUCGUACAAAAAUAAUAUAUCAAAAUAAAGCGCAAAAUUUAAUUAAAAAAAAUGAGAAUUUGAAAUUUAACAAGAGAUAAUUGUAGAUAUCUCAAUUAAGGAGGCACAUGCAUAUAUAGUUUUCUACAAUCAAAUGUAAAUCCAAGUGGUACACAUUGUCAAGUAUCUGACGUUGAGUUUCUCUGGCUUUGAAGGUAUUUUUUGAAUAUUCCAAGCAAAUGAUCCUUGUCGAUUACCUUGAGACAACGGGUGUUAGGCGCGGCAAACCUGCUUUUCUGAAGAAUUUCUUUGGCAGUUUAAAGAAAUUAGAAUUUGAUGGAGCCAUUAAAAGAGAGAUUGUAAUUCCAUCUCAUAUACUUCCUUACUUGAAGACCUUAGAAGAAUUGAAUGUACAUAGCUCCGAUGCUGUGCAGGUAAUAUUUGACGUAGAUGACACUGAUGCCAACACCAAGGGAAUGCUCCUUCCAUUGAAAUAUCUUACUUUAAAAGACUUGCCAAAUUUGAAAUGUGUAUGGAACAAAACCCCCCGAGGAAUUCUCAGCUUUCCCAAUUUGCUAGUAGUGUUUGUUACUAAAUGUAGAAGCUUGGCAACACUGUUCCCUUUGUCCCUUGCCAACAAUCUUGUAAAUCUUCAGACACUUACAGUACGGAGGUGUGACAAGUUGGUAGAAAUUGUUGGAAAUGAAGAUGCAAUGGAACAUGGAACAACUGAAAGAUUUGAAUUCCCUUCUUUGUGGAAUUUGCUUCUUUAUAAGCUGUCACUGCUUAGUUGCUUUUAUCCUGGAAAACACCAUCUGGAAUGCCCCCGUAUUAGAAUGCUUGGAUGUGUCCUACUGUCCUAAGUUGAAGCUAUUCACAUCAGAAUUUCAUAAUAGUCACAAAGAAGCAGUUAUAGAGCAACCUCUUUUCGUGGUUGAAAAGGUGACAAAUUAAAGCAAUAUCACUUUAACCUUUUUUGUUUUCUUUUCAUUAUAUAUAUUUUCCUUCUUCUGAGUUCUAACUGCCACCAUGCAUUUUCUUUUGAAUAAUUGAAAGGUUGAUCCCAAACUGAAGGAAUUGACACUCAAUGAAGAAAACAUCAUCUUGUUGAGGGAUGCACAUUUGCCGCAAGACUUCCUUUGCAAAUUAAAUAUUCUUGAUCUGUCCUUUGAUGAUUAUGAGAAUAAGAAAGAUACUUUGCCUUUUGAUUUCCUUCACAAGGUACCCAGUGUAGAAUGUCUUCGAGUGCAAAGAUGCUAUGGUCUCAAGGAGAUAUUUCCCUCUCAAAAGCUCCAAGUUCAUCACGGAAUACUUGCGCGAUUGAAUCAAUUAGAGUUAAACAAACUAAAAGAGUUGGAGUCGAUAGGGUUGGAGCACCCAUGGGUAAAGCCAUACUCUGCAAAGCUUGAAAUAUUAAAUAUUCGCAAAUGCUCUCGGUUAGAAAAAGUAGUGUCUUGUGCAGUAUCUUUCAUUAGUCUCAAAAAGUUGUAUUUGAGUGACUGUGAAAGGAUGGAGUAUUUAUUCACAUCUUCAACGGCCAAAAGUUUGGUGCAACUUAAGAUCCUAUAUAUAGAAAAAUGUGAAUCAAUAAAAGAAAUAGUAAGAAAAGAAGAUGAAAGCGAUGCUUCGGAAGAGAUCAUAUUUGGACGGCUCACAAAAUUAAGGUUGGAGUCCUUAGGAAGGCUAGUAAGGUUUUAUUCAGGGGAUGGCACCUUGCAAUUCUCAUGUUUGGAAGAAGCCACCAUAGCUGAAUGCCCCAAUAUGAAUACUUUCUCUGAAGGAUUCGUAAAUGCGCCAAUGUUUGAGGGGAUUAAAACUUCAACGGAGGAUUCUGAUUUAACAUUCCACCAUGAUCUCAACUCCACAAUCAAGAUGUUGUUUCACCAACAUGUAAGGAAUUCAUUAUCCAAAUUCAAUUGCUAUUUACUUGUUAUAAGUAAAUUAGUAUUUUAACACGUGCACUAUAUAAUUAAAAUAAUAAUUUUUUACAUAUAAAAAUUAUAUUAUAAUUAAAAUUUAUAUAAAAAUAUUUUAUACCUAAAAAUUAUAUUUUAAAUUUAUGAUAAAUAGUCUAUAUUUUAAUAUAUUUUUAUUAUUGAUUAUUGAAAAUUUUAAAAAAUAUAUUCAAAUAAAUUUAGAACUAAAGAUUUGGUCAAUUUCUUUUUGUUUGUCAUUACUUUUAGUUUCUAAAAAGAUUAAAAAUAAGAAAAAAGUUAAGGAACUAAAAUCAAUUAAAAAAAUUUAGAAAUUAAAAACAAAAACAUUAAAAAACAAAAUUUAGAAAUUUAGUUUGUCAUUACUUUUUGUAAGCUCAUCUUUUGCAUGUGUGUUUGACUGCUAUCAUCAUGAGAGCAGAGAUGUUGAUGCAUCAUGGGACGGAAUCUUCCACCUUAGGCUUUGUUGGGAAGGACUACUCUGAUGGAUCAUGCUGCUACUCUUCUCUUUCAUCUCAUCCCAGUGGUAUUGUCGUAGUAAUUAAUAGUUAUGGCCAGCCUGGGCAGUGGUUUAUGUUGUUAGCCCCACUCCUUGUUUUGGAUGUUUACAUGGAUUUUUAUGUAUUAUUUUUGGGCAGGCACAUAUAUUUUAUUUGCUAGUUUUCGUUCUUAUGUUUAGAGUUUGAAUCAUGUUGUUGGUUUUAUAUUGGUCAUGAAACUUAUGGCAUAUGUGUAGACUUACUUUAUGUACGUUUGAGGUUUAUUUGCAGAUGUGUAUGCAGUUGCUUCCUUAUGCGUAGGUAGUGUUCAUAUUUAAUUUAUACAGAAGCAAAAAAACUACCCAACUAUUUAUUAAAUAAAUUAGUUCAAAGAUUGUCCUUAAAAUUAAACCAUUCCAUUUUGAAAAUAGUUGUUGACGUGUUGCAAUAGUCAUCGGGUUGUUAAUUUAGGUUGUUAUAUACUAAACUACAUGAUUAGAAGGGAGGAUUUUAUUAAAAAUAAAAAAUUAUAUUUAUAAAAUUUUAAGAGAGAUUAAUCACCAGGAUGCAACACAUUUAUAACAUGAUCACCCCAAAAGUAUGCAGACUUCAUAAAAGUUUUUUCAAUAUUCUCUCUCAGAGUCACAAUUUUAUGUCUUAAAAUAUAUUUGUGAGGGUGGUUAAUUCGCUUUGUUUAGGUGAGCUUCAUCUAAAUAUGAUUGUUAACCGGAAAAUGAUCAAGUGUGACAAAACUUACUACUAAUCACGCUUCAUAAUUAAUUAAUUAUCUGCAUAAAAGGAUAGUGUUCCCUGAAAUCAUUUUUUUAGAGUAAAAACUUCAAUGUAUGGAAGGUUUGUUUUUCGACAAAGUCAAUUUUCAAUAGAAAAUGUUAUCCUCUAGAAAGAAAUCUGUUAAAAAUAAUAAAGGAGCCUUUUAAUGAAUUGAUCUUAUCCAAAUAUAUUUUGGAUUGAAUUUUAUCGAAUACAAAAGAUAGAAAAUUUUGCUAAGUGUUUCCAGAAAGAACUUUUCAACAAAAAUUGUUUACAAAGAACUUUUAAACAAGUGGCGCACACUUUUAAUAAGAAAUUGGAAGUUUAUAAACUUUUUCCAUUUAUCGCUCAUGUUGUUACACCUAUAUAUUGUUAUUGGUUUCAAAGUCACACCAUAUGUAUUCGUUUCACUCUUAAAGAAAUGUAUUUCUUUUUGUUUAAUUUACUGCACUUUUCCUCUUAAUCCUUAAACUUUUUAAAUUGUCAAAAUGAUAAAAAAAAAUGUUUUGUUUGAUAUAAACAUUCGCUUAAGCUGAAAAACUAUAAUUGUUUGUUCGAUGAAAAGAAACUUACAAUCGAAUUUUGGAUGUCUCACAAAUAAAUAAAAAAGUUAUUUAUUAAUACAAUCCAACGUGAAAGUUAUUAUAGUCAUAUAUAUAGGAAAUCUUUUCGAAAACAUUUUUAUGAUUUUCACGGUUAACAUCUUAUAAUAUAUUUAUUAUAGUAUUUGUUAAUUAUUAAAUAUAAUCUACAAUAAUAAGGAUAAAUAGUAUUAUUAAAUCUUAUAUUCUUUAAAACUAAUAAACAUGAUAUAUUAUAUUUGAACGCGUGACUUUUCAUAUAAAUCUAUAUAUACUAAAAAUCUAUCAUUAGAUAAAAAGUAAAUUUUAAAAUAAUUAAAAGAAAUUAUAUAUAAUAGGUUAAAGUAUUCUUUAAAAUUUUACUAUCUGCAUUAUUUUUUUAAAUACUUUUAAAGACUAUUAUUAAAUAUAUAAUUAAAAUAAAUCAAUUAUUUUUUAUAUUUAAAUUAAAAUAAAUAUUUUGAUAUAGAGCUUUAAAUUUUCAGAACAAUUCUUCAGUGAGAGUUGUUUUAGAAAUUUUUCUUCAACGAGGACGUUUUUAUGGAUUUUUUUAACCUCUUAUCAUUUAAACAUAUUCUUUCAUAUUUAUUUCAACAUUAAAUUUUAAUUUUUAAUUAAAGAUAUUAUUAGUAAAAAAAUAAUUUUGUAUUGCAAUUUAAAUGAUUUAUUAUACAAAUUUAAAAUAUAAUUUAUAUGUUCAAAAAUAUUUAUUCAUUAUGUCUUUAAUGAUAAGAUUUUUUAUAAAUUAUAAAAUUUAUUUAUUAUAAAUUUUAAUUAGAUAAAGAACAUAUUUUAUCAUGUGAAUUGCACAGGGAGUAUCUUAUUUUUAAUUUCUACUCUUAAUCAUUUGACAAAUUAUUAUAUUUAAUAAACACAGUACUUAAUGUUAUUGAAAAUUUAGAUUUAAUUUAAUAUAUUAAAAUGUAUCACAGAAUGAUUUUAGCUUUAAAAUGUAUCAUAAAGCCAUGUAGUAGACCUUGCAUUUUAUUCUUUCAGUCGUUUCCUUAUAUAUAUUCAAUGCUCAUCUACCUUGAGUCAGCCAUCAAUCUUUCGAAGACAAAAUCCAAGACUAUUGAUCCACUCAAACUAAGAGUAAGAGAAUCCUUCAAUAAAAUUAUAUAAUGAUAAUCACCUUAUAACAUUACCUUAUAAAACGUUUUGGGUGCACCUUUGUUGUGCGACGUAAAAACAAUAGACCGAAUUCUAUGCUCUAAUCACACUAAUUGUAUCACAAUUGUUCCAGUAUAGCUUCCAUGCUAGGUUUUUCGACAAUGUGUUUUUGGUUGGAACAAAUUGUCAGGAGGUUGAGUGGUGUGGGAGGAGAGUGGUUUUCGAAAUGUAGAAGCGUGUAUUUUUUCGAAAAAGAUUUAAAUUGGGGAAGAAAGAGAAAAUGAGAGUGUGUUUUAUAAGGUAGUUUGAGGUGGAGUGUCUUUUUUCUUUUUCCGAGAAGAAAUAGAAGAGAGAGAUGAGAUAAUGUGUUUAAUGGGUAGUUUCAGUAUAAAAAAUGAGAAAGAAAGUGGAUUAAUAUAAAAGGGGAGUGAAAAUAGCAAUUACCAACUUAACAAAUCUUUUAGGCUUUUUUUUUCUUUUAUUUCUAUUCUUUAAUUUUAUUCUACCUUUUCAUACUGAUUGCGCAUAUUAGCCCAAAAUAUUAGUUGAAUAUCCAUACCCUUAUGUAUUUUAUUCUUUAUAAGAGGAUCCCAAAACAUUCUAUCAGCCUGCUAUUCCAUCUUUUCUUUUCUCUCUUCUAUUUUUUUGGGGGGAUUGCAUGAGCUGAAAAAGCUCUGUCAACUUUUCUCCUGAUCUUUACAAUUCAUUAUCAUUUUCUUUUUUUCUUUUUUUCAUUCUUGAGCCAUAUGGGUCAAAGACCUUUAGCCACUAUUUUAUUCCUAUUAGCUCUUUCUACAUUUUACACCAUUGGAAUCCAUUCUAAAAAUAAUAAAGAAAAUUAUGAAUUAUAAUAAUAAAAUUUUUGGGAUUCUAACCAAAAAUGACUUAAAUAACUCCUCUACCACAAAUAUUAAAAGAUGCUCUUACUUUAAAUUACAUGUAUAAACUGAUUUCGAUUAGACUGGUACAAGAACAAUAUAUCAAACUAAAGCGCAAAAUUUAAUUAAAAAACAAAAAUGAGAUAAAUAAAUUGUAAAUUGUUUGUUUUGCAAAAAAAAAUGGAAUACUUUUGUGGGGAGUCACCCCAACAUUUAUUCAAGGAAAACGUCGAAAAAAUAAAAAAAAAAAGAUAAGGAAUGGUCUACGGUUUAAGAAAAAGGAUUCGAGAGUUGUUUACGCAUAGAGAAAAUGUUCAGCCGCUUGUCAUGAAAACGACAUCCUUUAUUCGAAUGCGCUACAAAAUAAAGUGACUUUUAAUUAUUUAUCUUCCCUUGAAAACAUAAAUUAUAUUUUUUUUUCAUUUAGAAAAGGAAAUCAAAUUUUUAUUAUUAAAAAGUUAUUUUUUUAGUUUUUUUUGUCGAUAAGGGAUUUGACCUCGCUCUUACGUAUCCCGAGGUGCAAUAAGGAAAUCAGACUUACAUAGUUCUUUGUAUUGUGAAAGAUUUUGAUUUUGUGGUAAACUUUGUGAACUCAAACAAGUCGAAGACCCAACAUGUCAUCCACAAAAUUUACUCACACUCUAUUGAAACACUACCAAGCAAGUCAGAGAUCCAGCAUGAAGUGCAUAUAACAUGGAAGGAUUAUUUAUUUGAGAAUGUUACCAUUUUUUUUGAAAAUAUUUUAGUUUUGUGGUAAAAUUUGCGAACUCAAGCAAUUCAGAGACCCACCAUAUCAUCCACAAAAUUUACGUACACGUUAUUGAAAUACUGCCAAGCAAGUCGGAGACCCAGCAUGGAGCGCAUGGAACGUAAACAAGUACUAAAUAAUACUAAUGCGGAUUUACAAAAAUAAAUAAAUAUUUUGACAUAGUACUACGAAAUUAGGUAAAUAUAAUGGAAAUGAAUUGAAUAGAAAUGGGGAGUAUAUUUAAGGGUGUGGGGUUGAAACAUGGGAAAAAUAAGAUGAAUAACAAGAUAUUUAUAAUAUAAAUAUUAAUUAAACUAACUAACAAAUUAUGAUAAAAAACAUUGAAGAAUAAACGAUAGAGACAAUAAAAAAAAUAAAACAAAAGCUAUUUACUAAUAUGUAUAAUUAUUUUUAUUUUUUGUUUUUUUAUCAAAUUCAAAGGGUUGACUUAGACUUAGGCAACACUAAUGAAGUGUUGACAUGACAGGGCUAGUCACCAUCCUAGGUGGCAUGAGUGCACAUAUAAAACAAGGGGUAUAACCAUUAAUUUUAUUUUAUUUCAGACAUCACAAAAAAAAGGACUAGCCCAAAACGAAAAAACGAAUAUGUUAGAAAAGAGGUGUAAAUAGUAAAGUUCAUUUUAUGCCAAACUUCACAAGAAAUGGGCUAGGCCCAAAACCAGAAUGGUGCAUGUAUUAAAUACAGAGUGUGAAUAACGUUUUCAUUUUAUUUCAUAUUAUUCACAAAAAUGGACUAGGCCCAAAAUAAAAAAAGGGGUGCAUUAAAAAAAAGUGGUCUAAACAAUGUUUAUAUUUUAUUUCAGGUUUUGCAAAAGUGGGUUGGGCCCAAAAUGGAAAAAAAAACAUGCAGGUAUGAAUAACGAGGUCUAAAUAACGUUUGUAUUUCAUUUCAGGUUUUCCAAAAGUGGGCUAGGACCAAAAUGUAAAGAAGAGGUGCUUCUCUAAAAUACAAGGUGUAAAUAGUAUCUCUAUUUUAUUUUCAGGUAUUGCAUAAGUGGGCUAGGCCCAAAACGCAAAGAAGAGGUGCAUCUGUGAAGAACGGGGUGUAAAUAACAUUUCUAUUUUAUUUCAGGUUUUGCAAAAAUGGGCUAGACCUAAAAAGGACAUAGAAAUUGUUUUUUUUUUACGUUUUUAUUUUUUUAAAGGGUUGGGUUGAAAGUGGGUCGGGGCGACCCGACCCAACCCGCAAUUAAGCAAUUGGGUUACAAAAUCCUAAUUGCCUCGUGCAAAAAAUGGCACGGCUAACACGAAAGCCACCACGGAGGGUGGCGCAUUGUCCAUGGCACCACUGGUGCAAAGUCCAGUGGUGCGAGGCUGCUGCAGGGCCGACAGUGGCAAGACAACGAUGGUGGUGGAAAUCUCACAAUGGUCCAAACAAAUAAUAAAAAAGAAAAAGAAACCAAAAUGCAAGUGAUAGGGCCCUUAACACCAUUGGCAAAGGACCCAUAGGCACGAAGCUACCACAUGAUAGUGGCAUAGACAAAGUCAUUGCAGCUUCACCACAUUUGGAAAUAAAAAAAGAAAAAUAAAAAAAUAAUAAGCAACUGAACAGUCAAACCAAAUAAAAGGGUAAGAAGAAAAUAAACAAAACAGUAUGCAUAAACCUUGUCAGAGGCCAUGGUAAGGUCACCGUGGAAGGUGACGUAGUGCUGUGAUAUGAAAGAAGAAGAAGAAGAAAGAAAGAAAGAAAGCAAGAAAGAGACUCAAAAUGCGUAAAGUGGGGAAGAAUGAGGGGUUAUCUGAUGACCCUUCUUCUUGUCAAAUGGCACCACCAGAUAGGUCUUUUUUUCCUUCUCGCGAUCCGCACUGCUAUCCUUUGGAGUUUCAUUCUUUUCCUUUUUAGGUUGAGUACCUUCUUCUUGAUCUAAUGGGCUCUCCAUGAAAGCCUAGGUCACAAAAAGUUUUUUUUUUUAAUUUUACUUUUCUCACUCUUUUCUUUUUUGUUUUUUUAUCAUGUUUUCUUCUCUUUUUUUCUUAUUUUUUUAGGAUUCAUUUUUUUUCUUUUUUUUCUUCUUUUUUUUUCAUUUUUAUAGUUUUUUUCAUCAUUCAUUUUUUUUACAUUGUCUUCUUCUUUUUUUUUUUUUUACUUUUUUUGCUUUUCUCUAUUUUUUCUUUCUUUUUUUAUCUCUUUUUUUUCUGCCCAUUCAUUAUUUUGUUAUUUUCUUUUUCUUUUUCUUAUUUUUAUUUUUUAAAUGUUUUCUUCCUUUUUUUUUCAACUUUAUUAUUUUUCUUUUUCUUUUCUUUUUUUCUUUUGAACCCAAACAAAAUUAGGGUCGGUCGAGUUCAAAUUGAUAUUAAAUGUCCAAAAUAACUGAUGUUAAAAACAAUUUUUCUAGUAGUAAAGAGCAAAAAUUAGUUGAGUUUGUGUAAUAAAAAUAAAAGUGUUGAUUAGUGUGGUGAAUUAACGUUGAGGAUCUACAUGAGAGCAAAAGUGAGGAUCACCAAUGUGAUGCAAUGAUAGAGGACUAUCCAAGGAGGAAGAGUUUGACUUGGGUGGGGCUCAACAUGGAUGGAUGAAUCACUUGAGCAAGGAAUAAGAGAUUUCAAAAAGAGUUUGACAAAAUACUAAAUUCUCCCUAUUAAAUUAUAUUUUGGGCCCUGCUUUCACAACAAGCUCCAAAGACUAAUUGAAGGAAAUAUGAGUGUGCAUGAAUAUUACAAAGAGAUGGAGAUUUCCUUAAUUAGGGCUCAAAUUGAGGAGUCUCAAGAGGACAUCAUGGCAAGGUUUCUGCAUGGUCUUAAUAGGGAGAUCCAAGACAUUGUAGAAUUGCACCAUUAUGCCUCUUUGGAGGAUCUCAUUCAUCAAACUAUCAAAGUGAAGUAGCAAUUAAAGAGGAAGCAAAUACACAAGAAGUCUCCUUAUGGCUCUUCAAUUUAGAAGGAUAAGGAGACAUUCAAGAAGGAAGGAGGGUCUUCAUUCAUAUAUCAUGAGAAAAUUGUUUCACUUAGUAUAAAUAAUUCUAACCCUACUCUCACUUCUUCAAAAACGAGUUAUAUUAAAUGUUUUAUGUGUUUGGGAAAGGGUCACAUUGUUUCACAAUGUCCUAACAAAAGGACUAUGGUUGUGUUAGGUAAUGGGAAUAUCAUCAGCGCAUCUUCUUCUAGCUCUUCUAGUUCUUAUAGUGAGAGUGAAAGUGAAUGUGAUGUAUAACCCCUGGAAGGUGAUCUUUUGAUGGUUAGGAGGUUAAUGGGUAGUGUGUGUAAGGAUAGAGAUGAAACUCGAAAGGAGAACAUUUUUCAUACUAGGUGCAUGGUCAUGGGGAAAAUAUGCUCUUUGAUUAUUGAUGGGGUAGUUGCACUAAUGCAGCUACCCAAAGAUUGAUUGAAAAUCUUGCUUUGAAAAUAUCCAUUCACCCUAGGCCUUACAAACUACAAUGGUUGAGUUAGAAUAGGGAGCUAGUUGUAGACAUACAAGUUUUGAUAUGCUUCUCCAUUGAAAAAUAUGUUGAUGAGAUAUUGUUUGAUGUUGUCCCUAUGGAGGCUAACCAUCUUUUACUUGGAAGGUCUUGGCAGUAUGAUAGAGAUGUUGUCCAUAAUGGUGUCACAAACAAAUUUUCAUUUGUGCACAAAGGGAAAAAGGUUACGACACACCUUUGUUUCUAAGUGAGGUUUAUGAGGAUCAAAUAAAAAUAAGAGUGAAAAAAGAACAAGAAAGAGAAGAAGAGAAAAAUUUGUAAAAAAAGAUGAAAAUAAAAAAGAAAGAAAAAUACAGGUUUUGUUCAUGAGUGAAAAAAGAGAUGAAGAGAGUGAUGCUAGCCAGACAACCUAUGUAUUUACUAAUGCCUCAUGAUUAUUGUUGGUAUUCUAUUGCUAGUUCUUUGCCUAUAGGCAUGGAAGAAUUACUGAAGGAGUUUAAGGAUGUCUUCCCCAAAUACACCCCUUUUGAUUUGUUACCUUUUCUUAACACUUCUGCUAUGAUGAAUAGGGAUGGGCUUUCUAAAGUCAAUUUUGUUAAGAGUUUGCAUGAGAAGGUGAAAGCACAAAUUGAGAAAAGGUUGAACAUAUGUGCUAAGUAUGCCAAUACAAGGAGAAAGAAAAUGGUUUUCAAACUUGGUGAUUGGGUUUGGAUUCACUUAAGGAAGAAUAAGUUUACUUCCAAAAAAAAAUCUACACUUCAAGAAAGGAGAGAUGGUCAUUUUUAAGUUUUUGAAUGCAUAAACUAUAAUGCAUAAAAAAAUUAGUUUACUAAUAGACUGUGGGGUGAGCAAUACUUUUAAUGUUAGUGACCUGACUCUUUGUGAUGUAGGUACCUUUGACAACAAAUCUAGGCAAAUUUUUUGUAAUAAGGGAAUGAUAGAGGAUUAUCCAAGGAGGAAAAGUUUGACUUGAGUGGGCUCAACAUGGAUGGAUCAAUAACUUAAGCAAGGAGUAAGAGAUUUCAAGAAGAACUUAACGAGAGAAUAAAUUCUUUCGUAAAAUUUAGCCAACUUUUAGGAUAUUAUUUUAUUUUUGUUUUGAAUUGUAUUUUGAGUUGUAAUGGGUUGUCACAACCUUUUAUUGUUAUUUUUAAAUCUUUUAAUUAUUAGAUUGGUCAUUGGACCUUGAACCUAAUUUAGGGUUAUUAGUAGGAGUGUAAAUAGACUCCUUAAAACAAUUUGUUAGUGGCUUUCAAUGAAAUUUCAUAUUAGAUACAUUUAAGAGAGUGUACUCUUAGCUCUUGUGUGAAAUCGUAGGUUAUCAUAUAAUUUUAUUCUUUAUGAGAAUUAUUCUCAAUUUAUCAAUGUUACAAUAUUGUGGCGUUAUUUUUUCUAUCUUUUUUUUUAAUUCUAUUUUUUUUUCUCUUUAUUCUCUCAAAUUUUAGAAAAUAUCAAAUAAAUUUUUUAAUUUAUUGAUGUUAAAAAUUAGAUCCAUAAAAUUAGGAUUCCAUCAAUGCACUGCAAAUAAAGAAACGAAAUAAUGAGAAAGGAAGGUUCAAUGGAAUGGGAGUUGUGAUAUUCAAAAGAGAGAAAAAAAUAUCCAUGGAAAGUGAUUGUGUACACAACGUGAAUCAUGCUGUGGUUCGAUGGAUGAGGUUUUUGUUUUUUUUUUUUCAAAGACAAACGAACAAAGAGUUAGUGCUUGUGAGGUAAUAAGUGUGUGUUUUUGGGAGGAGUGAUAAUGUGAGUGUAAUCGUUGCACGCGGAAAAUAAUGUUCCUGGGCCCUAGAGUAGAUUAAAGUAAGUGUAUUAUGGGAAAGAGAGAGUGGUUGCAGCGUGGUGGUAAGAUAUGCGGCAAAAACACUAAAAGGAGGCACUUUUACAAAUUAUUUACCAAAAAGGGGCUCUUUUGCAAUUAUUUACCUAGGGGGGUCUGUCUUUUUAUUACAAAGCGUCCCCCAGCCAGGCGCUUCCAUGGAUUACGCGACACGUGGCACCGGCACGGCGCACGAGGGAGCAGCAGGGUAGCGCCCCUGACGCGGGCGCGUCUAGUAGCGCCCUGCCACUGGGCGCGACUGGUGGCGCCCCUGCUGCAGGCGCAACCCCAGGCGCCUAGGGAACAGGCUCAUGCCCCCCCCACACCCCCCAGCCUCUUCCCACACCCCCUGGUCUGUUUUUGUCACACCCCUCAGUCUCUUCUUCUCACACCCCCCAGCCUCUUCCCACACCCCCAUCCCAAAAUUGUAUAUUUUUUAAUUUGUUUAUCAAAAUUUUAAAUUUUGUUUCAUUUUUGUUAUUAGUAUUAUUUGUUAUUUUUUUAUAUUCCCACACCCCCACACCCCCACCCCAAAAUUUCAAUAAGAUUAUUUUUUAUACACUCUAAAUUGUAUAUUUUUCAAUAAUCCUGAUAGGGCAGCUAGAAAUUGGAAUCGGCCAUGUGGGACUUCGUCGCGGCAUCACAGACAUAGUGAUGAUCGAUUAAUAAUGAGUUUACAUUUUUUCCGCAUGGUUUAACAUUUUCAUGUACUUUGUAUUAUUUUUUUUCAUGUGUUUCAUAUUGUCAUAUACUUUGUAUGAUUUUUUUUCAUGUUAAUUUUAUAUUAUUGUCACUACAACAUUUCAAUCUUAUUGUGCAAUACUUUUAAAAUAAAUAAAAAUAAAUAACUAUAAUGUUAAUGACACAUAAUGACGCGACUAGGUUCAAUUACAUAUUGGGUAGUUAAGUGUUUCACUAAUGUGUAUCACAUUACGUGCUGCUUUUGAGGUUAGUGUUAUGGCUUUUGGGUGUCUUGGACUAUAUGACAGGUGCUGAAGGUUGGUUUUGUUUUCACUAUACAGAGCUUAUACAUAUUGCUGAUUUCUCAUGUUUUUGUGUUAGGCAUGAGCAUUCUUUGUACUUGAGUCUAGUGUCCUGUAUCCUUAAUGAAUUAAUUGGCUUAUAUAAAAUAAUUUAAUAGAAAUGAUGAUAAAAAGAGAAGAAAAAAAAAUGGAGGACAAUUUUAUAAAUUUUAGAUCAAAAGAAAUUUAUGUAUGUAUGAUCAUUAUAUACACAGGGUCAUCGUAUUCAAUAACGGUCAUUUGUAUACAAAGUGAAGAUUCACCCUGUCCUUCUCAUUUUUUCUGCUCUGUCUGCUCAUCACACACGCUAUCUCUUAAUUUUCCUCUUCUCUCUCCUUUCACACGUUGUCUUUUUUCUUUUUUUUUUUUUCUCCCUCUCACAUGUUUUUUCUUUUUUUCUUCUUCUUCUGCCGCGGCCCACCUCCUUUCCCUCCGCUGCAACCCACUCCCUUCCUCAAAUCUUGGCAAACAUUUUUAGUGAGAAAUAUAAUGAAAAUCUGAUUUUGAACUCAAAAUUCUUAUUCAAAAUCAAACACUAACGAAGCUCUUAUUAGCUUGAGGGAAGGAAAAAUUAGCAAAAAAAGUACUUACUGUUGCGAUAAGUUAGACGCAUUUUAAGCAGAGUGGGUCAUUUUGUGUCUCGCAAAUAUCACCGGAUGGUGAUGAAUAGUCUCCAUCAAUGGUGUCCUGUCAGUUCUGUAGCCAAAAGCAGUCAGACAAAGGCUAUUAGACGAGAAGGAGCUAUCAUUCUUCGUCUAAAGCUUCAAAAGGACACUGAUGCAUUCAGACUAGAGAGAGAGAAGGAAGCGACCAAAAGGGUAUAUAUGGUGAAAGGUAACUUGCUUGGGGGCUUCAAGGCCUUUGUCAGUUUUAACUUUUACUUAAAACAUUGUUUUUCCUUCAAAGUGGAUGAAGUUUAUUUAAAAAUUGAAUUAUAUAAUCUCUAUAUAGUUGCAAUUUAAAUACGCAGCAUUACAUUAUACCUUUCAUCUGACAAACCAGAUGCAAAACUUUGUUAUCUCGUUGGUCGGAAUAAUACUAGAAUAAUGUGAGAAUAAUCAUCCGUGCAAUCCAUUUGUUUAUGGGAUGUUGUAUUGGUCGGGUAAAUGGCUUAAAAAAAUGAAAAACAUGCGCGAUUUCGUCAUCACGAGAAAAAAAAAAGAAUUUUGGUGAUAUAUAUAUAUAUAUAUAAACAAUUUAAGUAUUUUCGAAAUUUAAUACAAAAUUUAUUAAUAACCUAUAUUUAUUAUAACGAUAUGUGUGUUUUGCAGCUGUUUGAUUUUGCUGACAAGUAUAGGGUUCUUACUCGGUUCUUGUCCAUAUAUUCUAUUGCUACUCAGGUUACCAGGUAAUAGACAAAGAUACUGUUCCUGCUUAAACAUUUAAACCCUAAUUAAAUAUUUUUUCAUAGAUCAUUAAUUCACUAGCUAAGGCCUAUAUUUCGAAUUUUAUGCACAAAAGGAUGAACUGUUAUGGGCUGCUUCUUGGCUAUAUAAGGCUAGUGGAGAAAGCAAGUACUUGAGUUAAAUUAAUACCCAGUUAACUAUAUACAGUGUAACAAAAUUCUUUUAUUUAUAUAUCUUUAGUUUGAAGGUUAUAAUUCUAAUCCGUUUCUAUUUCUUUUCUCCAGGAAUAUUCUAUGGAGGGAAGAAAGAUUUAAGAGUGACAUUGAAUCAUUUAUGUGUUCAAUGAUGUAAACAAGCAGCUCUCUACAUAUUAAAACAACUCCUGAUAUAUAUAUAUGUAUAUGUAUUAUUAACUAACAAUUUUAUUAUUUUUUAUUAUAUAUUAAUAUUAAUUAGAGAUACAUGCAUGGUAUUAUUGGUGGAAAAGAUAAAUAUUUUUUUUAUCGAUAAAUAAACUGAUUUGUUAGUUUUAUUUGUUUUAUAAGAGAUUAAAUCCGUGAUAUUUUUUUAAAAGAGAGAGAAAAAUAAUCCAUGAAAAGUGAUUGUGACUGCAACGUGAAUCAUGCUUUGGUUCAAUGGAUGAGGUUUUAUUCCCCCCCCCUAAAAAACAAACAAAGAGUUAGUGCUUGCGAGGUACUUAGUGGGUGUUUUUGGGAUGAGUGAUAAUGUGACUGUGAUCAUUGCACGUGGAGAAUAAUUGUACCUGGGCCCUAUAGUAGAUGACAAGAAAGAUUAAAAUAAGUGUAUUAUUGGAAAGAGAGAGAGUGGCUGCAGCGUGGUUGAAUGAUGAUAUUUUAAAUUAAUAAAGGCAUUGAUUUUUCUUUUAUUAUUUUAAUUUAAUUACAUUUUAGAUUUUUUAGAUAUCUUAAUUGUACUAUUUUAAUUACCUCUUAUUAUCAUAAUUAUGCAAUUUUGAUAUCUUUGUCGACUUUUUUUAUAUCUAAUAAUUUUUAUUGAAAUAUAUCAAUAUGAUAAUGAUGUGAUUAACAAGUGAUAGAUCUAACAUAUAUCAGGAUGUGGUGACUUAAUUUUACUUUUCUUCCAUUUACUAAAAGUUUAAUUAAUGUGAGUACAUGUUUACCUUAGACAUCAACACGUUAUAUAUAACACCCCUUGUCACACUUACUACUAAAAUGAUAAGUUAAUUGCACUUUUAUGUUACUACUAAUUCAUUUUGUAGGCUUGUUAGACUAACGUGUGAGCUCACUUUUUUGUGGACCAUUUUUCCUACAAAAAGUUAUGUAGGAAAUUAUAACUUUAAUGAGAAAAAUUACUUUGUCAAAAGAAAUUAAUUUAUAUUUUUAAAGAAACUUAAAAAAACCAAUCUAUUGAUUAAUGUAGAGCUGAAAAUUAUAUUAAUGAACAUAUUUUAGGAAAUAAUAUAUAAAAAAAUUCAAAUAAAAAAUAUUAAACUCAAUUAUAUAUUGUAAAUAUUUUUGCUUAAACAUUUUAUAAGAAUCAGAAAUUUACUGUCAUGUGCGUACAUAGCAAUAAUAUUAUGUAAGAUCAAGUGCAGCAUACUCGUAACCGUACCACGCCGAAGCAUAAUGUGAGUUAUGCGAUUAGAUUCAAUUUCAUAUUGGGUAGUUAAGUGUUUCACUAAUGUGUAUCACGUUACGUGCUGCUUUUGAGGUUAGUGUUAUGGCUUUUGGGUGUCUUGGACUAUAUGAUAUGUGCUGAAGGUUGGUUUUGUUUUCACUAUAUAUGUAGAGCUUUUAUAUAUUGCUGAUUUCUCAUGUUUUUGUGUUAGGCAUGAGCAAUCUUGGUACUUGAGAUAUAGUGUCUUUUAUCCUUAAUGAAUAUUAAUUGGCUUAUAAAAAAAAGAGAGAGGAUGAAGAACGUAUAUUAUUACAGAAGUAAAACUGUAGAGAUCGAAUCUAUAACUAACUAAAAAUGACCCCAAACAAUGAGGAAUACAAAAUUUAGGUCAACUUAACUGGACAGAACAGCUUAAAAAAAAAUACUAAAACCUAAAUUUAUACAUUAUAUGCAGUUAGUACCAUAUAUAGCACUGUUCCCUCCAUCUGUUAUUUCGAUGUUGUGGAAUCCCACUUAACCUAAAAACAAAUUAAAAGAAUAAUUACGUAAGUUUAACUAUUCUGUUUUGUUACAAGUAAAUAAAAGGACAUGAAAUCCGUAUAAAAAGACUGCUAUAUAGUCCUUCUAUUAGUAUAUAUACUAAGCUUUUUAUUUAUUUAUGACAGUUUUACGAUUGGGGAAUUGUCUCCCUUUGGUAUGCAAAAUACAGAAGUAUCCUUUCAACAUAUUUUUGAAAUGGAUACAUUGUUAGUUUUAUUUUUAUUUUAUAUCUUGUGAAUUGGAGUAAACUUUUCAUUUUUGUAGUGUUCCAUUUAAUCAACGUUUUUAACAUCAAUCUCAAGCAGUGUUUCAUAUAAAUGGAAAGGGGAAAUUACGCAAGCGAAAAUAUCAAACACGAUCAAUAUUUAUGCAAUGAUAGUGUUUGUUGGGACUUACCAAACAGGAAUGAGGAAGUGCCCAUGUUACAGUCAGUAAGACUAUAAUUGAACAGUCCAUGAGUACUUCACAAUAAAUUCCUGAAACAAAUAAGAGUGACUUGAGAAUAACUGAAACUACAUAUAAAGAUUCAGGUAGGUAAAAUAUAUAUUUAAUACUUUAUUUGCAUGCAAUUAGAGAAAGUUCAAUGCUAACUUGCUUGAUAAAUCUCAUUAAUUAGUUGGGAGACAAUUCGAAUUAUCAUGUAAUGACUGUAAUAUUGUUGAUUUGGACUUUUAAUAUUGAUAUUGAAACGUUAACGUUAAAAGUAAUAAUUAAUAUAAGUUUUAUUAAAAUUGAUGUAAAGAUAAAUCAUAUCAUAUUGAUUUUUAGAAAACUAAUAUCUUAUAAAAAAAUAACUAAAAAAUAUAAAAUAUGUAUAAAAUAAUAUUAAUUUCAUGAAAAAUCGAUAUUGCGUUUAAUUUACAACAUUAUUUUUUCUAAAAUUCUAUGUUGUUUUCUACUAUCCAGCACUCCGUUUCUAGAAAAAUUGAUGUUAGGUGAGCGAAAACAUCAGUUUUUAUAAUAAUUUCGAUGUUGUUGUUUGGAUUUUUUUUUAAAUAUCAUAUCUAUUUUUUUAUUACCCUAAAUUAACCUGUAAAUUAAAAAAUAAAACUAAUCAAGAUAAUUUUUAUGCAUUUUUCAGACAGAUCAUAAUAAUUGAAUAUUACCAUGAAUUAAAAGAAAUACUUAAAAUAAUAAAAGUCAAUACAUAAAAAUCAAUUUUGUAACCUAAUCUUAAUUAGCAACCAUUCUAAAAUACUUAAACACAUGGUUCAAUUUUAACUUUAAAAUAAUGGAUGAUAUAAUAAAAUAUAAGUUAAUUAAUAAGUAUAAAUAAUAAUAAUUAUAAAAAACUGAAUUACGUAAACAAUUAUCAAAACUUCUAACACUAUCAUUAAUUAAUGUGAAAAACAAGCUUCUGAUCUUCCCCAACUGCGAGAACUUGUUUAGUAUUAAUGUGCUAGCUUCUUUUUUUUUUUUUUUUUAUUGGAUUAAUUGAAUUCUUUGCUAGAAGAAUAACCUACCAAAUUGAUUUGAUUGAUAACUGAUUCCACAUUUCCCCCCUCAUGUUGUGUUUCGAAAAUUCCCAAAUUUUCCUAUUUAAUUCUUAAAAACUAAUGUAAUGUUAAAAAAUAUGAAAUUGCAAUUAGGUAUUUUUAAGAAAAAUAUGAAAAAGUUUUGAUAACAAUAAAAGUUUAAAGAUUGUAAUAAAGAAAAAGGUGCUGAUCUUUACAAAUAAUGAAGUUAAAAAUAUAUAUAAUUAAUUAAUGAUGUUUAAAGAUAGCAAAUCUAACAUUGAAACGUGCAGAAGAAAUUUAUUGAAUAAGUGUGCAAAAUUUAAAAAACUAAUAUCAAGUGUAAUUCAUGUUUUUUUAAAGGUAAAUGGAUAUUAUUAAUGGGAAUCAAUAUAAGAUAUAUAUCAAAUGAAAUGAUUUGGUACAACGGUCAAAGACUCCCCAAUCUAACAAUUAUCUGAAUAAGUAAAAGACAAAAACAACUAAAUAAUGAGCAAUUUUAUUGCCCCUUCUCUUAGGUAAUAGUAACAAACUAUCCACAUAAGACUUGGCAUCAACCUGCAACAAUCCUCCACCAGACCAUGAAACUAACUAUAUAUCCACAUAAGGCUCCUGCAUAUGCUAACUUGGUGCCAACAAAACAUCAACAUAUUUCGUAGCUGAAGCUAGGACAUUUCCUUGAGCAUCAUAGAGAAUUAAAUCCAAUCCAGUAUCCUUUCUAAUUGCAGCAUCAAAUUUGAUUUAAAUUUCCAUUUCAAUUUGAGGUUAAACUGUAACAAACAUUUCAAAAAUUGCAUCACUUCCUUCUUGUUCUUUAAUUACUUCAUUUCCUUUUUAGAUAAUCAACAUUUUAAUUUUCCCCAUCAAGUAAAGUGUAAAACUAAAUUCAUAAAAACAAACUCAAAAGAAAGAGACACAGAAAACAAAAUUCGCGUGACCAAAGGUUCUAGGUAUCUAGCUCAAUUUUCGCGUGACCAAAUCUUUUUUUAUAAAUGAAAGAUAUAUCAAUAAUUAGAAAAUUUAUAAAAUCCGCAUUACAAUCCGCACAACUACAACCACAAUUUAGAAUCAUGCACAACUACAAUUUCUUAAUUAAUUUCAAAACUAAUGAAUGUUAGAGAUGCCUAAGAAGAUAAUGUAGUGAUGAUAGUGAGGGAUCAUAUAGCCAAUCCAAUAUGGUCCUAUUCCUAUGAUCUCUUAUUUUACUUGGUCCUUAAUUUCUCUCCUUAUUUUGUUGGAUUUUCAUUAUGAUUGCUAUCUUUGGUUUUUUUUUUUUUUUUUUUUUUUCUGGUUUUCCCCCCUUCGAUCUGUUUUUAUUAAAUUUAUUGGCUCAUUUCAUAAUGUAAGUUGUUGUUUCGGUCAUAUAUAUAUAUAUAUAUAUAUAUAUAUAUAUAUAUAUAUAUAUAUAUAUAUAUAUAUAUAUACUUUUUUUACUUUUACUACUGUUGGACUUUAAAGAUGCAUAAUAAUUAAUUCCAAUUGCUUCCCAACUAAAGAAAUUUAUCGUGAUAGUAGUUUAUAUUUGUCUGAUUGCAUAUUUAAAAGAAGUAUUUAUAUUCUAACUGAAUCUUUUAUCAACUCACAUUUUUCUGUUUGUUCUGGGAAUCCAUCAGGCAGCACUCAUUAUUAUACAAUCAUAUAGACGACAAUAAACAUUGGGAAUUCUUCUUAGCAUCAUAUGGUAAGUUACAAUAUAUGCAUUAUUGCUUUCAUGCAUACUAUAAUUUUCACAAACCACCGUGUGUAAUAGAUAUUAUGAGUAAUACUGAUUAUGAAAGUUAAUUAAUUUAUUAUAUAUGAUGAUUUAUAUUAAAUAAUAUUAUAAAAUUAUUUUAUAACUUUUUUUCUUAUAAUAUUUCCAUUCUUAAAUAUGUAAUAAAUCCUCAUUUUUAAUUAGAAUUCUAUUGCAAUUUAAAUUAAUUUCAGUUUUUCUGAACUCAUUUUUUCUUAUUUUUUUUCAGGAAUUCAUUAUCUAGUACUCACGAACUGUUCAUUGUUUGGUAAGUUAUUACUAGAUUACCUGUUGCUGCAAAGCUGCAUUUUUAACGGCUUUCCUAUCAUUGCGAAAAUUAAUCGUGUUUGAAUCACUGCUUGAAAUUGAUGUAAAAAACGAUGCUUAAUUAUAAUGAAAUAAAAAAUGAUAAGUUAAUUUCCAAUAAUGCACAAAGUUCAAAGCUAACAAUGCAAUCUGUUUUUUAAAAUAUAUUUAAAAGAUACUUAUGCAUCUUGCAUAUCAAAAGGAGGAAAUGUCUCCCCAAUCGUGAAACUAUGUCAUCUUUCACUUUUCCAGUUAGAAAUGUUUUCUUAUUAAAAGAUAAAAAAGCCUUAGUAUAUAUUACAAGAAGCACUAUAUAUAUGGCAGCAGUCAUUUUUCUUUAUGGAUUAAUGUUCUUGUAUUUAUCGUAACAAAACAGAAUACUCAAAGUUACAUAAUUAUUCUUUGAUUUUGUUUUUAGGUUGAAUGGAACUCCAACAUCGAAAUAUUGGAUGGGGGAAACAAUCAUGGCAAUAUUAUGAAAUAAAGGUUUAUGUCAAGUCUUUUUUUUCAAGUGUUUUUGUGGAGUAAUGGUGACCUACAUUGUGAUGUAUAUUUUCUCUAUUAUUUGGUAUGACUUUUAGUCAGUUACAGAUCUUCUGUAGUUUUAUUUAAUUACAGAUACCAUGAAUAUAUAAUAUAAAUAAAUACAUAAAGCAUACGGGUAUAAAAUUGUAUAUUAAAUAGAAUGUUACAAUUUAAUAUUCAAAUAAUUAAAAAUAGUAUUUAGUUACCAAAAUUAUAUAUAAAUAGCAUUAAAAUUAAUAAUUCAGUUAUUCAUUAAAAAACAAUUAAGACUAUUAAAUUCAAUUGCCUCCAACAAGUAUUAUAAAGUGAAAAUUUCAAUCAAUGACUAGAAUAGAAUAACUUCAACUCCCCUGACUACAAGAAACAAAAAAACCAAAAGAACUCGAACUCUCCUUACAUAGAUAUAUACAUUUUUCAGACAGGAUGUGCUGAUCAUAUCAUUAAGAGAUGAAUACUAAAGAUCUUUCGGAGGUCAAUUUCUCAGAGCCGAAGAGCAGUUGUAGAGUUGGGGACCAACGUUCUAAUCAAUUCAUAGAACAAAAGAAUUAAAUACUGCUACAUAACCAUCCAAUUCCCUUAAACAUUACAAUUUCACACACCAAAAUAUUGCAGGAUUGCUUUACACUGCCCCUAAUCAGUUAUUAACACCCAUAAAGUUUAGGCUUUAAUUUCUUCCUUAAUUUGGCUUGUUCAGGCAGUUAACAUCUACCUAUUUUCUUUUCCAUCACCUUUCUACUUCAUUCUCUUCUCAUUCCUUUGUUUCUUUCCCAUCAUAUUAUUAUUAUAUGUCUUUCUCACUUUCUUUAUCUUCCUUUUCUUUUUUCUUUCUGUGCCUUAUUUUCUUCCUUCCCAGUAAACCCCAAAAUGGAAUGCAUCUUUGGCAUUUCCAAUUCCACAAUAAGUGGGAUAGGCUCCUUGUGAAAGCAGCUUCGUUGGAUGUCAAAGAAGCCAUCAAUAGGUUUAGUGCCUGACCAAAAUAGACAUAAGGAACGUCACCUCUAAAUUGACAAAAUGAAGACAAAGAUUGUUAAAUUAGACCAUUGAUAUGAAUCAAAAUUUCUUAAUCCAAUAUUGUGGCAGUGCAAAAGAACAAGUCGUUGGGAGUACUGAAUUGUGAAUAUUACCUGUGACUUCCUGAUUUCCACCAAAUGUUCCUCCAAAUCAUCCAACAACCGGUCAUUCUCCAUAAAUGGACAUGGAAUGCUUGAAGAAGUUGUCAUCGCUUUCACUUCCAGAUUAUCGCUAACAACAAAUAGACAUGGCCUCUUCAUAAAUCCCACAUCGGAUUUUCUUGCUCCAUCUGAAGAUCUUGGGUCCAAAAGUUUGAUAUCUUUUGGAUCUUUUAGCAUAUCUUUUUUCUUUGAAAUCAUAUUCUUUUCACAGAUGAUACGUCCCCUAUUAUCUUUCACUAUUCCAGUGCCAUACCAAUACUUGCCAGUGUCUUCUUCUGAAGCAUUUAUUGGAUUGCUCCCACAACCAAAAUGAAGAGCAACCUUUGGAUUAAGUAAGGAUUUGGUUGACGACGCUAUGAACCAUGAUGGAUCGAGAUUCUUCACACUUGUGUACAACUUAUCAAUGCUUCCCAAUGAUAACUUGCCAUUCACAAGGUACAUAAUAGAUCCAAGUGGCAUCGUGAGGAAGCUGACUAGAAAAUCGACAAAGUCUCCAUCUGCUUCAACAAACAGAAUCUUGUUCUGUGAUUUGCUCACUAUUACCUUGAUUUUUAUGGAAUCUUUCCAUCGACUUGGGCCAAUAUCUGGUAAGAAAGAGGACGAUGGCUCAGAUUUUCCGUUUUCCAAUGUGACACUUAGAGCAGAUUUGGAGGUUAAUGCUUGGUUUAGUAUGCUAAAUACCUGAGAAAAAGAAAACAGAAAACAAUUCAAAUUCUGAAGUUAUAAUUCAUUAAACAAGGAAGAUUAUCAGUUUUACAAGCUAAGGAACUCGAGGAAGCUAGGUUAUCAGUUUCACACAGUGGUAAAUGCAGGUCAGAAAAAUGUCUUGAAUUCAAUGUAUCUGAACUUUCUAGCACAAAACACUCAUUAUAGUCCCCUAAUGUUUUUUUCCCAUUGGCAUAAACUUAUGACUCUUAUAACUAUUUGUUUCACAAUAUAUAUUCAUGCUGAAGUCUAACUUACUAUUUUGUAAAAAUCUUUAUUUGACGAGAAAAAAUAAGGCAAAAUCUCCGUUCCCUAACUUCUGUCGGCCCAACUAAAAUAAUAUUGGGAGGAAUUUAUAUUUUCCAUUUCCAUCCUUCUAACCAAACAACUCGCAAGUACCACCUCAAAUGAAUAAAAAGAAAUAUUACCUUAUUUGUGUCAACAUCUAGAGAUUUUUCUUCCACCUUUCUGAAUUCUUUGUGUCCGAGUUGGAGUGGUGGUUUGAAGGAGACACUGGGAGAGCUACGGAGCACUGUCAAGUCAUCGAAGAUCAAGAACAUGGCGUCCCCUUUAACAAAAACACCAUUGCCACCAGCAGGCUCUACCAGCAUAUCUAGUUGUCUUUUCAUCAAGUUCCCACAGUGGCACUUUACCUCAUCAAAAGUACUCAGCGAGAAAUCACUGCCCUUUGAACAGAUGUGACACACGAAAUACUUUGUGGGCUGCGUAUCAUCCACCUUCAGUUUUAGUCUCUGGUAAGAGAAUUGUAACGGGUUGCGCGGAGAAAGCAACAUUCGCUUGCAGAUGUCGUUCCAGAAAACAUCUGGGUUCAGAGCUUCCACACUCUUGAAUAGAUUGUUAAUGCAACCAAUCUCUAUUGGUUGCCCAAAUGUGUUCCCAAGCCGGAUGAUAGUUCCCAAUGGAAGGGUUAGGAAACUAAAGAGAACAUCUACAAAGUGUCCACUUGCUUCCGCCAUAACUACACGCUUUCGUUCAUUGUCCACCCAAUAUCUCAAAGGGGCUGUUAUUUCUUGGUUGGAAGCCAUAACUGAAAACUUAAAUUAAAGAACUUUUAAUAUCAAAGAAGUAAAAUAACAUACACGGGUUUUAGUGAAAUUUCUGGCAUCUCAACCUCAAUUAUUGCUCGGGAUAAGGCACUUCCUAACUUUAUAUUUAUAGAAUUACUUGCGAGUCUAAUUUUAAGGGAUAGGCUAACAUGCUGAGAGAAGGGUUGUGCAAGUCCAUGGAAAUAAAGAAGCAGUAAAAAGAAAGGCAUGUUAGAUAUUAAUUAGAAAAAUAAUAAUAACAAGUUUUAUGAGGCUUAAAUUGUGGAAGAUGAAAGUUGUAAGGUUGUGAGUUACAAAGUCUUGAAUAAGCAAUUAUGUGAGCAUUUAGUAUUCUUGAAUAAGCAAAUUAUGUGAGUGGUCACUCUAUUUUAGUAUAAAUAGGGAUCAUACUCUUGUAUUUGGUGUGCCAAAUGAAAUAAAAUCUUCUUCUUCUUCCAACAAAGUAGCAUCAGAGCUUGAGUUCUAGAGUGUUGAGAGAGAAACACUUUGUGAGUUGAGAGAUGGCAAGCAAUGGCUUGAGUAUGUUUCAAUUCCCUCGUCUUACCAAAGAGAAUUAUGAUAAUUGGUGUCGUCGCAUGAAAGCCUUGUUAGGUUCUCAAGAUGCAUGGGAGAUUGUAGAGAAAGGUUAUGCCCAACCUCAAAAUGAGACUAUUUUGUCACCAAAUGAGAAGGAGACUUUGUUGAAGUCGAAGAAGAAGGAUUAACAAGCACUUACUUUCAUUCAUCAAGGUUUGGAUGAAGCUAUGUUCGAGUUGGUGUCAAAUGCAACCACAUCCAAAGAAGCAUGGGAGAUUUUGAAAACCUCCCUUGAAGGUGUUGAUAAGGUAAAAAAGGUGCGCCUACAAACUCUACGUAGAGAGUUUGAAUCAUUGCAUAUGAAGGAAUCUGAAUCUAUCUCAGAUUUUGGCAACAAGGUGUUGGCUAUUGUGAACCAAAUGAAGCGUUAUGGAGAAAAUAUGGAAGAUGUUCGUGUGGUGGAAAAGAUCCUUCGCUCCUUAAUCGCUAAAUUUGAUUAUGUGGUUUGUGCUAUUGAAGAGUCUAAGGAUUUAGACUCAAUAACCAUAGACCAAUUGAUGGGUUCUCUUCAAGCUUAUGAAGAAGGGUUCAAUAGAAGACAUGAUGAGCCAUUGGAGCAAGUCCUCAAAGCCAAAGCUUCUUUGAAAGAAAAUGGAGGAGAAAGUAGUCAAAAAGCACGUGGACGUGGAAGAGGACGUUGUCGUGGACGUGGUCAUGGCCAAGGAUGAGGAGGAAGAGGAGAUCGUGAUAAUUUUGACAAUAAUGAAUGGAGGAGCCAUCAAUCCACUAGAAGUCGUGGAAGAGGAAGAGGAAGAGGUAGAAACAAUUAUGAAAAAGCAUAUGAAAGGAGGUAUGAUAAAUCUAAUGUUGAAUGUUUUAAUUGUCAUAAAUAUGGCCAUUACUCUUGGGAGUGUAGAACAAAUGUUGAAGAGAAGGUCAAUCUUGUUGAUGAUAAAGAAGAAGUUGAAGAGUCAACACUACUACUAUCACUUAAUAAUGGUGAGAAGGAAGACAAAUGCUUAUGGUAUCUUGACAAUGGAGCAAGCAAUCACAUGUGUGUGUAACAUCCCAAUUUUUCGUAAAUAAAUUUAAAAAGUUUUUUAGUAAAAAAUAAAUAAAUAUAGAGCAAAUAAUAGGCUGAGUACCCUAGGUAUAAAUAGUUAUGUUAAGUCAGCUGCCUCCUUUUGGCCUCAUUUUCGUUUUUCCCCUUCUCCUCUCAAAACCCUUUCUUUUUCCCGCAGCCCACCAAAUCAGUCUCAGAAAAACGACGAUCUCGAACCCGUUCACCGUUGGAUCGUCGUGAAAUUUGAGUAUCAUGUUAGCAAUACAAUUCCGAGCAUUCUCACCGUUGGGAAUUUAGAUAUCAUGUCUGAACUGAGAGAAACACCCUUCGCAUUGUAGCCUUUUUCUUUCCCGCAGAAACCCAGAGCUGUCUUGGUAAAACUACGAUCCCGGUUUCGUUAACCGUUGGAUUAUUGUGAAAUUUGGAUAUGUUGUUCGAAAUUCAAUUCCGCACGCUUCCACCGUUGGGAUUUGCGAGAUAAUAUUCGUGGAGGGAGAAAAAGGAAUCGUAUGAAGACAGUACAAGUGGAGGUUUCAAUCUCUUCUCCGUCUCUCUGACGUUUGGGAAUUCUAUCGGAGCAGUUGGAUGAAUAAUUGAAAGAAUUUCCGGGAACCGCUAGAGAUGUUGCUAUCGCUGGCUGAAGACACGUGAGCCCGCUUAGAGGUAAGGGAUGAGUUAUUCACAAUUGGGGGUUACUGAGAACAUGUGUAGGGAUCCUUAGAGGAUUAAAUUGGGGUUUUAUUUUGAGAUGUUUAUUAAAUUACAAAUUUUCCUUUAUGAUUAUAAAUAAAAUAUUGAUGUCCUAAUGAAAAUUGUUUGAUAAAUUGUGCUCUUGAUAUUUAUAUAUUUUGACCUAUGAUUUUGAUAUAAGUGUGUAAUAUUAUUUGAGGGGUUUUAGUUCUCAUGUUGUGAUAGUCUUUUGUAUAAAUUGCUAUAUUGAGGAUAUGAAAUGAUGAUUCAAAUUGUGAGUAUGUGAUGAAUUGUGGAAUAACAUGUGCUUUGAGAUUAUAAUAUUGUUAUUGAGAUUGAGUAUAAGUGUAAAGUUGAACAUGUGUUAAUUUGUGAGAUACGUGAAAACAUGUGAUGGUGGAUUGUGACACUAUGAGAUGUGAAAUUGUGAAUGAGUUUUAGUUGUGGAUAAGUGUGUAGUUAACACUUGAUGUGAAAUUACUUGUGUUGUAAGCUAUGAAUUGUACAAUAACCCGACCAGUGUUAUCUUGAGAAAAGUGUAAAUGCGCAGUGUUAAAGAGAAAGUGUAGGUUUCCUAUUUAGGAACCAGUGUUAAAGAGAAAGUGUAGGUUCCUAUUUAGGAACCAGUGUUAAAUUGUAGCGCAAUAUGUUGUACGUGUUUAAGGCACGAGUGUGAGGUCGUGGGUAUUGCAUAAUUCACUAGCAGUGUCUGUGUGCUAAAAUGAUUUUAGGGGUUGGACCUGAAUCAGGAGGGAGAGGCCCUGACGGACUCUUCGGAGUAUAGGCCUUGGGGGUCAUCGGGUUUGAGUGCUCCUUUAAGCCUAUGCUGAUCCCAUAUGGUUGGAGCAUUCUCGCAAAACAUCGUGACCCUGACUGGUCUCCCUAUGAUCUUACUUAGUGAGAGUGACCUGACAAACUCAUUGUGUGGUGUGUCUUGUUAUGUACUCCUAAGCGCCCCAGGGUGGUUUUUCACUGACAUGGUAUCACAUUGCAUAUAGGCUUGAGUCUUAGCAUAACUGUCACAUACGCUUGCUAAUUGUUUAUUAUUAAAUUAAUGUGUUAUUAUGUCUUGAUCGGAGUGUGUGAUUCCUGUGUAUAAUGAUUGAUGAUUGAAAGGUGUGAUUGAUGAAUGACAAAGUGAUGAAAUAAUGUGAGAUAUGCUAAGUAAAUUGUAUUUGGCUACUAUAUGUUGUGUUGUUUCUCUCUAGUAGUUAGCAAUGUGAUAACUCACUCCCGGUUUGCUGUUUGUGUUUGGAUCCUGUGAUGAUCUUGAACUUUGUGUUCGGGGGAGCAGAUGAAUAGGUGGAUGACUAUGAAGAACCUCAUGCUAGAGGACACGGGAACAUCAUGCUCUGAUAGGAUGUGACAUUAGGAUAUAGGUUCUAUAUUAAUUGUAUGAGACUUAUAUGACUUUCUUUGAGUUGAGAUGACUUUAUUAUUUAUUUGGACAAGUUUGAAUAUGAUGUAGAAGAAAGUGAAUGUGAGCCUUUUACCCCUUUGAAAAGCUUGUAUUUAAAAAUGUUUUAAAAAUACUUUUAAUUAAUAUUUGAAUUUUCAUUCCUUUAUUAAUAUAUAUGUGAGGGGUAGAGGGUGUCACAUGUGGAUGCAAAGAGAAAUUUGUGGAACUUGAUAAGAAGGUGAAAGGAAAUGUUUCUUUUGGAGAUUCUUCCAAGGUGCAAAUCCAAGGAAAAGGUACCAUUUUAAUUUCUUUAAAAGAUGGUGCUCACAAAUUAAUCACGGAUGUUUACUAUGUUCCUAAACUAAAAAGCAAUAUUUUGAGUUUGGGACAACUUGUUGAAAAGGGGUAUGAAAUUCAUAUGAAAGAUUGUUGUUUAUGGCUUCGAGAUAAAAAUUCUAAUUUGAUUGCCAAGGUGUUUAUGUCAAGAAAUAGAAUGUUCACUUUGAACAUUAAAACCAAUGAAGCAAAAUGUUUGAAGGCUAGCAUAAAAGAUGAAUCAUGGUGUUGGCAUAUGAGAUUUGGGCACUUGAAUUUUGGAGCACUAAAAUCCUUAGGAGAGGAGAAGAUGGUGAAAGGGAUGCCUCAAAUCAACCAUCCUAAUCAAUUGUGUGAAGCAUGUCUCCUUGGAAAGCAUGCAAGAAGGAGUUUUCCAAAAGAAGCUAAUUCAAGAGCAAAGGAGCCUCUCCAACUUGUUUACACCGAUGUGUGUGGCCCAAUCAAUCCUCCUUCAUGUGGUAACAAUAAAUAUUUCUUGCUUUUUAUUGAUGAUUAUAGUAGAAAAACUUGGGUUUAUUUUCUAAAGCAAAAAUCUGAGGCAUUUGUAGCUUUUAAAAAUUUUAAAGCUCUUGUGGAAAAGGAGAGUGGUUAUGUAAUCAAAGCUUUAAGAUCCGAUAGAGGUGGCGAAUUCACAUCAAAAGAAUUUAAUGAAUUUUGUGAAAAAUAUGGGAUUCGUCGCCCUCUAACGGUUCCUAGAUCUCCACAACAAAAUGGGGUAGCUGAGAGAAAAAAUAGAACUAUUCUUAAUAUGACUAGAUGUAUGUUGAAGGCUAAAAAUAUGCCAAAGGAAUUUUGGGCCGAAGCUGUUGCAUGUGCCGUUUAUUUGUCCAAUCGCUCCCCAACAAAGAAUGUCAAAGAUCAAACACCACAAGAAGCAUGGAGUGGAGUGAAGCCAAGAGUUGAUCACUUGAGAGUAUUUGGGAGCAUUGCAUAUGCUCAUGUACCCGACCAAGGAAGAUUCAAGCUUGAUGAUCGGAGUGAGAAACAUGUGUUCAUUGGCUAUGAUGCAAGCUCAAAAGGCUACAAAUUGUACAAUCCAAACAAUGGAAAGACAAUUGUGAGCCGAGAUGUCGAGUUCUAUGAAGAAGGCACAUGGAAUUGGGAGGAGAAAGAAGACACUUAUGAUUUUUUCCCGUACUUUGAAGAAAUAGAUGAAGAAGCCUUGACUCCAAAUGAUUCAACUCCAGCACUUUCACCAACUCCUUCAACCAAUGAAGCCUCAUCAUCUUCCGAAGGGAGUUCAAGUGAAAGGCCAAGAAGAAUGAGAAAUAUUCAAGAAUUAUAUGAUGAAACUGAAGUUAUAAAUGAUUUGUUUUGUCUUUUUGUUGACAGUAAACCCUUAAACUUUGAUGAAGCAAUGAAAGACAAAAGGUGGAGACAAGCCAUGGAAGAAGAAAUCAAAGCCAUUGAGAAGAACAACACUUGGGAGUUAUCAAGCCUUCCCAAAGGUCAUGAAGCAAUUGGAGUCAAAUGGGUGUUCAAAAUCAAGAAGAAUGCAAAAGGAGAGGUUGAGAGACACAAAGCAAGACUUGUAGCUAAAGGUUAUAAGCAACAAUAUGAAGUUGAUUAUGAUGAAGUGUUUGCACCGGUUGCCCGCAUGGAAACCAUUCGUCUUCUUAUUUCCUUGGCAGCUCAAAUGAAGUGGAGAAUUUUUCAGUUUGAUGUAAAAUCGGCAUUUCUAAAUGGCUAUCUUGAAGAAGAUGUCUAUGUUGAACAACCAAUGGGUUUUGUCAUCGAAGGUCAAGAAGGAAAAGUCUUGAAAUUGAACAAGGCGUUGUAUGGUCUAAAGCAAGCACCGAGGGCAUGGAAUACCCACAUUGACAAGUACUUCCAAGACAAUGGGUUUGUUCAUUGUCAAAAUGAGUAUGCUCUUUAUGUUAAAACUUUUAAUAAUGGUGAUGUCUUAUUUAUUUGUCUUUAUGUGGAUGACCUUAUCUUUACCGGCAAUAACCCAAAUUUGUUUGAAGACUUCAAGGAGUCCAUGUCUCGUGAAUUUGAUAUGACAGAUAUGGGACUCAUGUCAUAUUACUUGGGAAUGGAAGUGAAGCAAACGCAGAAUGGUAUCUUUGUCUCACAAGAAAGGUACACAAAAGAAGUGUUGAAGAAAUUUAAUAUGCUUGAUUGCAAUCCUGUGAACACACCUAUGGAAGGUGGCUUGAAGUUAUCAAAGUUUGAUGAAGGAGAGAAGGUAGACUCCACGAUCUUCAAGAGUCUUGUGGGGAGUUUAAGGUAUCUAACCAAUACAAGGCCCGAUAUUCUAUAUGCGGUGGGAGUUGUGUGUCGCUUUAUGGAGGCUCCUACCUCUCCUCAUCUAAAAGCCGCAAAAAGAAUUCUUUGUUACUUGAAAGGUACAAUUGAUUUUGGAUUGUUUUAUUCUCCCUCCAAUAACUAUAAGCUUGUGGGAUUUUGUGAUAGUGAUUUUGCCGGAGAUGUUGAUGAUAGAAAAAGUACUACCGGAUUUGUAUUUUUUAUGGGUGAUUGUGUUUUUACAUGGAGUUCUAAGAAGCAAGGCAUUGUGACACUUUCUACUUGUGAAGCCGAGUAUGUAGCUGCAACUUCUUGCACAUGUCAUGCCAUUUGGCUAAGAAGAUUGUUGGAGGAACUUCAGUUGUUGCAAAAGGAAAGCACAAAGAUCUAUGUUGAUAAUAGAUCUGCACAAGAGCUUGCCAAGAAUCCGGUGUUCCAUGAACGAAGUAAGCAUAUAGAUACAAGGUAUCAUUUCAUUAGAGAGUGCAUUACCAAGAAAGAAGUAGAAUUGACUCAUGUGAAAACUCAAGAUCAAGUUGCGGAUAUUUUCACCAAGCCUCUCAAAUUUGAAGAUUUUCGAAGAUUGCGAGCAAGACUUGGUGUGCAGAAGAAUUUUCCAAUUAAGGGAGGAUGUUAGAUAUUAAUUAGAAAAAUAAUAAUAACAAGUUUUAUGAGGCUUAAAUUGUGGAAGAUGAAAGUUGUAAGGUUGUGAGUUACAAAGUCUUGAAUAAACAAUUAUGUGAGCAUUUAGUAUUCUUGAAUAAGCAAAUUAUGUGAGUGGUCACUCUAUUUUAGUAUAAAUAGGGGAUCAUACUCUUGUAUUUGGUGUGCCAAAUGAAAUAAAAUCUUCUUCUUCUUCCAACAAGGCAUGGUUUGAUUUUUUUAAAGAUUUAAACCAAAACAACUUAAUACUCGAUUGAUUAUCUAAAAAUAAUAUUUUUUGGAAGAUCAGUUUGAAAUUUUUACAAGUUACUUCUAAAUUGAUUUUGAAUUACAGAACAAUUUAGGGUGCAUUCGUGAUGAUUUUUAGUUCUUUUAACUCACUUUGAAAGUCUCUUAUUCUAUUAAAUUAGGUUAAGAGUGUAUUUAUAUCUUAGUGACAACAAUUGUAGUGAAGCUUAAUGAUGUAGAUUAUUUAUGAAAGUAAAAAGAUAUCCUUUCAGCACUUCUACAUAUUUAAUCUUACUUUGGAAUUAUUGAAGAAAUUUGAGAGUUUAAUUUAUGUUAAAUUCAUUGUGUAUAUUUGUAAGAGCACUUGGGUUGAUAAAAAGUAAUAAUAAUUUUAUAUUUACUUUGGUAGAUUUGAAGAAGUUAGCUUAUCAGAUCGAGUCUUUCAUUAUGGAAGAACAAGCUAAAUAUAUGUUUUAUGUUCAAGAUUUUUGUGAUGAAAAAUGAUAAGUGAUUUUGCCCAAAAUUGAUGUUGUAAGUACUAUUCAAUAUCCAUUUUGGCAUAAACUAAUAUUGUUUAUGCUUUUCUUUUUUGCUACUUGCUACUACUAUAUCACAUUCAUUUUUGGGAGAAUUGAUGUUAUAUAAUGAAUUUCAACAAUGAUUUUUACAAUUGAUGUUAAAAAUGAUCUACUUUUAACAUUGAUAGUUUCAACAUCAAUUUUGAAUUGAUGUUGAACAUUCAAAAUCACCUUUGUUAACAACAUUUCUUUUCUAGUAGUGCUUACUAAUUAUUUUAGGAGCUUAAAAGUUUAAUUUUUUAAUUUUAAUUUAUGCGAGUCAAUGUUUUUUUAAUUUUGGUUUGUGUAUAUUUUUUUUGUUUAUUUCUAAUACUUAAAAAUUUAUAUUUUUAAUUUUAAUCUCUUUAAGAUUAUAAUUUUUUUAUACUUAUAAUCCUAAAAAAUUUAAGAUUAAAAAAUUAAAAUUGAAAAAACAUAAAUUAAUAUAAAUUAAAAAUAAACAAAAUAUUUACCGGAACUAAAAUUAAAUACAAACUUACAUUACAUACUGUCAACUUUUUAUUGGUGAUUGGGAUAAGAAGUGUGUGGUGAUUUAAAUCCGACCCAUAGAUCGAUCCAUCGUCCUUAAUUAUCCUUAACAUAAGAAUACUCACAUAUAUACCAUCACGUACUAUCCUCCCUCUCACUCACUUUUGCUCUCUGAUUUCACCUCAAUGCACCACACUGCACGUAAGUACUCACUACCUUUGGCUCUUCUUUACUAUGGAUGAAGCUGCAGGCAGCCAACCCUAGCUUGCAUAUCCCCUCACUCUCCAUUUCAGCCGCAAGCCACGCACCAUUCUUCAUCUCUUAUAGUUUUACUUCAUCUCCGUUCAUAGCAUAUAUAUUAUUAUGCGUAAGUGAACCAACCACUCACCUCCUCAUCUCCGACCACCACCAGCAGCCUAACCAGUCAGGUAAAUUAUGCUAUUUAUUUAUUUAUUUAUUUAUUAUUAGUAUUAUUAUUAGUGCAAAAAAGACACUCCGACAUUAAAAAAAAUGUUUGUAGCGGCCGGUUAUAAUAAUUGACGGUAAAAAUGUCAAAAAAAUGACCAGUUAAAAGCACUUGAACGUGUGUGGUAAUCGCUGUUGUACAUUUACUUGUUUCUGAUCUUUUGUUUAAGCCUGUGUUUGGAAACAGGUGGAUCUGGAUGUUGAAAAAACUGUGCUAGUCGGUUUCAAGCUUUAGGGAAAAAAUAAUUAUUUAAUUUGUAUGUGUUUCUUUUAAUAUUAUUUAAGUUGUAUAUGGGAUUUUUGUACAUUUUUUUUUAUUAAUUUGAGUCAAAUUUUAUUAUUUUUCUUAGUUUAAAUUAUAAUUGAUAUUAAAAUAAUUUUUUUUAACAUCUUUCUAAUUUAAAAAUAAAUAUGUCAAAGAAUAUAUAGGAUGAUCUUUUAAUUUGAUUAUAUCCCAAAUGUUGCUUUGCAUCACAAAUGAACAAAAUUUAUUAGGAUAUAACAAACAAAUAAACAUUUAGGAUAUAGAAUUUUUUUUUAUUAAUUUAUGAUUAAAAAUAAAUUAAUUUUACUAUUUUUAAUAUUAUAUAAAAUAAACUAAGUACUACACUAAUUAAUAUAAAAUUAUAGUAUUUCUGGGACAACCUGUAGUCUGCUGGCUGCUGCUAAACGUUUUUGUUGUGUGGCUGACACUUUAAGCUGCCAUACAUAACAUAUAUGAACAGGACUUGCCCGCCAUGAACCACCAUACAUGCGUGAACCAACUGCAGUGACUUCCUCUUUAACCAACCCUUGUGAACUAUAGGAACCACGUGCAGUAGCGAAUCAGCGAGGUAAAAUGUGCUAUGCUCACUUUAUUAUUAUUUUUUUGUUAUUAUUAUCAACUUUUGUGCCAAAAUCUCAUUCAUUUGUUCUUACCGUUUUAUUUGUUAUAAUAAUACUGACAGUAUGCAAGGUUGGAAUCUAAAUUUUGUAUAUACUAGUCAAACUUCUUGUCUAUUUAGGUCGAUCCUGAUCGAUAAUCUUUCUCGAUCUAUUUUUUUUAGAUGGACCAAGGGACAGAUCCAAAGGGGGUGAUAGCGUUUGGUAUUCGAGGCCCAAACAAUCCUCCAGAGAAAGGGAGAGAGAGAGAGAGAGAGAAAACUUGAGAACGAGAGAGAGAGGAGAUCUUUUUCUUAAUUACAUUCCUCAAAACUUGUUCGUACAUUUAUAGCCACUAGUGGUGGUUACAAUAGAAAACUAACUUCCUAACAGAAAUCCUAACCUACUGAUUUAUUCUUCUUUAUUCCUUCUAGAAUAUUCAAGCGCGCUCCUACGCACAUUCAUGCCUUCAUGGUUUGUUUAUUACGUAGUCUUUCAGAUGCAUGAGCGUGCUACUGUGCCAUUUGGGCCUUGCUGCUUGCACCCCUACUCUAUUAUUCGUAUCAUUCCCGCUUGCUUCGAAUAACACCUUGUCCUCGAGGUGAUGUAUUGCUUGGAGGGUCGUCCACUCUUCCCACGACGUUUUGUUAGGGUGCAGGCCUCUUCAUUGAACCAGCACAAGGUGCUUCGGCCCUAUAUCCGAAGGAAUGGUUUUGUGAGCUAGAAUAGCUAAUGGGGUCAGAACUGGUUGAUUAUCCACGGCUAAUGGGGGAAGCUCCUCCAUUUUUGCUGAUGCGGGAGUCCCUACAAAGGGUUUUAAGUUUGAACAAUGGAACAUUGGGUGGAUUCGUGAGGUUUCAGGUAAGGCUAGCUUAUAAGCAACUGGUCCCAUCCUUUCGGUGAUCCGGAAUGGCCCAUAAAAACGCCUUGCGAGCAUAGAAUGAACUGCACCUGAGGCUGUGGACUGACGAUAUGGCCGUAGUUUAACUAAAACCCAUUCACCAACUUGAAACUCGUGAUCCCUUCGAUGCCCAUCUGCAAUAGCUUUCAUAUGCGUUUGGGCCUUAAGUAACUUCUGACGGAGUAAGGUGAAUAUGGCCUCUCAUUGACUGAGCAAGUCAUCAACUACUUCCACCUUGGCCGUGCCUGUUAGAUAUUGAGGGAAGGAGGGAGGUUUGCGUCCAAACGUUACUUCGAAGGGUGUCAUUCCCGUAGAGGAAUGGACGGAAGUGUUAUAAGACCACUUAGCCCAUAACAAGAAGCGACCCCAGGAGUUUGGUUUAUGGUGAAUGAAAGCUCUUAAGUAUUGUUCAAUGAUCCUAUUUGCCACCUCCGUUUGGCCAUCUGUUUGGGGAUGGUAGGCAGAACUCAUUGAGUUUAGUGCCACUCAAAUGAAACAAAGCUUGUCAAAAUUUGCUGACGAACAACGGGUCACGAUCAGAGACAAUACUUCUGGGCAUGCCAUGGAGUUUGCCUACUAAUUCAAUGAAGAGCUGAGCAACGCUUUGUGCCGUAUGAUGGGAAGGAAGCAUACUGAGGUGUAGCCCUUUCGAAAAGCGAUCAACAAUCACAAAGACAUAAGUGUUGUUGCGAUAAGCUGGAAGUCCCAUGAUGAAGUCCAUGGAGAGGUCCUCCCAUGGCUGCGAAGGAACUGGUAACGGGCAUAAUAAACCCCGAGAUUUUGCAGGUUCAUACUUCACGAGUUGACAAUCCACACACUGGGCCACAAAUUUACGAGUGUCACUACUCAUUGUCUGCCACAUGAAAUUUUCUGCUACACGAUUCAAGGUUUUUCGAUAACCCAUAUGGCCUCCUGUUGGUGUUUGAUGAAAUUUCGUGAGCAAAGCUUUGAUGAAAGUACAGUCUGAGGGUAACCAAAUACGCCCUCGAUACAAAACAAAGUUGGGUGUUAACACAUGGUCAGGGUAGGUGGCUGGGUCUGCGUGAACCUUCUCCCUUAAGGUUAUAAAUUCAUUAUGCGACUGCAAUUCCUUAGACAGAUCUUCAAGAAACACAAAGUGAGGCAUUGAGAGGAUGAAAAGCGAGGCACUUGGUACCUCUGAACAUCGUAAUAGCGCGUCUGCAACCACGUUAGUUUUGCCCGUUCUAUAUUGUAUAGAGUAAUCAAAACCCAACAAACGUGCCAAAUAUCGGUGUUGCUCCGGCAUUUGAACAACCUGGUUCAUUAAUUCUUUUAAGCUUCUAUGAUCCGUCAAAAUUACAAAGUGGUGCCCCAAAAGGUAUUGCCUCCACUUCUUAACAGCAGUGGUAAUGGCAGCUAGUUCACGAACAUAGGUGGAGGAGCUAAGCAACUUAGGGUAAAACUAUUUUCUAAAGAAGGCUAUUGGGUGUCUUCCUUGUGACAACACUACGCCCAUUCCCGAGCCGGAGGCGUCUGUUUCCACCACAAAGGGUUUUGUGAAAUCAGGAAGUGCUAAUACUGGGAAAUUAGUCACGACAUUCUUCAAGUUUUGGAAGGCAACUGUAGCUUCAGGAGUCCAUGCAAACCCUUCCUUAGUUAAAAGUCACGAGAAUGGUGCUGCUAAAGUAGCGUGUUGCAUUCCUUGGUCGGAGACCACAUGACCCAGAUACUCGAUCUGUUGUUGAGCGAAGGAACAUUUGGAAAAUUUUAGUGUAAACUUACCUUCCAUUAAGACCUAAAAUGCAACCUCCAAGUGAUCCCUGAAGGAACGACUAUAAAUCAAGAUAUCAUCGAAGAAGACGAUGAUAUACUUGCGUAGAUGCGGCUGGAACAAGCGGUUCAUUGUUGCCUGAAACAAAGAAGGUGCAUUACAAAGUCCAAAGGGCAUUACAUGAAACUCAUAGUGUCCAUGGUGAGUGCGGAAGGCUGUCUUGCUUGUAUCGGAUUCUUUCAUCAAAAUCUGAUGAUAUCCUUGCAUUAGAUCGAGCUUAGAAAACCACGUUGCUCCCCCUAGUUCAUCUAAUAAUUCAUCCACCGUAGGUAUAGGAAAGCGAUCACGCACUGUGAUAGCAUUCAAUGCCCUAUAAUCCAUGCAAAAUCGCCAUGUUCUGUCGCGUUUCUUGACUAAUAAAACUGGUGACGAGAAGGGACUUGAGCUAUGUUGUAUGUGACCAUUGCGAAGCAUCAAAGCCACUUGUCUUUCAAUCUCUUGUUUUUGAAAGUAUGGGUAGCGGUAGGGUCUUACGUUUAUGGGUGUUGAGUUAGGAAGGAGGUUGAUCGAGUGGUCUGUGGCUCGUGAUGGGGGAAGGUUCGUUAAUGGUUGGAAGAGGGAGGAAUAUUUAGUGAGUAAGGUUUGAAUUGCCGGUAUCGAGUGAGUCAAUGGUAAGGGUUCGGGAUGAUGAGAGUCAAGUUGAAUGUGAAAAUAGGUACUAGUGUUACCUGUGUUCAUAAGGCGUCGUAGCUGUGAUGGUGAUAUCUGAUCAAUAUUUGCAUCACGAUCACCCUUGAGCUCAAUCAAUUUAUCAUUAUAAAUGAAUUUCAUGGUGAGAGUUGCGUAGUCUGUUAGGACAGGUCCCAGUGACUUUAGCCAUUGUACUCCUAGCACUACGUCAGCUCCGCAAAUUGGAAGAAUAUGGAAAUCAACCAAGAAAGUGUGUGCCUGAAUAUGUACCGCAACUUCCGGGCAAACUUGGUUGCACUGCAGCUCCUCGCCAUUACCUACUGUUACUCGAAGAGUAGAAGUUGUUUGUGGUUGCAAGCUUAAUGUUGUAACCAACUCUUGCUAUAGGAAGUUGUGUGUGCUUCCUCCAUCAAUGAGAAUCUGAACACGGUGGUUUCCAAUGAGGCCCGUGACUCACAAGGUUUCCGGGGCUCCGUGACCGGAAAGCGCAUGAAGACUUAUCUGAGCUGGUGAUGUCUCCUGUGAAGCUACAAGAGCUGUUGGAGACGAUGGGUUGGAAUCAGAAUCCUGCAGGCACUCCUCAUCCUCUGUAACAAAUAGGAACAAGGACGGGGUGCACUUAUGGCCCCGUGAGUACUUUUCGUCAUAAUUAAAACAUAAUCCCUUCUCCCUUCGAAUAGCUAAUUCUUCUGGGGAAAGGCAUUUAAAGGGAAUAGUGGUUGUGGCAGGUUUAGUUGGUGAAGGAGUUAAGAGCGACUCAACUGGUUUAGUGACAACCGGCGGUGAUAAUCGUGAAGGAAAACUAUACGACAGACUAGGGGAGGUUCGAACAGAAGAUCGUCGCCCAUCUAGCUGUUGAGACUUUGGCAAGUGUACCAAAUCGCUCUUAAGUAGUAAACCUCGGAAGUCCGAGUAUCGUGUCCGCAGGGAUUUUAUUGCACUUGUUAAAUACUUCUCAAUUUGUAAGUAAGAAUAAAAAAAACAGGAAUAAGUGUAGGAAUAGAGUGCGAUUACUAAAUCAAAUAGUUUAAAAAAGGAAAGACAAUUAAUAAAGAUGCCAAGACCAGACAAACCCAAUUGGCCUACGAUGCAUGUAAAUAUGAUAUUCAUUACCAAUGCACUGGUAUUAGUUAUACCCACAUCUGUUAACUACUUGCCCCUGAUGCCUCACGUUGGCAAGCCUAUUUUAACUACCUAUCUCCCAAAUGCCUUUGCGAAGAUUCAAUAAUUAAAAUGCAUUAAGAUUAAGUUCUAGAUGUUGCUUAAAUGCAUGGGCAGUGGGUUAUCACUCUAUGCCUAGCAAUGGUAACCCAAGAAUUCUUUUCUUAAGAUGUUCUGUUAGGCGUUACCCUUUUCCAAGUGUAUAACCCCUAAAACUAAUGCAUGCAUUGAAUCUUAAAUAUUUAUUGGGAAAUACCCUCUCCCGAGCGAAUAAAACCCAAAAGAAGUUUAAGAACAAAUGCAAGAUAACAAGAAAAGAAUUAGAACAGAAAAACCUGGAAUCAAUUCCUUUUGCAUUGAUAACUCUUGAAGCUCAUCGUACAUCGUUGGCUUUUUAGGCCUGCCAGGCCCUAGCUAGGGGAUUAGCCACUCAUGGUCAUUGAGGUCUUACAAUUAGGGGUGAAGGAAAGAAUGGGGAUAAUAAAAACAAAGAAUAAUAAGAGAAAGGAAAACUCAAGCUUGAAGUACUGAGAACUGUGCUCUGAGACGAGGUGAGUUUUCCUUGGGACUGACUCUCUAUUUAUAGUUGCUGAAGUGGGCUUGUGGGCUACGUAGUCGCGCUCAGCGCCACACCUCGUGCUUAGCGCGUACAGAUCGCGCGCUGGGCGCGCCAUGCAGGCUUAGCCUGUGCUUCUGUUGGAUCGCGCGCUGGGCGCCUAGCUGGGCUUAGCGCGCGUAACGGUUGCUCCUUCGUGCUUAACGCCACGCUUAGCGCCUGCAAUUAAUUGCUCACUUAGCACGUGAUGCGCGCUUAGCGCCACUGUUGGGCUGGGCCUGCUUCAGAAUUUCUUCUUUUUCUUCCUUUCUGUUGCCAUUUUUGCUUAAUGUACCCUCAUUUUUCGUAUCUGCAACCAGAAAUUCAAUUUAAUUAAUUUUUUCAACUUUUAAUCAUAAAUAACUACUAAAUAAUUAAUUUUAAGUAAAAAUUUGACUAUUUAACUACGAUUAAUUCACAAUUAUUUAGCAGUUAUCACUAGCAUCCUUUCCUCAUGCAGCCUAGCAAAGGAGAUUGCCUGAACCAACGAGUGAGGCUGCAUAACUUGCACCUCCCGUUGAAUCACUGGAUUUAGUCCUGACACAAAACAACUUAGCACAAACGGUGCCAGCAAACCAAUUAUACGGUUAGCAAGAGCUUCAAACUCCGAGAGGUAAGCGGAGACAAUUGAUCGCUGUGUCAACUUACAGAGCAAACCUGUUGGAUCUUCAUAGGUUGAAGAUAAGAAUCGUGCGUGGAUGGCGUGUAAAAAAGUGGACCACGAAGACAAUUGACCAUUCCUAUGCAUCCAUUGAAACCAGGCUAAUGCUAAGCCUUCCAUGUAAAAAGAUGCUAUGGUGAGUCUUUCGUGAUCUGGAGUUGCAUGAUAUUCGAAGAACUGCGUGAUCUUGAAUAUCCAGCCUUCUGGAUCAGAGCCAUUGAAGCGCGAAACUUCGAGCUUCAUACGGUAAGUCGGAUUCGUGGUCGUUGCACCUGGAGAUGGCGAUGGCACUCGCGGAGAUGCGUGCUCUGUCUCUAACUGAGUCAUACGAUGCAGAAGCUCGUCGAACUUGGAAGACGAAAGUCUCGCAAAUGCCUCUUCCCAGUGAUCAGCACUUGUUUUUGAUCGAGUAGCUUCAGCCAUGGUGUGAGCAAUGAAAGCACCAAUGAUAGCGUUUGGUAUUCGAGGCCCAAACAAUCCUCCAGAGAAAGGGAGAGAGAGAGAGAGAAAACUUGAGAACGAGAGAGAAAGGAGAUCUUUUUCUUACAUUCCUCAAAGCUGGUUCAUACAUAUAUAGCCACUAGUGGUGGUUACAACAGAAAAUUAACUUCCUAAUAGAAAUCCUAACCUACUGAUUUAUUCUUCUUUAUUCCAUCUAGAAUAUUCGAGCGCCCUCCUACGCACGUUCAUGCCUUCAUGGUCUAUUUAUUAUGUAGUCUUUCAGAUGCAUAGGCGUGCUAUUGUGCCUUUUGGGUCUUGCUGCUAGCACCCCUACUCUAUUCGUAUCACGGAUCCAAAGGGGGCCUCUUAUGACCCUUUGUGUAUAUAUAUAUAAGAAAAAAAAAGAAAAAUUAAAAUAUAAAAAUACUAAUAACAUCAAUUUUUCCAUGUGAUCGCUGCAACUGCUCUUUAAGUACCAAUUUCCUCUUGUCUCAUCACUAGAAUCUCGGGUAGCAUAGUAAAGAUGUCACUGUCAUGCUCUUUAAUGAAAUUUGCUUGAUGCUUGUUUUUAUUAUCAAUUCUUCUCCACAUGUCCAAAAUUUUCACAAUAGUGACAUUGUGGUUUUCCAAGAUGCCAACAAUCCUUCUAUAUUUUUCUUGAUUGGUCUUAGAGAAAUUUCUAGAAUUUUGUGUAUUUCUAGAAACUUCUCCAUCUUUCUUUCCACCAUUUUUUUUAAUUGAGACCGUAAUUUAAACUUUGAUUGGAAGGCAUUCUCGACAAAGUCUUCAUUAUGCCGUUUCAAUCUUUGCACAUACACAAUCCAUAAGUUAUAUCCCUGAUAAAGUAGACAAAUCUUUGUUUUGUCCUCCUUAAAUUCAAGAAGAAAUUUCCGUAAGAACCCAAGUGUCACACUUUGUUUCUUUCUCUUUCCUUCGUACCAAGUGUUUCCCUCUCUUAAGUUUCUCACAACAAUCUUAGUACUUCUCACACUUCUGAUUAUAGUUAGUUGCACAUACAUAAAGAUCCCAUGACCUCUAUUUAUAGGCCCCAAGCCACUAAAACACAACAACAUAAGCCUAAUAAAAAACACUCAAUAGUCUUAUGCGUAUCAGAUUAAUAUAUGAAUUAAACAAAUUGUCCCAUCUAACUGAGCAUCAGACUAUCCUCAAUCUCAUCACAAUAGACGAUCCUCAUAAGAUCGAACGUCCAUCAGAAUGAACAAUAUAUUUUGAGUUACAGACCACAAUUCUCCACCUUGACUCUAAAUUUGAGCCAGACGAUUCCUUCCACCAUAGUGUUACUCUCCCACUUUUGAAACUAUAUUUCAAGAGAAAUUAAUCAAGUCUAAGGUUGAACUUUGACCUUGGUAGAGAUUUUGUGAACAUAGAUGCAAUUUUCACAAUCCUAACUCCUUCAAAUUCAACCACAUCUCUUAUGAAGUGAAGCCUAACAUCAAUAUUCUUUCUCCUCUCAUGGUAAACUUGACCGAUUUGUAAGGUGGAUAGCACUUUGGCUAUCAUAGUGAAUUAUCACAUAGUUUUGUACAAUUUCUAGUUCACCAAUCAUCCCUUUUAACCAUACUCAUUUUGCAAUAGCAAUAUACUCUUGAUUCAGUUGUAGAUAGAUCUACCAUGGGCUGUAAGUUUCCUUUCCAACAAAUAGUAGCCCCAAACAAUGUAAAUGCAUAUCUAAAUAAGGACUUCAUAGUAUCCACAUGCUCUACAUACUUUGCAUCAACAUGCCCCAUAAUAGCAUCUCCACCUUGAGCUACCUUCUUAUACUUUAGACCAGAUUCCAAAGAUCCAUUCACAUAUCUCAAUACCUACUUCAAAGCCUCCCAAUGAGCUUGACCUGAAUCGGCCCUAAACCUUUUUACAAUGUGAAUAGCAUGGGCCAAGUUUGGCCUACUACAAACCAUACCAUACAUGAUGCUUCCUACUCUACUAGCAUAUGGAACAAUAUCCAUCUUCUUCCUUUCCUCUUCAAUAUUAGGAGCUUGAGUAAUUGAGAGCUUAGUGUGAUGUCUCAAAGGUGUGCUUACAAAUUUAGAUUGAUGCAUCCUAAACCUUUCUACUACCUUCUUCAAAUAGCCCGCUAAGAUAAGAACAAUUUUCUCUUCAUCUGAUCUAUAACAAUAUCAAUCCUAAGUAUCCUCCUUGCAAUACCAAAAUCCUUCAUGAUCAUCUCAAAUUCUGAACUUAAUCUCUCCUUGAGCAUACUAAUCUCAUCCUAGCUUGUUUGAGGUAGCUAUAAGAAUAUCAUCUACAUACAAAAGCAAGAAAAUGUGACAUUGUUAUUCUCUUUUCAAGAUUUAGACAUAACUACUCCUUAGAAAACCUUCAUUUGAUCUUCUGCAAACCCCUUAGGUUGUUGCAUAUAAAUGGUCUCCUCAAGGUCUCCAUGUAAAAAAAGUUGUCUUGGCAACCAAUUAUGGUAACUCCAGAUCAUACUGAUUUACAAUUGCCAUCAAGAUCCUUAUAGAAUAAUGUUUUACCACAGGUGAGAAAAUUUCAUUAUAAUUAACUCUGUCCACUUGUGUAAAACCCUUAGCCACAAGUCUUGCCUUGUACCUCGACUUCUUCACACUUGGAAUGUUUUUCUUUUUCUUGAAGACCUACUUGCAUCCAACUAGUGUUAACUCGUUGGCAAGUGCACCAAAUUCGUCACAAGUAGUAAAAUACUCGAAAGUCCGAGUGUCGAAUCCACAUGAACUUUGUUUGUACUUAGAUUAAAGCAAAUCCAAUUUACAAGCAAGAGAUAAGAAAUUUAAGAUAAAAGAGGCAGAAAGAUAAAAGAUAUAAGAUAAAGAUUUAAAAAGGAAAGAUAAGAGAUAAAAUAUUUAAAUUAAAAGAUGAUAAAGAUAAAAAAUAGAAGAUAAAAAAAUAAGAUAAGAAACAAAAAAUAAAAGAUAAAGAAAGAUAAGAAAAAAAAGAUAAGAUGAAUAAAAGAUAAGUUCUCAAAAUGUGAUAAUGUUGUUGGGACCUUGCAUGCCCUCUUUGCCUUGGAUCUGUUCUACCCACACCUAUCCAUUUACUCGCCCCUAAUGUCUCACGAUGACAAGCUUAUUUUAUUUACCUAUCUCUCAAAUGCCUUUGAAAAGACUCAAUAAAUAAAAUGCAUGAAGACUAGAUUCUAGAUGUUUGCUAAAUGCAUGGGCAAUAAGUCACCAUUCUAUUCCUAGCAAUGAUGACCUUAUGAUUUCUUGCCUUAUCUGUUCUGUUAGGAGUUACCCUCUCCCGAGCAACUUACCCCAAAAGAAAAUAAAGAUGAAAAUGCAAGAUAAAGUAGAGAAGAAAAUAGGUGUCUUGUUUGACAUGUGCAAAUGCCAAAGCACUAAACACCCUCAAGUUGGAAUAGUUUAUUGGUUUCUCACUCCAUACUUUCAUAGGUGUCUUAGAGUCUAGAGCAAACGAUGGACAUCUGUUUGUCAGAUACAUUGCAAUAUUUGUAGCUUCUCCCUAGAAACUUUUAGGCAGACCUACUCUUAAAAACAUGCACCUCACUCGUACCAAGAUGAUCUUUUUCAUUCUCUCAAUUAGGCCAUUUUGUUGAGGAGUUCUUGCUAUAGUCUUAUGUCUCUUAAUUCCUAGUUUUCUUCCAAACACAUUAAAUUGUUCUGAAACAAAUUCCAGCCCAUUGUCAGUUCUCAAAACUUUCAAUUUUGUUCCUUGCUAAUUUUCCCCAAGUGUGUAACACUCCUAGAACCUUUGAAAUGUUUCAGACUUAUUCUUCAAUAUAUAAAUUCACACUCUUUUAGAGAAAUUAUCAAUAAUUGCAAGAAAAUAGGAACCCCUCCAUGAAUCAUCACCCUUGAAGGACCCCAUAGGUUUGAAUGAACAUACUAAAAGGGCCUACUAGAAACAUGUGUACCAGUCCCAAACUUCACUCUAUGAGACUUACCCAAUAUACAAUGAUUACAAAAUUCUAAUUUAUCCAAUUUAUCACCAUUCAGCAGAUUUUGUUUUUACAGUUAGACCAAACCCCUUUCACUAACAUGACCUAGUCUUAGAAGCCACAAUUGUGUCUUAUCCUGUAACGUUUGACUAGCUACAAAUGCGUGAGCAAUAACAAUUGAGCCGUCCAGAAUAUGCAGACCAUUCAUUUUAACACCCUUAGCAACAAUUAAGGCUCCAUUUGAAAUCCUAAUCAGACCAUGUUCUAUUUUGGUAGAGUAUCUCAAAUAUCAAACAUGCUUAUUGACAAAAGAAUCCAUUUAGGCUCAGGAAGAUACCACAUAUCUUGCAACAACAUCUCUCGGUCAUCAAACAUCUUUAGUCUGACAGUACCCAUGCCAAUAUUAAUUUUAUGUCGUCCCCAAUAAGAGGUAUUAUACAUUUUUCAAUUAAAAACAAGUUUUCAUUUUAAAACUUUUGUAUUUCUUAAGUUAUAAAUUAUUUAUUAUUUGAAUAAUCUUUUAUGAGAAAAAAUAGAUAAACUAUAGACAAAUUUAACUUAGGUUACUAAACAAUUAAUAAUCUAGAAAAUUUGUAUUUUUUUAACAAUUUAUUCACUAACUUUUUAUUUUUGUAAUUUAAGACAUGUAUAUUUAAAUAAUAAACUUAAGAAAAUGUCAUGUCAACUAGUUGUGUUUACGGGUUCAAAAAUCAAAACCUGUUAUCUAACUUAUACAUGAAUGAGUGUAAAUAGGUUGGAUUGAAUUAUAUAUAUACAUAUAUAUAUAUAUAUAUAUAUAUAUAUAUAUAUAUAUAUUAGUAUAAUUUUCACAAACUAUUGCUUUAUCAAUAAAUUGAUAUAAAAUACAAUUUUUAUCUAUUUAACCAUUAAAUUAUAUCUACAUAUUAAUAAGAUUUUUCGUAUCAAUUUUUUUAAAAUUGAAUAACAAUAAGGUAAUAAAAUGAUUCAUAUUUUAGUAUAUUUUAAAAAAAUUAUAUUACAUUAAUUUUAAUCUAUAUGAAUGAGUUAACGAAUAAAUUUAGAUUAAUAUAAAAUUUCACAUAAAUAAUCUUUGUGAAAAGAAUUUUCCAUCCAACGGUAGAUUUUAAAAAAAUAUUUUUUUUAUCAACAUGUGAUGUGUUAACUCUUUGGCAAGUGUAUCAAAUCGCUCGCAGUAAUAAUUUCUUGGUAAUCCGAGUAUCGUACCACAGGAAUUUUGUUGCACUUAUGUGAAGUAGUACUUUUCAGUUUGCACAUUGUAAAUUUAGUUUGUAAAAUUAAAGGCAAUUUAAAUCUAAGCGGCUACUUCUAAAUUAAGGAAAACUCAAGAAAUAAAGAAAGAAUAAAGUCUAUAAAAUAUUGCUAAAAUCUAAUAAACAUAAGUACCUACUUCCAAAUAAAAUAAGGAAUAACUACUUCUAAGAAAACCCAAAUAAUAAAUAAGGAAUAACUACUAAGAAAAAAACUUCAAACAAUAAAAUAGGGAAUAAAAUCUAUAUAAUAAAUUUGCUAAAACCUAACAAGUCUAAUCAGCCUAGAUAUAUGGAUUCAGGAUUUGUCUGUUAUCAAUACCAGUGAACUAAUUCUGCCCUACAUCUAUCUAUCUACUUGCCCCUGAUGCCUCAUGAUGACAAGCCUACCUUAAUUACAUAUCUUCCAAAUGCCCUUUGCAAAGACUUAAUAACUAAGAUGCAUUAAGAUUAAAUUCUAGAUGUUUGCUAAAGCAUGGGCAUUGGGUUAUCAUUCUAUGCCUAGCAAUGCUAACCCCAUGAUUUCUUUGUUUUAUUGUUCUAUUAAGCGUUACCCUCUCCCGAGUGGACUAACCCUUAAAACAUAUUCAAGCAUUCAUUCCUACCCCUAAUUAGGCUUUACCCUCUCCCGAGUGGACUAAAGACUAACAGAAAAUAAAGACUGAGAUACAGGAUAAAUAAGAAAGAAAAGCAGAUAAAAGAACCUGGAAGGAAACCCUUUAAAUGAUAACCCAAUGAUUUCUUCCUUUUAUUGUUCUAUUAAGCGUUACCCUCUUCCAAGUGGAUUAACCCUUAAAACAUAUUCAAGCAUUCAUUCCUUACCCCUAAUUAGGCUUUACCCUCUCCCGAGUGGACUAAACCCUAACAAAAAAUAAGGAUUGAGAUGCAGGAUAAAUAAGAAAGAAAGGUAAAUAAAAGAACCUGGAGGAAAAUCCUCUUUUUAUUGAUAACUCUUGAAAUGCUCCAUACAUCAUUGGCUUUUUAGGCUUGCCAGUCCCUAGCUAGGGGAUUAGCUACUCAUGGUCAUGAGGGCUUUACAAUGAGAAGGGAGUGAAAGAAAGGUAAUAAAAAUAUAAGAAAAGGGAAGGAAAAGGAGAGAACUGAGUGCCAGAGGUCUGAGAAAUGAGCUCUCAGGAAGUGUUUUCGUUUUCCUAGGCUGACCCUCUUAUUUAUAAGUGCAAAAUUGGGCUUUGGGCCUUCGUAGUCUCGCUGAGUGCGAAGCCUUGCGCUCAGCGCCACCGCGCACUCAGCGCAUGUCGUGCGCUUAGCGCCUUGCUUUCUUGCGUGGGCGUGUCUUGCGCUUAGCGCCUUGCUGGGCUGGGCUUCUUCUGAUUUUCUUCUUUUUUUCUUCAUUUCUGCUCCUUUUUGCUUGUUGUACCUCCCUUUUUCACAUCUGCAAUCAGAAUUCGAAAUUAAUUAAAUCUUUCCAAAUUAAAGCAUAAAUAACUGCUAAAUAAUUAAUUCUAAGUUAAUUUCAGACCGAUUUUCCACUAUUAAUUCACUAUUAUUUAGCAGUUAUCAUGAUGUGAUGAAGAAAUACAUUGCAUAAAAUGUAAUGUGGUGAUAAAUGAGUUUUCAAAGGUGUGAAAAGGCAUAGGAUGGCAAAUUAGUAGAACAUGUGAUAUAUAUGAAGAAAGAAUGAUAUUGGCAUGGAAGUGUCAUGCUUUGUAGCUUAAACAACUUUAGAUAUAUAAAUAGAAAGAUAAAUAGAUUCAACUUGUAAAAGUCAUGGUUUUCAAAACUAUGUAGUAUUAAACAUAAGGGCAACCAAGUAUUACAAAAGUAUAUUAGAAGCAUAGUCUUACAAAUUUUCUUUUUCCCAGUGAAAGAUUUUAAACAGAAAUGAUAAUUUAGGUUGUAGUAACUUUAGUAUUGGCUAGGUUUGAAAAUUGCUGCAGCAUAUGAAAGCAUUUGUGUUAGAUUCCAAAACUUCAUAAGCCUUAUACUCCUAUUCUUUAUAAUCAGUAAGGAUUAGUUUAGCUCCAAAUGUUGUAAUGGUCACCUUCAUGAUCUUUCCAAGCUUGUGGAAAGAGAGCAUGGUCAAACCAUAUUAUAACCGUUCGUAUAUGGUAGCUGCAAAUGCCAUGUUGAUACCCAUGCAUAUUGCCUUAUGUAGGCUCUAUUGGAGUUGUCUAGUGACUCUGCAUGGUAAACCAGUGGAGUCCACUGAAUGAGCUGAGAAAAGAACUGUUCUACAUUAAAUAAGAAUAUAUACCCAUGAAUAAAAAAAUAGCAAUGUUUGUUAUGUUGGAAUGAAAUUUUUGUUGGAAUUUUAGAAGAUCCUUAUAAAAUACCAAUAAUCACAUCACAUUAAAUUAUCAGGAAGAGUUUUAGGAAUACCUAGAUCCAUAAUGAUUGCUCAAACAAAUACAACGAAAUUUGAAUUUGUAGGUGAUUUUUUAUCAUUGCGCUUGUGACGCCCUCUACCCCUCACAUAUAUGUACUAAUAAUAAAAGGAAUAAGAAAUCAGAAUUAAUUAAAAGUUUUUAAACACAAUUAAAUACAAGCUUUUCAAAAUAAUAAAAGGCUCACUUUCAUUUUUCUAACAUCAUAAUAAAACUUUUCCAAAUAAAUAAUAAAUCAUCUCAGCUCAAAACAAGGUCAUCCAAGACUUCAUGUAAUUAAUAUAGAAACAUAUAUCUCAAUGUCACAUCCUAUCAGAGCAUUGUGUUCUUGUGUCCUCUAACAUGAGGUUCUUCAUAGUCAUCCACCUAACCAUCUACUUCCAUUAACACAAAAUCGAGAUCAUCACAAGAUCCAAACACAAAUAGUACACGGGGAGUGAGUUAUUACAUUCCUAACUAAUAGAGAGAAAUAAGACAACAUAUAGGUAUAAAUAUCAUAUAAACAAAAUACAACUUACUUAUGCAUAGCUCACAUUAUUUCACCACUUUGUCACGCAUCAUCACAUUACAACACCACAUGUCUCAUUCGUUUUCACAACAUUCACGUACUUAAUGAUCAAAACACAAUAUCACUAAAUCAAUCAAUAUCGAUCAAUGUGGUACCAUGUCAGUGAAAAACCUCGUUGAGCGCCUAAAAGUACAUGACAAGACAAACCACACACUAGUAAAUCAUGUCACUUUCACUAGGUAAAAUCAUAAGGAGACCAGUCAAGGUCACGUUGUUUUGUAAGAAUGUUCCAAUCAUAUGGGAUCAACAUAUAUUUAAAGGAGCACUCAAACCGGAUGUAUUUACCCCCAAGACCUACACUCUGAAGAGUCCGUCAGGGCCUUUCCCUCCUGAUUCAGGUCCAACCCAGAAAAGAUUUUAGCACACAGACUCUAUCUAUGAACUGUACAAAACACACAACUCCUCAAUUGUUCUCAAAAUAGUUUUAUCUCAUUACGCUUGUGGUUAAUGUCGUCGAGUCCUCACAGUGGUUCCCAUCACAAUACUUGUCACCCUUAAAAGGUCUUAUAGUCGUGUGAUUGUACAAUUCAUAGCUCAUAACUCAAUGCACAUAACAUCUCAAUGCACAUAUAUAUUACAAGUCAAUACAUACUUAAUUUAUCACAUACACUCAGUCUCAAUCACAAUGGUAUAAUCUCAAUUUAACAUGUUAUCACACCACAUGAAUCAUAUACACUUUACCUAUGAACUAUGCAAUACACAUGACUCUUCAAUUAUUUUUAAAAUAAUUUUAUGUCAUCGUGCUUGUGAUUAAACUUGUCGGGUCCACACAGUGAAUCCCAUCACAAUACUCGUUGCGCAAAAACUCGUCGCCCUUAAAGGAUUUUACAAUUGUGUGAUUUCACAGUUCAUAUCUCACAACUCGAUACACACAUCUCAAUACACAUAUAUUUCAUCAUUCAUCACAGGUUCAAUUUAUCACGUACUCUCAAUUUGAAGCACAAUUUCAUAAUCUCACUAUACCAAUUUAUACAAAAGGUUUAUCACAACAUGGGGAGUAAAACCCCUCAAAUAAUUUUACACAAUUAUAUCAAAAUCAAUUAAUCAAAAUCAUAGGUAUAAAAAAACGAAAACACCAAGAGCACACGUUAUUUUAUCAAUCAAAUUGCAUCAGGACAUCAAUAUUGUAUUUAUAAUCAUAAAGGAAAAUUUUCAAUUUAAUAAACAUCCAAAAAUAAACCCAAUUUAAUCCUCUAAGGAUCUUUACACAUGUUCAUUCUAACCCCAAUUGCGAUAAACUCAUCCCUUACCUCUAAGCGGGCUCACGUGUGUAUUCUGACAGUGAUAGCGGCAUUUCUAGCAAAUUCCUAUGAUUCCUCAAGCUUUUCCUCUGGUUGCUCUGAUGGGGUUUCAAAGCAUUUGAGAGGUGGAGAAGAGAUUGAAACCUUCAUUCCACUGUCUGUGUGCGAUGCAUAUUUCUCCCUCUCCACAAAUUAAUAUAAAAAUCCUAACGGUGAAGAUGUGAGAAAUGAAUCAUAAACCCGGUUUCCAAAUUUCACGAUAAUCCAACGGUUAACGAGUUCAGGAUCAUAGCUUUAUUGGGACAUAUUUUGGGUCUCUACAUGAAAGGAGAAGCUACGAUGUGAAGGAAAUUUUUCUUAGCUCUGACUUUUUUAGCAAUUUUCAAUGGUGAGAAUGCUCGAAAUUGAGUUUCAAACCUGAUGCUGAAAUAUCAUGACGAUCCAACGGUUAAAAAGUCCGAGAUCAUCAUUUUAAUAAGACAGGUAUGAGUGUAUGCGGGAAAAAGAGAGGAUUUUGGGAGAGAAAAAGAGAAAACAAAAUUGAGAGGAAGAAGAGACGUAGAAACUAUUGUUAGUAUGAAAACUGACCUAACAUGUCUCUAUUUAUAGUUAGGGUACCCACAACCUAUCAUUUACUCUAUUUAUUUAUUUUUAUUAUUUUAUAAAAAGAAACUCUAUUUUAUUCCCUUUAAUAAAUAAAAUACCUUUUCUAUUUUCUCUCAAACCAUUAUUUUAAUUAAUAAAAUUAUUUCUCCUUAUUUAUUUAAUUAUGAAAACCUCAUCAUUUUUCUAAAACUGUAUUUAUUUAUAAAUAACAAUCCUUUUUAAAUUAGUUUACAAAAAAUGGGAUGUUAGAGCGCUCUUCUUAGGAUGUGUUACAGGAUGCUGUAAAGACAAUGAAUAACUGACUAACAGUGUAACUGGUGGCUUCAUGGUUCUUCCUCAACCGGAACCUCUUUAUUCCUUAACAUUACCUUUGUAACUCUUCAGAUGGAUAAAAGAGAAACGAUAUGUGAUGGCCCGAUAUAUUUGGGACCAUAGUCUUCUUAUAGUGUGUUAACCUAAUAUGGUUCCCAUUAUCCCCUAAUGGGCCAACAUUGACAUCUGUUCAUUUAAGUUCAUAUCAUCUGAUUUAAUUGUCUAACUGGUUCACUUAAUUUGAUUACGUAUAAUUGUCUGAUAAUAUUAGCUCACAUUAAUUAUUGGAAUAAAAAAUUCCAACAAUCUCCCACUUGGACUACAUAUUGUAACAAUUAUAUAAAAACUCCUUAAGCACGCAUAUGAAUGAUAUUUACCUUUAUUUCUUAGGUAACUGGUGACUUCAUGGUUCUUCCUCAGUCGAAACCUCUUUAUUCCUUAACAAAACCUUCAUAUUCACGCGGGAAGAAGAGAAACUAUAUAUGAUAAGUCAAUAUGUUAGGGACCAUAGCCUUCUUAUAGUGUGUUAACUUGAUAGAGUUUUUAUUAUCCCCUAAUAGGGCCAACAAUGACAUAUGUUCCUUAUUUAGUUGUCUAACAAGCUCAAUUAUUUUGAUCACAUAAAAUAAAACCUACUAAUGAUAAAUAAUUAAUAUAAUUGUCUUAUAACAUUAGCCUACAUUAAUUAUUGAAAUAGAAAAUUCUAACAAUUUUACUAUUGAAGGAAAUAUUUGAGAAUGAGAGAAAUUAGAAAGUUUUGAGGAAGAGGUUACUUGUACAAAAUGAUCACUUCUUGAUUUGGCUUAAAACAAAUUUUAAUACAAUGCCUUUAUUUAUAUUAAUGGCUCCUCCCAAACCUGUGGUUAUGAUUUUGCUAACACACUUAAUCUAAUGGUUACAAAUGAUUCUCUAGAACUUUUUACAUACAAAGUUACUCACACAUUCUAGAAUAUUCUACAAGUUAUUCUAGAAUUAUCUUCUACAAUAGAUUUUUCUAGAACAUUCUUCUAGAAUUUUAGUUUAACAUGUCUUGUGGAAUCUCCUAGAACUUGGGCUUUUUGAUAAGGCCCAAAAUCAAGUCUAUAUUUCAACAUGUUAUUCUGUACCAUUAAAUUUUCUUAAUUGAGGUUUUGUUUUAAAAAUUUUACAAGUGAGAAAAAAGGAAAAGAAAUUUUUUAUAAAACUUGGUAAACUACCGGACACGAUAGAGUUUGAUAACCUAUAUAAACAGGUGAUAGGAAGCAAGUGGUAGAGGUUAAGAUAUUUUUUAGAACGUGAGCAAAAGGAAAACGAAAAAAUAUAAAACUUAGCAAAUUAACUACGGGACACAAGUGUGUUUGAAAACCUGCAUUGUGAUAGCUAGGAAGCAAACAUAGCAUAUUGAUGAUUGGAGAAGAGGGGACAAAAGCAGGUGAUUGGAUGGAGGGGUUAAUUAAGAUCCUAUCCAAGGUGAUAAAUAAUUAGAGAAGGGACGUUUGGGGAUGUAUGCACAAAAAUAUAAUCAACUCUCCCACUAACACUAACAGAUACUAACAGACACCUAAUAGCAUCAGUCAAAUUCUAAUAUGUUUUAUUUGCUGAAUGUUUUGCGAAUGUGUCCUUUUGUUUCAUCAUUUUUGAAAUUUUGCAUGUGUAACAUUCAGGAAAAAGUGGUAGCCACAGCAGGAAUCAAAGAAACAAGAAGAACGUGCCAAUUGCCAAGGGAGAAUGGACCCAAUUACUUCUGCCACUGCCCAAAGUGCACUGCAAAUUGCAGAACAUGUGGUCAAACGACAAGUGGGUUACAUAUUUAAUUACAAAGACAAAUUUAAAGAGGUGGAACAAUACAUUGAGAGGCUGGAUGAUACUAGGAAGAGGGUUCAAAAUGAAGUUAAUGAUGCAGAGAAGAACGGAGAAGAAAUUAACGAUGAAGUUCAACAUUGGUUAAAACAGGUGGAUGAGAAGAUAAAAAAAUAUGAGUGUUUUAUUGAUGAUGAACGCCAUGCACAGACAAGGUGUUCCAUUAGAUUGAUCUUUCCAAAUAACUUGUCAUUGAGGUAUCGGUUAGGCAGAAAAGCUACAAAGAUAGUAGAGGAAAUCAAAGCAGAUGGACAUUCAAAUAAAAAGUUUGAUAAAGUUUCAUAUCGGUUGGGCCCAUCCUCUGAUGCUGCUUUGUUAAACACUGGUUAUGUGAGCUUUGGGUCGAGAAAUGAAACUAUGGAGAAGAUUAUGAAAGCACUGGAAGACUCGACAGUUAAUAUUGUUGGAGUCUAUGGGGCUGGUGGUGUGGGUAAGACUACUUUAGUCAAAGAAGUUGCUAACAAAGCUCGAGAAAAGAAGUUGUUCAAUAUGGUGGUCAUGGCAAAUGUAACAAGAAUUCCUGACAUAGAAAAAAUUCAAGGACAAAUUGCUGAGAUGUUGGGAAUGAGAUUGGAAGAGGAAAGUGAAAUUGUAAGAGCAGAUCGCAUUCGAAAGAGGUUAAUGAAUGAAAAGGAGAAUACCCUUAUAAUCCUAGAUGAUCUCUGGGAUGGAUUGAACUUGAAUAUAUUGGGGAUUCCACGUAGUGAGGAUGAUGAUGGAAGCCAACAAGAUGUCAAUGAUUUAUCUGAUUUUGGUUACCAUAAGAUGGAAAAAGAAGUGUUUUCGGCCGAUUUCCAUACAAUGAAAAAAGACAAGUUAGCUGUCGAUUUCAAUACGAUGAAAAAAGGCAAAUUAUCUGUUGAUUCCAAUAUGAUAAAAAAAGAAAAGUUAUCUGGUGAUCACAAGGGAUGCAAAAUUCUUCUAACAUCCAGAAGUAAAGAAGUAAUAUGUAAUAAAAUGGAUGUGCAGGAGAGAUCAACUUUCUCGGUAGGAGUCCUUGAUGAAAACGAGGCAAAGAGUUUCCUUAAGAAAUUGGCGGGAAUACGUGCCCAAAGUUUUGAAUUUGAUGAGAAAGUCAUUGAAAUUGCCAAAAUGUGCGAUGGAUUGCCUAUGGCAUUAGUUUCCAUAGGAAGGGCUCUAAAGAAUAAAAGCUCCUUUGUAUGGCAGGAUGUCUGUCAACGAAUUAAACGACAAAGUUUUACAGAAGGGCACGAAUCUAUCGAGUUCUCUGUAAAUUUGAGCUUUGAGCAUCUAAAAAAUGAGCAGCUGAAACAUAUUUUCUUACUGUGUGCUAGAAUGGGAAAUGAUGCUUUGAUUAUGGACUUGGUGAAGUUCUGUAUCGGGUUGGGUUUGCUUCAAGGGGUCCACACAAUUAGAGAAGCGAGAAACAAAGUAAAUAUGCUGAUAGAGGAGCUAAAAGAAUCAACUUUGUUGGUGGAAAGUCUCUCUCAUGACCGCUUCAACAUGCAUGACAUUGUGCGGGAUGUUGCUCUUUCAAUAUCAUCCAAAGAAAAACAUGUUUUUUUUAUGAAAAAUGGCAUAGUAGACGAGUGGCCUCACAAAGAUGAACUUGAAAGGUACACUGCUAUAUGUUUACACUUUUGUGAUAUCAAUGAUGGGCUUCCCGAGAGUAUACACUGUCCUAGACUUGAAGUCUUACAUAUUGACAGUAAAGAUGAUUUUUUGAAAAUACCAGACGACUUUUUUAAAGAUAUGAUUGAACUCAGAGUCUUGAUAUUGACUGGUGUUAAUCUUUCAUGCUUACCUUCUUCUAUUAAAUGCCUAAAAAAACUGAGAAUGCUUAGUUUGGAGAGAUGCACUCUAGGAGAGAACUUAUCAAUCAUUGGAGAGUUAAAGAAAUUACGAAUUCUUACUCUUUCAGGAUCUAACAUUGAAAGUUUGCCUCUAGAAUUUGGGCAAUUGGAUAAGCUGCAACUUUUUGACAUAAGCAAUUGCUCAAAACUAAGAGUAAUACCUUCCAAUACCAUAUCAAGGAUGAACAGUUUGGAAGAGUUUUACAUGAGAGACAGCUUGAUUCUGUGGGAGGCUGAGGAGAAUAUCCAAAGUCAAAAAGCUAUUCUUUCUGAGUUGAGGCACUUGAAUCAGUUGCAAAAUCUAGACGUACACAUUCAGAGUGUUUCCCAUUUUCCGCAGAACUUGUUUUUGGACAUGUUGGAUAGUUACAAGAUUGUCAUUGGUGAAUUCAACAUGCUUAAAGAGGGAGAAUUCAAAAUCCCUGACAUGUAUGACCAAGCGAAAUUUUUGGCAUUGAACCUAAAAGAAGGUAUUGACAUUCAUUCUGAAACAUGGGUUAAAAUGUUGUUCAAGAGUGUUGAAUAUUUGCUGCUGGGAGAACUCAAUGAUGUUCAUGAUGUUUUUUAUGAAUUAAAUGUUGAAGGAUUUCCAUAUUUGAAACAUUUAUCCAUUGUGAACAAUUUUGGUAUUCAAUAUAUUAUUAACUCAGUGGAGCGGUUUCACCCUUUACUGGCUUUUCCCAAAUUGGAGUCCAUGUGUCUUUACAAACUGGAUAAUUUGGAGAAAAUAUGUGGCAAUAAUCAUCUUGAAGAGGCUUCCUUUUGCAGAUUAAAAGUCAUCAAGAUUAAAACAUGUGAUAAAUUGGAAAACAUUUUCCCAUUUUUCAUGGUCGGACUUCUCACCAUGCUUGAAACAAUUGAAGUGUGUGACUGUGAUUCUCUGAAGGAGAUAGUUUCUAUUGAAAGACAAACGCAUACUAUCAAUGAUGACAAGAUUGAGUUCCCUCAAUUACGACUUUUAACAUUGAAAUCUUUACCAGCAUUUGCUUGUUUAUAUACCAACGACAAGAUGCCUUGUAGUGCACAAUCAUUGGAAGUCCAAGUGCAAAACAGAAACAAAGAUAUCAUCACUGAAGUUGAGCAAGGUGCCACUAGUUCUUGUAUAUCACUCUUCAAUGAAAAGGUAUGUAAAAACAUUAUCAUAAAUGUGUCCUUUAUAAUCUCUAAUCUUUAAUUUGUAUGUUAUUCAUCUAAAAGAAGUAAAAAGUUGUGAUCGUUUAAGUUUUGUCAUUUCUCUUGGGUACAUCAAUUUUCAAAAUCAAAAUCUUAUUGUUGAGACAUUAAUUAUAUAUGUUCUUACAGGUUUCAAUUCCCAAAUUAGAAUGGUUGGAGUUAUCCUCAAUCAACAUCCAGAAGAUAUGGAGUGACCAAUCUCAGCAUUGUUUUCAAAAUUUGCUUACAUUGAAUGUGACAGAUUGUGGUGAUUUAAAAUAUUUACUGUCAUUCUCCAUGGCUGGAAGUUUGAUGAAUCUACAAAGCCUUUUUGUAAGUGCAUGUGAAAUGAUGGAGGAUAUAUUUUGUCCAGAACAUGCAGAGGUGUGUGGAGUCAUUUAAUAUUGACUUAGAUUAUUACUAUCAUUUGUUGUUUAAUUGCAUUAAUUGUUGAGGUCUUUCAUCUGCUCACCUAACAUUCACUUUUUUCUGCAGCAGAAUAUUGAUGUUUUUCCUAAGUUGAAGAAAAUGGAGAUCAUCGGCAUGGAGAAACUUAAUACCAUUUGGCAACCCCAUAUUGGUCUUCAUUCGUUUCACAGUUUGGACUCUUUGAUAAUAGGAGAGUGCCACAAACUUGUUACGAUUUUUCCUAGUUAUAUGGGGCAAAGAUUUCAGAGCCUUCAAAGCUUGACAAUUACAAAUUGCCAGUUAGUGGAAAACAUAUUUGACUUUGAAAUUAUUCCACAAACUGGUGUUAGGAAUGAAACAAACUUGCAAAAUGUAUUUCUAAAGGCCUUGCCAAAUUUGGUGCACAUAUGGAAGGAGGACAGCAGUGAAAUACUUAAAUAUAAUAAUCUGAAAAGCAUAAGCAUUAAUGAGAGUCCAAAUUUAAAACAUCUCUUUCCACUCUCUGUUGCCACUGACUUAGAAAAACUGGAAAUCCUUGAUGUAUACAAUUGCAGGGCAAUGAAGGAGAUUGUUGCUUGGGGCAAUGGUUCAAAUGAAAAUGCUAUCACGUUUAAGUUUCCUCAGCUAAACACUGUAUCAUUACAAAAUUCAUUUGAACUUAUGAGUUUCUACAGAGGAACUCAUGCUUUAGAGUGGCCAUCGUUGAAGAAAUUGUCCAUACUCAAUUGUUUCAAGCUGGAAGGGCUCACUAAAGACAUCACAAACUCACAAGGGAAGUCAAUUGUGUCGGCUACAGAAAAGGUACAUAACAAAAAGAAUGAAUUAAGACUCUCUCACUGAAUGAUGUGAGAAUAUGCCAUUUAUUUCUUAUAAAAAAAAAUAACACUAUAAAUAUCUUAUUGAGUGGUUCCAAGUAUGCUUCAAUAUUGAUAAGUCUAUUUUAUUUAUAUAUAUUUUAGGUGAUAUACAACUUGGAAUCUAUGGAAAUCAGCUUGAAGGAAGCAGAGUGGUUGCAGAAAUACAUUGUCAGUGUUCACAGAAUGCACAAACUACAAAGACUUGUCUUGUAUGGAUUGAAGAAUACUGAAAUUCUCUUUUGGUUUCUUCAUAGACUUCCCAAUUUGAAAAGCUUAACAUUGGGGAGUUGUCAAUUGAAAAGCAUUUGGGCUCCUGCAAGCCUCAUUUCACGUGAUAAAAUAGGUGUUGUUAUGCAACUUAAGGAGUUGGAAUUAAAGAGUUUGUUGUCUUUAGAAGAGAUAGGAUUUGAGCAUCACCCACUUCUUCAGAGGAUAGAACGCUUAGUCAUUAGUCGAUGUAUGAAAUUGACAAAUUUAGCAUCAUCCAUAGUAUCUUACAAUUACAUAACACAUUUGGAAGUGAGAAAUUGUAGAUCGCUGAGGAAUUUAAUGACAUCCUCAACUGCUAAAAGCUUGGUUCAACUCACAACCAUGAAGGUAUUCUUAUGUGAAAUGAUUGUGGAAAUCGUUGCAGAAAAUGAAGAGGAAAAAGUACAAGAGAUUGAGUUUAGACAAUUAAAAUCUUUAGAAUUGGUGUCUCUAAAAAAUCUCACAAGUUUUUGCAGUUCCGAGAAGUGUGACUUCAAAUUCCCAUUACUGGAAAGUUUAGUAGUGAGUGAGUGCCCUCAAAUGAAAAAAUUCUCUAGAGUCCAAAGUGCUCCAAACCUUAAAAAAGUACAUGUUGUAGCUGGAGAAAAAGACAAAUGGUAUUGGGAAGGUGAUUUGAAUGGCACUCUACAAAAACAUUUCACAGAUCAGGUACGCAUUAGAUAGAGUAUUUAAUUUGUUAACCAUCACAAAUUUUCAUCUACCUACACAGAUAAAUUAUUUUUCAUUUCAUUGAAAAUUUUCCUAAGUCAAUAUUCUACAAUUGGAUAAUUAUGUCACCAUGAUAAAACAUAUAUAAUUGUAGCUUAAAUAUAUUUUUGUUCAAUUUAAGUUUAUGUUUUUUUUUUAAUUUUGGUCCCUUUAAGAUAUCCUGCUCUAUUUUUUUUUUGUUUCAGUAAGUUUGUAUUUUUUUUCAAUCUUGAUCCUUAUAAGCGUGAACUUAUGGGAAUUAUAAAUAAAAAAAAUAGAACCUUAAAGGAACUAAAAUUAAAAAAUACAAACAUAUAAGAAUUAAAAAUAAAUAAAAAAACUUACACAAACCAAAAUUGAAAAGAACAUCAACUUCCAGAAAUUAAAAUUAAGAAAAAAUGAACUUCCAAAAAUCAAAAAUAAAAAAGCGUUGAGGCCAAAGAACAUAUUUAGACAUAUAAUUGUAUGUUGUCCCAUAUGUAAAAUAUGAAGCAAGCUUAUUAUGUACUUUUGUAAUUUGUACAGAUUCAAUUAGAUUUAUUUAUUGGUCAAGGUUUCCUUAUUUGUAGUAAUCAAGUCUGAUUUUAUUUCCAAAAUUCUUGCAUAGUUUUAUCAAGAAAGCUGCACAAAUCAACUACUGAUCUUUAUUAUACUCUUUGAAUUAUGAGAAAAUAAUAUUCACUUUUCAUAUUCCUAAUUUGUAUUAUAACUAAUUUACUGAAGUGGGAGUACAGUAUAAGAAUUUAAAUAGAAGAAUGCACUCACAAUUAACGUAAUUUUUUACAUUGUUAUCCAAUCAUUGAUUGUCAUGAAAUAAUUAUAUUAAAAUUUAAUUAGAAUGUGUUAAAUGUAUAAAAUAUUUUGUAUUACAUUGUUAUCAAGAGUGUAUCAACUUAUAAUCUUAUUUGUACUAUAAAAAAAGCUUAUAAUCUUACCUAUAGCUUAAAAGUCAUAUCCCAAAUGAUUUUUAUUUGAUUGAUAAUAUAAAAUUAUUUUUUUAUACGAAGAAAAAAAAAGGUAUACAACAAUUGAUGUAUCAUGUUCAAUUAAUUGAGCUAUUUAAAAUUGUUCACUUUAAUAUAUCAAAAUAGAAGUCAGAACAUGAAUGGAAAAUAAAAAAAGAAAAUUGAAUUUUAAUGUGAUGGCUGGAGAUAUCUCAGCAGCGAGGCACAUAUAUAGUUUUCUACAUCAAAAGUAAACCUAAGUCGUACAUAAGCAACAAUUUUUUUUUUACAAUAGAAUUUCUUAUAAUUUUUUAAGUUUAUAUACUCUACAAUCAAGACAUUUAACUUGGUUAAAAUUUGAAAAUGAUAGUAUAAUUACAACAAUAAUAUUUUAAAGAAAAUAGAAGUGGUUAGAACUUAUAAUGAAACAGGACUUUAUUUGAAUAUGAAGAUAAUAGCAUAUCCACAGUAACAAUAAUUAAUACAAUUAACUUAAAUAUAAAAACAAUAAUAUUCAUAUUUUAAAAUAAAAUAUUAUUUAAAGCGUAGUUUCGAGAGUUUCCAUACAUACACUCCUAACGUUGAGUUUCAAUGCUUUGAAGGUAUUUUUUGAAUAUUCAAAGCAUAUGAUCCUUCUCGAUUACCUUGAGGCAACGGGUGUUAGGCACGGCAAGCCUGCUUUUCUGAAGAAUAUCUUUGGCAGUUUAAAGAAAUUGGAAUUUGAUGGAGCCAUUAAAAGAGAGAUUGUAAUUCCAUCUCAUGUACUUCCUUACUUGAAGACCUUAGAAGAAUUGAAUGUACAUAGCUCCGAUGCAGCGCAGGUAAUAUUUGACAUAGAUGACACUGAUGCCAACCCCAAGGGUAUAGUCUUUCGUUUGAAAAAACUUACUCUAAAACGCUUGCCUAAUUUGAAAUGUGUAUGGAACAAAACCCCCCAAGGAAUUCUCAGCUUUUCCAAUUUGCAAGAUGUGGAUGUUACUGAAUGUAGAAGCCUGGCAACAUUGUUCCCUUUGUCCCUUGCCCGAAAUCUUGGGAAGCUUAAGACCCUUCAAAUAUUUAUCUGUCAAAAGUUGGUAGAAAUUGUUGGAAAGGAAGAUGUGACGGAACAUGCAACAACUGUUAUGUUUGAUUCCCUUGUUUGUGGACUGCUUCUUAUAAGCUGUCCUGCUUAGUGCUUUUUAUCCUUGAAAACACCAUCUGGAAUGCCCCUCCUAACAAGCUUGCGUGUGUCCUAUUGUCCUAAGUUGAAGCUAUUCACAUCAGAAUUUCGAGAUAGUCCCAAACAAGCAGUUAUAGAGGCUCCAAUUAGCCAACUACAACAACAACCUCUGUUCUCGGUUGAAAAGGUGACAAAACAUUAUCAGUUAUACUUUUUGUGCUUUUUUUUUCUUUAAUUUCAUAUUAUAUUUUCCUCCUUCUAAUUACCACCUUGCAUUUUCUUUUUAAUUUGUUUGGCCUUGCUAGAUUGCAAUCAAUCUGAAGGAAUUGACACUCAAUGAGGAAAACAUUAUGUUGUUGAGCGAUGGACAUUUGCCACAAGACCUCCUUUUCAAAUUAAGAUUUCUUCAUCUAUCCUUUGAGAAUGAUGACAAUAAGAUAGACACUUUGCCUUUUGAUUUCCUUCAGAAGGUACCCAGCUUAGAACAUCUUCUAGUGCAAAGGUGCUAUGGUCUGAAGGAGAUAUUUCCCUCUCAGAAACUCCAAGUUCAUGACCGUUCACUUCCCGCAUUGAAACAAUUAAUCCUGUAUAAUCUUGGAGAGCUGGAGUCGAUAGGGUUAGAGCACCCAUGGGUUCAGCCAUACUCUCAAAAGCUUCAAUUAUUACAUCUUAUCAACUGUUCUCAGUUAGAAAAACUAGUGAGCUGUGCAGUGUCUUUCAUCAAUCUGAAAGAGUUGCAAGUGACGUGCUGUAAUAGGAUGGAGUAUUUAUUGAAAUUCUCAACUGCCAAAAGUUUGUUGCAACUUGAGACCCUAUCUAUAGAGAAAUGUGAAUCAAUGAAGGAAAUAGUAAAAAAAGAAGAAGAAGAUGCUUCUGAUGAGAUCAUAUUUGGACGCCUCAGAAGAAUAAUGUUGGAUUCAUUACCAAGGCUAGUAAGGUUUUAUUCAGGGAAUGCCACUUUGCAUUUAAAGUGUUUGGAAGAAGCCACGAUUGCUGAAUGCCAGAAUAUGAAAACAUUCUCAGAAGGAAUAAUAGAUGCGCCAUUAUUAGAGGGGAUUAAAACUUCAACAGAGGAUACUGACUUAACCUCCCACCAUGAUCUCAACACCACAAUCCAGACCUUGUUUCACCAACAGGUCAGGAAUCAUUAUCCACCAAAUUCAAUUGUUAUUUGUUUAUAUCUCUAAACAUAGGGGGCAUGCUAAUUAACCAAUGUCUCAACAAUAUUGAUUAAAAAAUUCGAGUUAAAAUAUGUUUGUAACUUUAAAUAAAUAUCUAAAAUUUGUGUUUGAUUCUUAAUAAUAUUUUUUUUGUGUGUGUCAUAAGUUUUUUUUUUUUUGUUAUUGGUCCUUCAUAUUUUUUAUAAUUCCUAAUAAAUUUAUAUUUAUUUGUUUAUUAUUUUUUAUUUUAGUAUUUUUUUUUAAAAUGACUAAUAACAAAUACAAAAAAUUUAUUUGGGAGUAAACAAAAACAAAUUUCUUAAUUUAUAAGACACUAAAAAAGAAUCAUUGACCAAAAAUAAGAUUGUUAUUUUAUUAAAGAUUCAAUAUAAUUUUAUUUUCCUUUUAAUUCCUUAAAUAAUGUCCUAAAAAUACUAGUUAAUCAAACCUUUAUUUUAAAAUGUACACUCUCGUUCUUUCCCUUGUACUUUAGGUAAUUUUUAAUGUAUAUAAUAUCUUAAUAGUUGUGAAUAAAUAUGAGUUAGUGUGUCUCCCAAUUAUAUAUUAUCUUUUUCUACCACUUUUAAUGUGACCACCAACUAAUUUUUAAAAACCUAUAUAUUGUUGAUCAUAAUUUUUUUAUAAAGUAGAAUGAAACUUUAAAUAUUUUUAUUAUCACCAAUGAAUUAAGUCUAAUAAAAGAGCUUAAUCGAUGUAAUAAAUUAAUUAUAUAUGUUUCAAAUUAUUGAUAAAAUAGAUGUUCACAUUUAUUAUCUGACUUAGUUUUAAAUAGAAUUGUCUCUAAAUUAAAAACUAAAAAAUAUCUCUUUAAUUGCUUAUGAAAUUUCAUCUUCUAAUCAAAGUCACAAAAUUCAUAUCAUAUGUUCGAAAUUUGUAGAUCAUGGUGAGGAUAACUGCAAGAGAAUUAUUAGUUUAAAAAAAAAACUCAUUUACAUGAUAUAGACUGAAUUAUAAUACUUAUUUAUCUUUCAAGGAAGGAGAGUGUAUAUUUUAAAAUAAGAGUGAAAGUGAAUAUAAUUUAAGCUUCUCUAGGAUAGCAGAAGGAGAUUUACUCUAAAAUAUUUCUUACGGCAUACAUUACUUACUACAUUAAAAACUUGUCAUGAUGAUAUCUUUGUUUGCUUUUACCAACACUUGUUUGAUCUUUUACCAAUAGGUUGUGUCAUAAAUCAAUAUCUCAAAAGUUUAUUUGUUUUGGACAAAGACAUACAUAUGGUUUUAUAUAUUAUAUCUCUAAUUUGCCUUUGAAUCCCUUUGAUUAGCUUGAAAUGUGGAUAAUACAAUCCAUCUACGACCUUUAGACUCUAAUACUUACUUACAAUAUAUAUCAUGAACCAAUAAUUAAUGUCACAAGAUUAAGAUUAAGCUGUUGCGUAAAGGCACAUGAAUGAUUUUAAUUAAUAAUAUAUCUCAUAUAUUAAAUUUUAAAUACAUUUUCAUUAUUACAAUGGCUAUUGUGAGAAUAACAUAUUUAUAAUGUUCUUAUUAAGUUCUAUUUGACUUAUUAUAAUUAAUAAAUUUUGUGUUUGUUAUUUUAUAAUAAUUUUUUUUCAUUGGCUCUCCUAUAAAAUAAUAAUUUUAUUUCUAUUCUUGGUAUCGUUUUUUAAUCACUAAUGAACUUUUUUUUAUAACCUGAUAUUUUUUUUCAUGUUAUUAAACAAAAAAUUAAUAAUUUAUCAUCAACUAAAAAAGGUGUCAUAAACAAAAAUAAAACUUUUGUUUUAUUAGGAAUUCAAUACAAAGAACAAUAUUUAUUAAAAAAUAAAUAUAAAAUUUAAAUAUUUAUUGAGGAUCUAAAAUAUAUUUUACCCUAAUAUAAAUGUGAGAAAAAAGGAUAAGAGAGCUACCUUAUAGAAAGAAAUUAAGUAUCUAAAUGGACCAAAAAGAUACAGCAGUCAAAUUCGUUGUAUUUGACCCGUGUAACAAGACAAAGGAUAAGGUUCAUAAUCUCCACCAUGGGUAACACAUGUUUUGAAACUUCAAACACAUUUUUUGGAAGCUUAAAACAAAAGAAUACAUUUUUAUCCUACUUAAAUUGUAAAGAAAAAAUGAAAACUUAAAUUAGAGUAAGAUCAACUUCUAUGAAUAUCCAUUUUUAUCCUCUAACUUUUUAUCUUUAUCAAUAUUUUAAUUUUUUAAUCCAUGUUUUUUUGUUAUUGCUAAUACCUUGAAGAUAGUUUAGACCAUGUCUAUUAGGACAAAACCCAGCCUUUUCACUCUUUUUUUUUUUUUUUUUAUCGUAGGCUAGUUGAGUUCAAUUUCAAUUUUAUUUUGUUUCCUCUUCACCUUCCAUUAUUUUAUUUAUAACUCAACACAAUUUUUCUUGCCUUUUUCUUUUUAUUUAUAUAUUAUUUUAUUUGUGUCUUCUUAAACCAAAAUUUAACCACAAUUGUUAUUUUCACUCAUCUUUACACACUAUGACACUUCCUUUCUUAUUUUAUACCAAAAUUACCUUGCUAAACACUAUCAUCCUCUUUCUCUUCUCUUUCUUCAGAAAAGAAAAGAAAAAGAAAAAAGGCACUCCCCUCCACAACUCUAGUAACACAUUUGACAAAUGUGAAUGAUCUUAUUAUAAUUUGCUCAUUUUUUUAAAACAAAAUACUUAUGAGAGUAGUACAAAAUAAAGAAAUAUAUUUUGAAGCAAAUUUGUUCAUGCGCGUGCCUGUCGAUAACAAAACAACUCUUAACUCAACCAUUUUUGGAUGUCUUGAAUUUUUAUAUAUAGAAUAUUUCACUAAAGCAUGGAUGUAUCUCAACCUUAUUUUUGCUUGGGUGUUUAAUUCUUAAUCUUGUUAUAUGAUAUUAUUAAGAGAAAACAAAAGGACACCAUAAGGAAUGCCCCUUCUAGAACAUACAAUGCAUGUACACAACUCAGGAUAACAUACACUUACAAAAAGAUACUCACUAAAAUAAGUUACACUAAAAGAACACAAUUUUACAAAUAAAAAAAUGCUACAGAAAUAAAAAAAAACUGAUAUAUUAUUUAUAAUAAAAAAUACCGAUAAUUUUUUAUAUUUUAGAAAUCUACUGGAGGUCCCAAACAGCUCCCUUAAUUUUACUCAACCUUUUCAUACUAAUUGGGCAUAUUAACCCAAAAUAUUAUGUUAAAGUAUAAUUGGAUAUCUAAAGCCUUAUGUUUUUUUAUUUUUUAUAAGAGGAGCACAAAACAUUCUAUCAACCUUCUUUUCUUUUCUCUUCUCUUCUAUUUUUUUUUUAAUAUUUUGGGCGGGCAUGAGCUGUUAUAUUUUGGGCUUACAUGAGCUGAAAAGUUAUGUUAUCUUUUCUCCUUAUCUUUUCGUUUCAUUACAAUUUUCUUACCAUGUGGGUCAUAGACCUUUAGUCACUAUUUUAUUCCCAUUUUGGUCUUUCUACAUUUUAGACCAUUGGAAUCCAUUCUAAAAAUAAUAAAGAAAAUAACUCCUCUAGCCCAAAUAUUAAAAGAUGCUCUUACUUUAAAUUACAUGUAUAAACUUAUUUCUAUUAGACUCGUACAAAAAUAAUAUAUCAAAAUAAAGCGCAAAAUUUAAUUAAAAAACAAAAAUGAGAAUUUGAAAUUUAACAAGAGAUAAUUGUAGAUAUCUCAAUUAAGGAGGCACAUGCAUAUAUAGUUUUCUACAAUCAAAUGUAAAUCCAAGUGGUACACACGAGACUUGUCAAGUAUCUGACGUUGAGUUUCUCUGGCUUUGAAGGUAUUUUUUGAAUAUUCAAAGCAAAUGAUCCUUGUCGAUUACCUUGAGACAACGGGUGUUAGGCGCGCCAAACCUGCUUUUCUGAAGAAUUUCUUUGGCAGUUUAAAGAAAUUAGAAUUUGAUGGAGCCAUUAAAAGAGAGAUUGUAAUUCCAUCUCAUGUACUUCCUUACUUGAAGACCUUAGAAGAAUUCAAUGUACAUAGCUCCGAUGCAGCGCAGGUAAUAUUUGACAUAGAUGACACUGAUGCCAACACCAAGGGAAUGCUCCUUCCAUUGAAAAAGCUUACUCUAGAAAGCUUGUCAAAUUUGAAAUGUGUAUGGAACAAAAC